rnacentral:lncRNA from 1 species
UCACAGCAAGAAGUUGCCUCUCGCUGAUCGGUACACAUAGACAAGAACACCAUGCUGCGCAAGAACACCAUGUCCUCCCUUGUCUUCCUCGUGGCGGUGCUACUCUUGUGCAGCUCCAUCUCCAUGAGCAGCGCAGCACGACACCUAGAGGAGGCUGUUCCCAAGAAGGAGUAUCCACCACAUCCGAUCGUCCCGGAGCUGCCAAAGCCCGAACUCCCGCCGCACCCCGUCAUGCCCGAGCUGCCGAAGCCUGAGCUGCCACACCCUCUCGUCCCCGAAGUGCCACACCCCGUGGUGCCCGAGGUGCCAAAGCACGAACUGCCGCCACACCCUGCUAUGCCCGAGCUCCCGAAGCCUGAACUCCCGCAUCCGGUUGUGCCUGAGGUGGCAAAGGAGCCUGAAGUGCCAGUGCCACACCCCGUGGUGCCCGAGGUGCCAAAGCACGAACUGCCGCCACACCCUGCUAUGCCCGAGCUCCCGAAGCCUGAACUCCCGCAUCCGGUUGUGCCUGAGGUGGCAAAGGAGCCUGAAGUGCCAGUGCCACACCCCGUGGUGCCGGAGAUGCCAAAGCACGAGCUGCCACCGCACCCUGCUAUGUCCGAGCUCCCGAAGCCUGAACUGCCGCAUCCGUUUGUGCCUGAGGUGGCAAAGGAGCCUGAAGUGCCAGUGCCACACCCCGUGGUGCCGGAGAUGCCAAAGCACGAGCUGCCACCGCACCCUGCUAUGCCCGAGCUCCCGAAGCCUGAACUGCCGCAUCCGGUUGUGCCUGAGGUGGCAAAGGAGCCUGAAGUGCCAGUGCCACACCCCGUGGUGCCGGAGANNNNNNNNNNNNNNNNNNNNNNNNNNNNNNNNNNNNNNNNNNNNNNNNNNNNNNNNNNNNNNNNNNNNNNNNNNNNNNNNNNNNNNNNNNNNNNNNNNNNGGGUUGGCCUAGAACUGCCUUGUGAUGCCUCGGACCGUGCCCUUUUUUCGAUGUCCACGACUAUCACCAUACAAGAUGGCUGCACCGCGCGGUUUUGGCAUGACAGAUGGCUACAAGGCAUGUGUCCAAAAACAAUGGCGCCGGACCUUUACAAGAUCUCAUUUAGAAAAAACCGCACAGUGAAAGAAGCAUUAACUGCUGAAAAAUGGCUGACGGACUUGGCACACGGGCUGACAGAAACGAUGGUACCUCAGCUGGCCUGCCUGGCGGCAUGUCUCGAACAGAUUGAACUCACUCCCGAUAGGCCAGACACUGUAGAAUGGCGUUACAACUCCGAUAAAAGAUAUAGUGCAAAAUCCACCUACCUGCUGCAAUUCAAUGGCUCGACAACCAUGGAAGGAGCAAAAUAUAUCUGGACGGGUUGGGCACCGGGCAAAUGCAGAUUCUUUUUAUGGACAGCCGCAUUAGGGAAAAUACUAACGGCAGACGUGUUGUUGCGGCGAGGACGGGAGAACAAUUAUUUCUGUCCUCUAUGCCAGAGAAAUCUGGAGACCGUUUUCCACCUUCUCGUGGAGUGCUCUUGGACCCGGAAAACCUGGGAUGCAAUCGCAACCUCAGCUGANNNNNNNNNNNNNNNNNNNNNNNNNNNNNNNNNNNNNNNNNNNNNNNNNNNNNNNNNNNNNNNNNNNNNNNNNNNNNNNNNNNNNNNNNNNNNNNNNNNNCCAAUUCCUGUUUUUCCAUGUUUAUGACCCCUUUCAGAGGAGGAUAUUAAACGGAGUCCAAAUGGAAUGAAACUGCCAAAAAGAUUUUUUCCGAAACAGAAGAAGAUCGGGAAGCCUCAGAAUCGGGGGAGGGGGCCUGCAGGGACCCCACAAGCCCCCUAGCCGCAGCCAGGGGAGCCCGCGCCUCCCAGGCUUGUGGGUUCACUCGGCCACUGCUAUCCCACAGACAACAGCGCUAGAAAUUGACACGUUGACGGAGGCUGGGCUUGCAUUUUUUUCCCUCGAAGAGGAAAGGGUGAUGCAGCAGAGGAGCAGUAAGUAUUUCCCUCAGUUUGAGAACCAAGGUAUUGAUCCACAAGGAGGGUCUCGUCAAGUCCAGAGUACCUGCGCAAACACAAAAAACUUGCGCCCAACGCUUCAAAGGGGUUGUCAAUCCCUUCAAGAUUGUUUGCAAAGUGAGAUCUGAAGGCGGAAAGUGCAAUGUAGUAAAAAGUGUAAGGCUGAAAAUAUGGUGUGGAGUAGACCCUGGGGGCCAUAGUGUUCACUCGAGGCUUCUCUCCAAAUAGCAAGUAUUACGGUGGGUGAACAAAUUACUAUCGAGCAAUUGAUAGAACCGCGCAACGUCAUGACGACAUCUACGACAAUGAUACAUAUAUGCAUCACGUCCGAGACAAGUAGACCGAUACUUUCUGCAUCUACUACUAUUACUCCACACAUCGACCGCUAUCCAGCAUGCAUCUAGUAUAUUGAGUUGAUGACGAACAGAGUAACGCUUUAAGCAAUAAGAAAUGCUGUAGAGGGAUAAUCACAAACCAAUGAUGAAAACCCCAUCUUUUUACCCUUGAUGGCAACAACAGGAUGCUUGCCUUGCUACCCUUUCUGUCACUAGGUGAGGUCACCGCACAGUAUGAACCCAAAACCAAGCACUUCUCCCAUUGCAAGAAUCAUAGAUCUAGUUGGCCAGACAAAACCCACAACUCGAAGAGAUUUACAAGGAUAUGAAAUCAUGCAUAAGAAAGAUCAGAAGAAACUCAAAUAAGAUUCAUAGAUAAUCUGAUCAUAAAUCCACAAUCCAUCGGAUCUCAACAAACACACUGCAAAAGAAGAUUACAUCGGAUAGAUCUCCCUGAAGAUCAUGGAGAACUUUGUAUUGAAGAUCCAAGAGAGAGAAGAAUCCAUCUAGUUACUAGCGAUGGACCCGUAGGUCUAUGGUUAACUACUCAUGCAUCAUCAGAGAGGUCAUGGUGUUCAUGAAGAAGCCCUCCGUAUCCGAAUCUCCCCUCCGACAGGGCACCAGAACGUGCCCUAGAUGGGAUCUUGCGGAGACAGAAGCUUGCGGCGGCGGAAAAGUACUUUCGAUGAUCUCCUGUUUUUUUGGAAUUUAUGGGAAUAUAUAAGCGAAAGACCUAGGGCAAAGGGCGUCCAGGUGGCCCACAAGCCUGGAUGGCAUGGCCUCCCCCCUGAGGCUCCCCUGCCUUGGCUCACAAGCUUCCCGAUCUUCUUCAGUUCCAAAAAAAAAUCUUUUCGGGGACUUUCUUCCGUUUGGACUCCGUUUCGAAAUCUCCUCUGAAAGGGGUCAAAAACAUGGAAAAAACAGGAACUGACACUUGGCACUGAGUUAAUAAGUUAGUCCCAAAAAAUAUAUAAAAGGCNNNNNNNNNNNNNNNNNNNNNNNNNNNNNNNNNNNNNNNNNNNNNNNNNNNNNNNNNNNNNNNNNNNNNNNNNNNNNNNNNNNNNNNNNNNNNNNNNNNNUGGAGUAAAUACAUGUUCCUGCACAGAACUGCAUGCUAACCUAUUUUGACAUGCAUGAGAAUGACAUGAUCAUAUGUGUCUCGUGUAAACGAUGCAAAAGCAUAUAAAGAACAUUACAAUCGGAGCUACGAAUCAACGGGAAUCAACGAAACAAGAUAUGAAGCCCUACGUGUCAAAAUAAUGACCACGCACUCAAAUGGCACAAAUCUGGUAUUCCUAGGUUGCCAAGAGAAUAACCAAACCAUCAUGGAUGGGGUGGAGCAAAUAAGAACACCACAACAUCAACUAAGCACUCACAAACAUCAAAAUCACAAAACUACACAAUCUGCCAUAAACUGCAUCAUAGCACUUUGUGAGCUACAUGCAAAGCAUCUACAGCCACCCAAACAUGACAAAUAAUAUAUGUGGCUGUAGCUAUCCAAGAAUAAUACAAGCACAAGCAAGAAUCACACAAAAAGGAAUUAAACACAGAAAGUUACAAGGCUGCAAACUUGCCCAAAAACAUCAGUUUUCACGGACUUGAAAAUUCCAGAUUCUCACUUUCUGUCUAUGCUCUGAAGCAUUUUGACAGCAGCCAAAACAAUAUCUACAGGGCUCCGAAUGACAUGAAAUAUUACAGCGAGCUAUACAAACAUAUCCGGUCCAACUUUCUAGUUGAAAGCUAAGGCUAGAUCACAACACAAUGACCAGCACAACCUCAUCAACACGAGAAGAAAAUAUAAACAGAUUCUCAGACUUAGUGAAAAUCUCAGAUUUUCACUAAUCUGGAAUUUCAGCCACAUGCCUANNNNNNNNNNCCUACGGCCACCCAAACAUGACAAAUAAUAUAUGUGGCUGUAUCUAGACAAGAAUACUACAAGCACAAGCAAGAAUCACACAAAAAGGAAUUAAACACAGAAAGUUACAAGGCUGCAAACUUGCCCAAAAACGACAGUUUUCACGGACUUAGAGAAAAUUCCAGAUUCUCACUUUCUCUCUAUGCUCUGAAGCAUUUUGACAGCAGCCAAAACAAUAUCUAUAGGGCUCCAAAUGACAUGCAAUUUUACAGGGAGCUAGACAAACAUAUCAGGUACAACUUUCUAGGUGAAAGCUAAGGCUUGAUCACAACACAAUGACCAGCACAACCUCAUCAACAGGAGAAGAAAAUAUAAACAGAUUCUCAGACUUCGUGAAAAUCUCAGAUUUUCACUAAUCUGGAAUUUCAGCCACAUGCCUACUUUGAGUGGGCAUAACUUGCACAUAUGGAAUCCUGAUCAUGAGAUGAAACCAACAAAAGGUAGAGGGGGUCACCCUCUACUACCACAACCAAGAAACAAACACAAAGACUCAUCACAACUCAUGGAAGCAAGCUCUAAACAUAGAAGAAAAUGAAAAUAUGUCAUCUCCAGAAAUGUUCCAAUGGAAAAAACUGAUCUCACCAAUGGAUUCCUUAGGAGAUUCUACCCCAAAAACAUAUAUAAUAUGUGGGCACGUACUUGGAACAAGUGACCACAAAUUAAGAAGGAAAAAACAACAUAGAAUCUUAAUUAGUGAAUAGUGCAACAUCACAUGUGCAAAAUCACUAGAACACUAUCUACACUAGCACUUGCAUGACCACAACACCAAUGUUGACAUGAGGAUUUUGACCCCAUGUGUGUGUGCCAUGGCCAUCACCAUACCCAAACAUAUCUACAAGACAAACUCACCGACACAAGAAACAUGCACCACUCACAUAUGGACAUAUGGACAUAUGAGGAUUCCCCACACACAAGCACAUGCUCACAAUCCAUGGUGCUCAUGAAAUAUGUUCAUGUGUGUGUGUGCUUCUCACACACCACACCUCAAUAUAAACAUGCACUCAAAACCUACCACACUACACCACUUAAGCAUGUCACUAGUGCAUCAUCCUCACCUUGAGGAAGAGCUGCUCACACACAUGCAGCACACUAGGCUAGUAAAACACCCACAAGUCAAGCACCUCAGAAACAUCUCAUACGGAAGAAGAUCCACACAUACACUACUCUACCUUACAAAUAACUACACACUCACAUAAACACACAUGCUAGCAAAAAAAUUACCUUCACACACAUGCUGUUUGUGGGAAGAAAGUAUUCCCACUUGGUNNNNNNNNNNAUCACAAACAUCUCAUAUGGAAGAAGAUCCACACAUACACUACUCUACCUUACAGAUAACUACACACUCACAUAAACACACAUGCUAGCAAAAAAAAUACCUUCACACACAUGCUGUUUGUGGGAAGAAAGUAUUCCCACUUGGUGUAGCUCACACCAAGCAACUCUCAUACACAUACAAGAGGAUAAGCAGCAACAAGGCAAAAGAAAAUAAAUUAAAAGGGGUGGUGGUUUCGAACCCAGGACCUCCUGGUACAAGCCACAACACCAAACCACUCUGCUACCAAACACUAUCUCGACACGGAAGGAUAGAAAAGCAAGUUGACUGCACUAUUGCAGUAAUGCUAGUGUUGCCCGAAAUAUAAUGCAAAAAGGGGGGAGAGAUCUCCUGGGACUCAAACCCACAACCUCACGAGAACAAAUACUGGUUGUUACCACUUCGCUACGAUAUGGACGACUGACAUAACAGGGAACUGUAACAAGGUAACUAGCACNNNNNNNNNNGGGAAGGAUAGAAAAGCAAGUUGACUGCACUGCUGCUGCAACGCUACUGUUGCCCGAAAUAUAAUGCAAAAAGGGGGGAGAGAUCUCCUGGGACUCGAACCCACAACCUCUCGAGAACAAAUAUUGGUUGUUACCACUUCGCUAUGAUAUGGACGACUGACAUAACAGGGAACUGUAACAAGGUAACUAGCACCUGAUCCAUACCCUGCUCUGCACGAGCGAGCCAGCGACAGAGAGAUCGCCGGUGCUGGUCUCUCUCUACGGCUCAACAUCGACGAGGGGAUCCAACCUAGUCUCAGCGCUGCAACCACGAGGGGGAAGUAAGUCCCCCUCUUGCACCCAUGCAACCGAACGCCAGUACGCAGAACACCACCACGCAAAUGACCGAUCUACCUCUCGGAGCAGAGAAACUCCGGCGAAGUACAAGCGAUCCUAGCGAGGAGGAAGNNNNNNNNNNCAGCGAGCCGGCGACACAGAGAUCGCCAAUGAUGGUCUCUCUCUACAGCUCAAUGUCGACGAGGGGAUCCAACCUAGUCUCAGCGCUGCUACCACGAGGGGCAAGGAAGCCCCCCUCUUUCACCCAUGCAACCGAACGCCAGUACACAGAACACCACCACGCACAUGACCGAUCUACCUCUCUGAGCAGAGAAACUCCGGCGAAGUACAAGCGAUCCUAGCGAGGAGGAAGGAGGGAGGGGAGAUCCCUCACCUAGGGAAGGAAGGGAAGAAGCCACCCCGCUUGAAGGAGUAGCCGGAGGGGAAGAAGACGCGUCGGAACUCUGCUGCCAAUGAAAUAGAGGAAGACGACGGGGAACUCUGGGGCCGAGGCGAUGGCGACCUCCUAGCCGUCGUUGUGGUCACUCCUCGACCUCAACGAUGGCGGGAAUGGGGCGCGGGAAGCCUGACUGAGCUCCUGGACAUGGCGGCGGCUCCGGACAUCGACGGGAACGGGGAAGACGUCGGCGAGGCUUCCCUUCUCUCUCUCCCACUCCUACAAGAACUUACUGGCGGUGGAAGGAAGGGAGAUGGGGAUGGAGAGAGGUGGCGGCGCAGAUCGGGAGAGAGGGAAACCCUAAGGCAGUUAGGCACGGACGCCCACACUUUAUGGCGUGGCCUCGACGGCUGUGCCUGAUGGCAGCAUACCCUCCCUCUCUGCUGACGAGACAGAAAGGUGGACGAGGAAGAACACCGUCAGAAGACGAGGCGGUCGCAGGACUGGGCCACCGCGCGAGGAAGGGAGGGGGAACUGGGCCACGCUGUGCGGGAGCAAGCCCAAUAGAGCGCCACUUAAGAGAAAAUAAAUCCCUGGUGUUUUUCUUUUUUACAAGAAGUACCAGAGAAGAAUGAAAUGCACAAGAAAAACUACAAAAGCAAAAAAAUAAAGCUAGCACAUCCCUGGUCAUGAAAAUUCAUGACCUAUUUGAAUAAAAUGCAACAUGAAUAUAUGGGGCAAAUUAAUAUCUACAAAACAGCCAUUGGUUGACCUGUUUUGUAAUUAUUUGCACCUCUUGCACCCCUCCUUAAAAGAGCAUCUAUACUUCACAAAUCCACCACACACAAGAGCUAAAACAGGAACAUUUUAAAAACAGAAAAGGAAGUAGUGAAUCUUGACAUAGGAGGAAUAGAGAGAGGGGUGAAGAUGAUUUGAAACCUAAGCAUUCACAUGGUAUCCUACUAGCACAAGAAACCUAGUAGAGUUGCACCACACCACACAUAUGUCCACAAGAUCACAAACACCACAUAAAAGCAUAAGACCACAAUGCAACAUCACAAGACAUGAGCAUGAAAUGUUAUGUUAUGCAUGAAUGCAAGGAAAGGAAAUGUUAAGGGACAUGACAUGGAAUCAUGGCAUUGAUCUCUCUCAUAGCAUAGACAUGGUGGUCCCACAUGGAAGGUUACAAAAAGGGAAGGCUUUACACUUGGGGCACUACAGACUCUCCCACACUAUGAAAAAGAUCUCGCCCCGAGAUCUACGCCUGAAAGAAUGCCGGAAAUUCAGAACGGAGGUGGUCCUAGCAUUCCCAAGUAGCCUCUUUAUCGGAAUGGUGUGACCACUGCACUUUGAGAAAUUUGACAGUCUUGUUACUGGUCUUGCGCUCAGUCGCCUCGAGAACCACAACUGGAUUCUCACGAUAACAAAGGUCAGGCUGAAGGUCGAUGUCUUGAAGAAGAACAGUGCGCUCGGGGGUCUUGAAGCACCUCCGAAGCUGAGAAACAUGGAACACAUCAUGGACAUUUGCAAAGUUUGUCGGAAGCUCGAGCUGGUACGCAAGGUGGCCUCUCUUGCCAACCACUCUGAACGGACCAACGAAACGAGGCGCAAGCUUGCCUUUGAUGCCAAAGCGUUGCAUACCCUUCAUAGGUGACACCUUGAGAUAGACGAAGUCAUCAAGAUCAUAAGACAUGUCACGGUGCUUGCUAUCAUAAUAGCUCUUCUGACGGGACUGAGCUGCUUUGAGGUUGUCGCGAAUGAUCCGACACAUCUCCUCAGCUUCUUCUAUCAUAUCAUUGCCAAGGAUCUGACGCUCGCCGGUCUCGGACCAGUUGAGCGGAGUACGGCACUUCCUGCCAUAGAGAAUUUCAAACGGAGCCUUGCCAGAACUAGCUCGAUAACUGUUGUUAUACGAGAACUCCGCGAAAGGCAGACAAUCUUCCCACUUCAUGCCAAAAGAGAUAACACAGGCUCUCAGCAUAUCCUCAAGAACGUGAUUCACUCUCUCCACUUGACCACUAGUCUGAGGAUGGAACGCUGUGCUGAAGCGGAUCUUCGUGUCCAUAGCAGACUAAAAGGAGUCCCAGAACUUGGAAGUGAAGAUACUUCCGCGAUCCGAAGAGAUCAUCAUAGGCACGCCGUGCAAAGAGACAAUCCUGGAGGUGUACAACUCUGCGAGCUGAGCUGCUGAAAUGGACUCGUUGACUGGAAGAAAAUGAACCACUUUACUCAACUUGUCGAUGACGACGAAGAUAGAAUCAUUACCCUUCUUGGACUUCAAAAACCCGGUGACGAAAUCCAUCUCAAUGUGAUCGAACUUCCACUCUGGAAUUGGCAAAGGCUGCAAAAGGCCUGCUGGGCGUUGAUGUUCUACUUUCACCCUUCGACAUACAUCACAUUCAUUUACGAACUGAGCAAUCUCACGCUUCAUACGAGUCCACCAGAAGGUCUGCUUCAAGUCGUGGUACAUUUUGGAGCUUCCAGGAUGAAUAGAGAGCAGAGAGUUAUGAGCUUCCUCCAUGAUUACCUUCCUAAGAUCACCUUUCGGGACGACAAGGCGAUCCUCGAAGAACAACGUGUCUCUGGCAUCGACAGUGAAGCACUUAUACUUGGGGAGACUCUUUCCCACGGCAAUCUUGACCUUCUUCACCAUAGCGUCAAGAAGUUGUGCUGCUCGGACCUGAUCUUCCAAGGUAGGAGAGAUCUGAAGGUUUGCAAGAAAUCCCUGAGGUACUAGCUGAAGGUUGAGAUUCCUGAAAGACUCACAAAGACCAGGCUGGAGAGGUUGCACAAUCAGACUAUUGCAAUAUGCCUUCCUGCUCAAAGCAUCCUCCACGACAUUAGCUUUGCCUGGCGUGUACUCAACACUCGGAUUAAAAUCCUGGAGCAUUUCCACCCAACGUGUUUGCUGAAGAUUCAAGUUAGACUGAGUGAAGAUGUACUUGAGACUCUUGUGAACGGCGAAACUUCAACCUUACGUUCCAACAAGAGGUGUCUCCAAGUCAUCGGAGCAUGUACCACAGCUGCUAGCUCAAGAUCAUGCACAGGAUAGUUCUUCUCCGCUGGCUUCAACUGCCUGGAGGUAUAAGCAACCACCUUCUUAUCUUGCAUCUGGACCGCACCAAGACCCUGGAGAGAAGCGUCGCAGAAGACCUGGUAAGGCAUGGAAUCAUCCGGAGGGACCAAGACAGGAGUGGAGGUAAGCUUCUCUUUGAGUGUAUCGAAGGCCAGUUGACACAAUGGAGACCAAGCAUACUUAACACCCUUCUGAAGAAGACUUGAGAGCGGCUUGGCGAUCUUGGAGAAGUUCUCAAAAAACCUUCCUCAAUAUCCAGCAAGCCCAAGAAAGCUUCGAAGCUCCUUCACAUUCUGCGGAGGCUCCCAUUCAACAAUGGCCUGAACCUUGGACGGAUCGACUUUAAUGCCCUCGGCAGAGAUAAUGUGCCCAAGAUACACCACUUCUUUCAGCCAGAACUCGCACUUGGAAAACUUAGCAUACAGCUUGUACUCUCUCAGCUUAUCAAGCACCAAUCUGAGAUGUUCUUCAUGUUCUUCCUCAGUUUGAGAAAAGACCAGAAUGGCGUCGAGGUAGAGCAAGACAAAGUCAUUCUUGAACGGAGAGAAUAUGUAGUUCAUCAAUCGACAGAAUGUCGGAGGAGCAUUUGCCAGACCAAAAGACAUGACCAUAUACUCAUACGAGCCAAAACUAGUCCUGAAGGCAGUCUUCGGAAUAUCUUCCUCGCGAAUGUGAAUUUGAUGAUAGCCCAUUCUAAGAUCAAGCUUGGAGAAGACCUUAGCACCUUUCAACUGUUCGAAAAACUCAGUUAUGUUCGGAAGUGGAUAUUUGUUCCUGAUUGUCUUCUUAUUCAAUGGGAAGUAAUCUACACACAGUCGGUCCGUGCCAUCCUUCUUCUUGACAAACAGAACACCACAGCCCCACGGAGACGAGCUUGGUCUGAUCAAACCCAAACUCUCCUGCUCAUCGAGUUGCCUCAUAAGUUCCUUCAAUUCUUCUGGGCCCAGCUUGUACAGUCGUUUGCACACUCGCUCUGUGCCUGGCUCAAGCUCAAUGACAAACUGAACUUCACGGUGCGGAGGCAUGCCUGGAAGUUCUUUAGGAAAUACAUCUUCAUACUCGCAGACCACUGGGAGUUGCGAGAUAGGAUUGAUCUCACCCUUUUCAUACAAAGAGAACAGACGGAUUGUAUCAUCACGCGCCGGGAAUAUAAUCACGUCCUCCGAAGAGUGGGUAAGCUUCACUUCUUUGGCUUCACAAUCAAUUGACGCCUUGUUCAUGGCUAGCCAGUCCAUACCAAGAAUAAACUCGAUGUCGGAAUUGCCCAAGACAAUAGGAGACGCCAGAAAAGCAUAAGCACCCAUCUUGACAGAAAUAUCAGGAACGAACAAACUAGAACUCAAAGGCUUUGCAGGAGAAACGACUGCCAACGGCUUAGGCAACUGCUCCUGACGCAGAUUAUGCUUGGAUGCAAAUGGAUAUGACACGAAGCAAUGCGAAGCACCAGAAUCAAAUAAAACUUUAGCAGGAAUAUCAUUGACGAGGAGGUUACCCAUGAUCACAUCUGACGAGUUCUCUGCCUUAGCUGCAUUCACCAUGUUGACUCGAGCUGAUCUAUGGUUGAACUUGACAAGAGCGUUGCUUGGAGGUUUGCCUGGAGGAGGAGGCGGCAGUCGGAGCUGAGAAAUACACUUGUUGGCAUAGUGGCCCUUCUGCCCACACUUGUGACAAGUGACAUCUGCUGGCUGCCGGUACUGAGUCUGAGGAGGCCCUUGCUUGUGAUGUUGGUAUCUCUGCUGGAAAACAGGGUUGGGUGGGUGGGAAGAACCACGACCACCUGAGUGCUUGAGCUGCUGCGAGUGCCGAGGAGGAGGACGAGAAACCCAAAACUUCUGUUGCUUCUGAACCACCUGAGUCGAGGAAGAGCUGGAAUCUCUGAAGCGCUUCUUAGAAUUCUCCACCCUGAGCAAGGCUGCCUCUGCUGUGAGAGAUAGGUUGUAGAACUUGUCGAACUCCUCAGGAUCGUGCAAGGCAAGAGCUAACUACAAAUCUUCUUUCAAGCCACCUUUGAACUGAUAAAUCUUGCUCUUGUGAUCAGGGAUAUCCUGCAACGUGUAACAGGCCAGCUCAUGGAACUAAACGUUGUACUUGUACACGGAAAUGCCACCCUGCUUCAAACGCCUGAACUUCUCAUGCAUCUCCUCCACGAAACUGGAAGGGAUGUACUGGGACCUGAAAUCACGACAGAACUCAUCCCAAGAAAUCACCCUAGCACCACUGGAGUCCUUCAGUUGCUGCCACCAUAUAGAAGCCUACCCCUUCAACUGAAACGUUGCAAACUUGACAUAAUCCUCCGGACGCACAUUGCUACACUCAAAAUGUUUGUUCAUAUCACGGAUCCAAUCUUUUGCAUCAAAUGGCUGGUCGCAUGAAGUGAACGUCUUUGGUUGGUUUGACAGGAACUGACUCAGACUCGCAAACUGAUUGCCACCAUGCAGGAAAUUGCAUGGUUGUUGGUUGGCUCUCUCUUGCAGCAACUGUAUCAGCAUCUGGGUGUUUGCAUUAGUAGCACCAUCACCGCUUGCCAGGCCUCUGCAGGAGGAGGAGGCGGCGGAGGGUUCUUCGGAGGGGGAGGUGGAGGAAGCAUAUCCUCACGCCCUGGAUUCUGACGAGUCGGUGGAGCCAUCCUGAAGAUGGACAGCAUAUUAGCCCACAGAAUAAUUGAAGAUAUUGUUGAAUCAAAAGACAGGAAUAUCUUAACAGGAAUAAGCAAUGCACUCGAACAAAUUAGUAAGAAUGCUUCCUGAAAGUGAUGGACGACACAAUUCCGAUUAGGACCACUUCAAACAAGUAUGAGCUAGAACUGCUCGGAACAAACAUACGAUCGAGAUUUCCCCAACCUCAAUCAUGCAUCUGUAGGAAGAUAGUCCUAUAAGAUACUACUUGAUAUCCCACCUAAGAAUUCCCGAAAUAACUGGUCAUGCAAUCUGGUACACGGAUACAAGGAGUAAUAUCACACAACUCCUAAAGUAACCCAUCACCUGUAUCACAUCCUUCAACACACAACCAGCAUCUCGGACCUUCAUCUACCACAGACCCUCGUGGUCACAACGAUACCAAGUAUGGUAGUACUCCCGAACAAUCUACACCAGUACUAGGGACAUCAGGGUUAUCUCGCCACUACCGGUAUUGAAGCAAUAACGAACAUCCUUCGUUCUUAGAUACUCAUAAAUCUGAAUGAUGGCGAUGUGUGCAAGAGUCCCCUGGAGCUCAACUCCCCGGAAGAAACUCAAAGCAGAGAGGAGGCACCAAGGCAGGACUCUGUCACAUCGAAAUCAUAUAGAUUUCACAAAUACCCGCGUGAUCCUAAAAAAAAUUUGAGCGAGAAAAGGAGUAGAGUUAAAGAUUUCCUAAGUCGGGAACCUCACCAGAGCAUAGAAGAGGAGAAAAAAGAAUCCUACUCUCUAAUAUAACUAAGACUCAAAACAUUUUACUAGACUCGACUCGGCCAAGUACGAUCACACAAAGGCUCCUAUGGUCGUAAGGCUCUGAUACCAACUUGUAACGACCAAGAUGCGGUCCUUUCCGAUCUGGGGAUCGAGGCCCCGAAUUGGAAAGGAGUGCAUCUAAGCGUCUCGCAAACAGGUAACACAGCACAUACAUAAUAAUAAUAAAGAGACAAUCAAGGGUUCAAUUGCCUUCUCAUAAAUAUAUCAGAGUACAUCACGCAUACAAUCAAAGUAGUUCCGCUACGGACUACAAACAAGAGAAAGUGGCUAUGCUACCCUGCCUGCUGACCCAUGAUCACGACCACGCCUCAAUCUUCUGGAUAGUUCACGUACAGGCAGUCGGUCUCCUCAUCGUACUGCCAAGCCAGCUGCAUGCCGUCGGGAUCACCUGUCUCUAGGGUACCUAAACCUGUUGGUAUUGUGGAGGAAUCCGUGAGCCACGGGGACUCAGCAAUCUAAGACCUUGGUGCCAGAACUAGUCAAAUUAUUAGGUUGGAUAGGGUAGAGUGUUUAAGGUUGCAGCAUCCUAAGCUUGAAAUGGUGGCUAACUUACGUAGAGCAUUUAUGAAGGUGGACUAUACUAGCGGUCGAGAAUACUUGAUCACUAAGUGAUCCUGAACACCUACCCACGUCAUUCAUAACCCCACCGUGUUCCCGAUCGAAGAGAGAUCUCCAAGGGGACAGUCACGGUUACGAACACGGUUGGCAAUUUUAUUAGCUUAUGUUAAAGUUAUCUAAUACCGGAUGUUAACAAAAUAUUCCAAGUUGCCACAUAACCGCGGGCACGGCUUCCCAAAAGAUUAAACCCUGCAGGGGUGCUCCAACUAGUCCAUCACAAACGUACACGGGCCGCAAAGUAAUCCUCUAUCACGAAUCUCGUGAUCUCGUCGGAUCCCUUAGAGGAAAACCUCAACUCUGGAGGAACCAAAACUUCACCGGGAUUCCUAUACACAAGAUAUAUCGCUAAGGUAAGGCAAGACUAGCAGGACCUCCCGUCGUNNNNNNNNNNCACACGGUUGGCAAUUUUAUUAGCUUAUGUUAAAGUUAUCUAAUACCAGAUGUUAACAAAAUAUUCCAAGUUGCCACAUAACCGCGGGCACGGCUUACCAAAAGAUUAAACCUUGCAGAGGUGCUCCAACUAGUCCAUCACAAACGUACAUGGGCCGCAAAGUAAUCCUCUAUGACGAAUCUCGUGAUCUCGUCGGAUUCCUUAGAGGAAAACCUCAACUCUGGGGGAACCAAAGCUUCACCGGGAUUCCUAUACGCAAGAUAUAUCGCUAAGGUAAGGCAAGACUAGCAGGACCUCCCGUCGUGUCGACGACCCCGAUAAGAGCCGCGUAUCUCAGUCUCAGGACACGAAAAGCCUACAAGAGCCAAACCUCAAGUUUCCCUGUGGUGGCCCCCACAGUCUGUCCAUUUUGGGCCAACACUCAUGAGGAGCACUGGCCCGGGUUGUUGAUUAAAGAUCCUCGGGUGAUCAUUUCCUAUGCAUAUUAUUAUUAAGUGAUUAGCAAAUUAACACCAAUGUUGGGUCCUGCCGGACAAGUCUUAGCACUAAGCGAUUUAUCGAGGGGGUCCCCAUAACAACCCCGAACGUCUUAGGAGCGAUCAAUAUGGAAUCAAACACCGGUAACCGGUAACUAUGGCGGCAAUAACGGAACAAAGCACCCGGCAAAAUGCUAGGCCUUCCGUCAUUUACCAAGUAUAUAGGUGCAUUAAUUAAAUAACAGAAUUUAAGAUAAUGACAUCAAGCUCAUGUUAUCACAUGAGUCAAAGCACCUGCAUCUAGCAACGCUAACAUUAGUAGCUGAGCAAAGCCUACUUAGCCAUUCAAGUUUGCUGGGAAGGGAUCAGUGUUUGGGUUCAUGGCAUAUCAAGAGGCAAAUAUUUCAGUGGUAGGCAGUGAGGAUAUGACAAAGGAAAUGUAAUAUAGCAUAACAAUUCUAGAGAUGGAAUCAAGGUCAUAUCAUCUUGCCUGUGAUAUCCUCAGCUUGGAAUGGUUCUUGAUCAUCCUGCACAUACUCUCCGGACUCCACGUACUCGUUCUCCGAUCCCGGUGCUAUCCAACAUAAGAAUAUCAUCCAAUGAACAACAUCACCUCAAGAUGCAACAAGCACAUGAUGCAUGAGAUGAAUAUGAGCAUGCAUCACUAUUUCUAUCACUAGCACAAGCAUANNNNNNNNNNNNNNNNNNNNNNNNNNNNNNNNNNNNNNNNNNNNNNNNNNNNNNNNNNNNNNNNNNNNNNNNNNNNNNNNNNNNNNNNNNNNNNNNNNNNCUUGCUACGUUUCACCUUGCUACACAAUCACUUGUUACCGCUUCUUUCAGGGCUUUCAGUUAUUACCUUGCUGAAAUCCAUUUAUCAGAGCCUUCUGCUCCUCGUUGGGUUCGACACUCUUACUUAUCGAAAGGACUACGAUUAAUCCCCUAUACUUGUGGGUCAUCAAGACUCUUUUCUGGCGACGUUGCCGGGGAGUUUUGCACCUUUGGUAAGUGGAAAUUGGUAAGGAAACAUUUAUAUACUGUGCUGAAAUUUAUUGUCACUUGUCACUAUGGAAACUGUUUCUUUGAGGAGUUUGUUCGGGGUAUCUUCACGACGAACGGAAGCACGAGGAGUUGCUCCUCAACCUGAGGUACCUAGUGAAAAUAUCUUUUAUGAAAUUCCUUCAGGUAUGCUUGAGAAACUUCUGGCUAAUCCUUUGACAGGAGAUGGAUCUUCACAUCCACACUUGCAUCUAAUCUAUGUAGAUGAAGUUUGUGGUUUAUUUAAGCUUGCAGCUUUGCCCGAGGAUGAGGUAAAGAAGAAAGUCUUUCCUUUAUCUUUGAAGGAUAAGGCGUUGACAUGGUAUAGGCUUUGUGAUGACACUGGAUCAUGGGGCUACAAUCGGUUGAAAUUGGAAUUUCAUCAAAAGUUCUAUCCUAUGCAUUUAAUACAUCGUGAUCGGACUUUAUUUAUAAAUUUUGGCCUCGUGACAAGGAAAGCAUAGCUCAAGCUUGGGGGAGGCUUAAAUCAAUGCUAUAUUCAUGCCCCAAUCAUGAGCUCUCGGGAGAAAUCAUCACUCAAAACUUUUAUGCUCGGCUUUCUCAUGAAGAUCUUACCAUGCUUGACACUUCUUGUACCGGUUAUUUUAUGAAGAAGGAUAUUGAUCACAAGUGGAAUUUAUUGGAGAGAAUCAAACGCAACUCUGAAGAUUGGGAGCUGGAGGAAGGUAAGGAGUCAGGUAUGAAUUUCCAGUUUGAUUGCGUUAAAUAUUUUGUUGAGACAAACACUUCUAGAGAUUUUAGCGCUAAGUAUGGACUUGACUCUGAGAUAGUAGCUUCUCUAUGUGAAUCUUUUGCUGCUCAUGGUAAUCUUCCCAAAGAGAAGUGGUUUAAAUAUCAUCCUCCUAUAGAAAGCAACAUAGCCAAAACCAAUCUAGUUGAGGAGAAAGUCAUUGCUUUUAGUGAUCCUAUUGUUCCUUGUGCUUACACUGAGAAACCACCAUACCCUGCUAGGAUAAAGGAUUAUUCUAAAGCUCCAACUGUGAUACGUAGGGGUUACAUUAGAUCACUUGCACCCCCUGAGGAGAUUAGAGUUGAACCUAGUGUUGCUAUUAUCAAAGAUCUCUUAGCCGAAGACAUAGAUGGGCAUGUUAUCAAAUUCUGUGAGGACUCCGCUAGAAUUGCUAAACCUNNNNNNNNNNCACGGACCUGUAGUUGGCCUGCCCGUUGUUUCUGUUAAGAUAGGAGAUCACUGUUACCAUGGUUUAUGUGAUAUGGGAGCUAGUGUUAGUGCAAUACCCCGUUCUCUAUAUGAUGAAAUCCAAGAUGAGAUUGCACCUGCUGAGUUAGAACCCAUCGAUGUCACUAUUACGCUAGCUAAUAGAGACACUAUCUACCCUGUGGGAAUUAUGAGAGACGUAGAAGUCCUGUGUAGUAAGAGGAAGUAUCCUACUGAUUUCCUCAUCCUUGGUACUGCACAAGAUAGCUUUUGUCCCAUCAUAUUCGGUAGACCCUUUCUCAACACUGUCAAUGCUCACAUUGAUUGCAUUAAGCAGACUGCCACAGUAAGUUUCGAGUGUGUGUCUCAUGAAUUUAACUUCUCCAUGUUUGGAAGACAAACCCAUGAAAGAGAGUCGUCUGGUAGAGAUGAAAUCAUUGCUCUUGCCUCUAUUGCCAUACCUCCUACAGAUCCUUUAGAGAAAUAUCUGCUUGAGCAUGAAAAUGAUAUGCAUAUGGAGGAGAGAGAUGAGAUAUAUAAAAUUGUCUUAGAACAAUAUCCUAUUCUCAAGAAUAAUCUGCGUGUUGAACUGCUUGGGGAUCCUCCCCCACCAAAGGGUGAUCUUGUGUUCGAGCUUAAACAGUUGCCUGAUACUCUUAAGUAUGCCUAUCUUGAUGAGAAGGAGAUAUAUCCUAUCAUUAUUAGUGCUCUCCUCUCAUAGUGCAAAGAGAAGAAGUUACUAAAAACUCUGAGGAAGCACCGCGCUGCUAUUGGAUAUACUCUUGAUGAUCUUAAGGGUAUUAGUCCUACUCUAUGUCAGCACAAGAUUAAAACGGAUCCUGACUUUAAACCAGUUGCUGAUCAUCAAAGGAGAUUAAAUCCUAAGAUGAAAGAGGUCGUUAGAAAAGAAAUAUUAAAGCUUCUGGAAGCAGGAAUCAUUUAUCAUGUUGCUCAUAGUGAUUGGGUAAGUCGAGUACAUUGCGUACCUAAGAAGGGAGGUAUCACCGUCGUUCCCAAUGAUAAGAAUGAACUAAUCCCACAAAGGAUUAUUACCGGCUAUAGAAUGGUGAUAGACUUCCGGAAACUGAACAAGGAAACCAGGAAAGAUCAUUAUCCUUUGCCGUUCAUCGACCAAAUGCUAGAAAGGCUAUCAAAACACACACACUUCUGCUUUCUAGACGGUUAUUCAGGUUUCUCGCAAAUACCUGUUGCACAAUCUGAUCAAGAGAAAACCACUUUCACCUGCCCUUUCGGUACCUUUGCCUAUAGAUGUAUGCCUUUUGGCUUUUGUAAUGCACCUGCCACCUUCCAAAGAUGUAUGAUGGCUAUAUUCUCUGACUUUUGUGAAAAGAUCGUCGAGGUUUUCAUGGAUGACUUCUCCGUUUACGGGUCUUCCUUUGAUGAUUGCCUCAGCAACCUUGAUCGAGUCUUACAGAGAUGCAAAGAAACCAACCUCGUCUUGAAUUGGGAGAAGUGCCACUUUAUGGUUAAUGAAGGUAUCGUCUUAGGACACAAAAUUUCUGAGAGAGGCAUUGAAGUUGAUAAGUCUAAGGUUGAUGCAAUUGAGAAAAUGCCUUGCCCCAUAGAUAUCAGAGGUAUACGAAGUUUCUUAGCUCAUGUUGGUUUCUAUAGAAGGUUCAUUAAAGACUUCUCUAAGAUUUCUAGGCCUCUUACCAACGUCUUGCAGAAGGAUGUUCCUUUUGUUUUUUAUGAGGAUGUUCCUUUUGUUUUUGAUAAGGUAUUGCAAUCAGGUUUCUAUUUGCCCACUCUCUUCAAGGAUGCCCGUAAGUUUGUUUUGUCUUGUGACGAAUGCCAAAGGAUAGGGAACAUCAGUAAGCAUCAAGAGAUGCCUAUGAACUAUUCACUUGUCAUUGAACCAUUUGAUGUCUGGGGCUUUGAUUAUAUGGGACCCUUCCCGACUUCCAAUGUGUACACUCACAUCUUAGUUGCUGUGGAUUACAUUACUAAGUGGGUAGAAGCUAUCCCCACUAAAAAUGUUGAUCACCACACCUCUAUUAAGAUGCUUAAAGAAGUCAUAUUCCCAAGAUUUGGAGUCCCUAGAUACUUGAUGAAUGAUGGCGGUUCACACUUCAUUCAUGGUGUUUUCCGCAAGAUGCUAGCUAAGUAUGAUGUCAACCAUAGAGUUGCAUCUCCUUAUCAUUCUCAGUCUAGUGGUCAAGUUGAGUUGAGUAAUAGGGAGAUCAAGUUGAUCCUACAAAAGACCGUCAAUAGAUCUCGAAAGAACUAGUCUAGCAAACUUGACGAUGCACUAUGGGCUUAUAGGACUGCUUAUAAGAAUCCCAUGGGCAUGUCAUCGUAUAAAAUGGUUUACGGUAAGGCCUGUCAUUGACCUCUUGAGCUGGAACACAAAGCUUAUUGGGCAAUCAAAGAGCUCAACUUUGAUUUCAAACUUGCCGGUGAGAAGCGGUUGUUUGAUAUCAGCUCGUUAGAUGAAUGGAGAGCCCACGCGUAUGAGAAUGCCAGGUUGAUCAAGGAAAAGGUUAAGAGAUGGCACGACAAACGAAUACAGAAACGAGAGUUCAGUGUAGGUGAUUAUGUCUUGCUAUACAAUUCUCAUUUGAGAUUCUUNNNNNNNNNNNNNNNNNNNNNNNNNNNNNNNNNNNNNNNNNNNNNNNNNNNNNNNNNNNNNNNNNNNNNNNNNNNNNNNNNNNNNNNNNNNNNNNNNNNNUCGUGCCUUGCUGCCCCUUCUGUCACAGGGAAAGGACACCACACGGUAUGAACCCAAAACCAAGCACUUAUUCCAUUGCAAGAAUCAUAGAUCUAGUUGGCCAAACAAAACCCAAGACUCGGAGAGACUUACAAGGAUAUCAAAUCAUGCAUAUAAGAAAUCAACAAAGACUCAAAUAUAUAUCAUAGAUAAUCUGAUCACAAAUCCACAAUUCAUCGGAUCUCGACAAACACACAGCCAAAGAGGAUUACAUCAGAUAGAUCUCCAUGAAGAUCAUGGAGAACUUUGUAUUGAAGAUCCAAGAGAGAGAACAAGCCAUCUAGCUACUAACUACGAACCCGUAGGUCUGAAUUGAACUACUCACGAGUCAUUGGAGGGACGAUGAUGUUGAUGAAGAAGCCCUCCAACUCCUAAGUCCCCUCCGGCAGGGCACUGGGAAGGGUCUCCAGAUGAGAUCUCGCAGAAACGGAAGCUUGCGGCGGCGGAAAAGUGUUUUCGUGGAUUCCUUGAUUUUUUCUGGAUUUUUAGGGAAUUUAUAGGCCAAAGACCUAGGGCAGGGGAGCGCUAGGGGGGCCACAAGCUUGGUUGCCGCGGCCUCCCCCCUGGUCGCGGCAGCAGGGCUUGUGGGCCCCCUGUAGCCCACANNNNNNNNNNNNNNNNNNNNNNNNNNNNNNNNNNNNNNNNNNNNNNNNNNNNNNNNNNNNNNNNNNNNNNNNNNNNNNNNNNNNNNNNNNNNNNNNNNNNCACGACCUCUUUCAUCCUAGGAUUUAAGCUCCUUUGAUGAUCAGCAACUGGCUUAGAAUCAGGAUCAAUUUUAAUCUUGUGCUGACAUAGAGUGGGACUAAUACCCUUAAGAUCAUCAAGAGUAUAUACAAUAGCAGCAUGGUGCUUCCUCAAAGUUUUUAAUAACUUCUUCUCUUCGUGAUUCGAGAGGUGAGCACUAAUAAUAACAGGAUAUAUCUCCUUCUCAUCAAGAUAGGCAUACUUAAGAGUAUCUGGUAACUGUUUUAGCUCGAACACAGGAUCACCCUUUGGUGGGGGAGGAUCCCCAAGCAGUGCAAUAGGCAGAUUAUUCUUGAGAAUAGGAUAUUGUUCUAAAACAAUUUUAUCUAUCUCAUCUCUUUCAUCCAUAUGCAUAUCAUUCUCAUGCUCAAGCAGAUAUUGCUCUACAGGAUCCGUAGGAGGUACGGCAAUAGAGGCAACAACAAUGAUUUCAUCCCUACCAGAUGACUCUUUUUCAUGGGGUUGUCGUCCAAACUUGGAGAAGUUAAAUUCAUGAGACACACCCUCGAAACUAACACUGACAGUCUGUUUAAUGCAAUCAAUGUGAGCAUUGACAAUGUUGAGAAAGGGUCUACCAAAUAUGAUGGGACAAAAGCUAUCUUGUGUAGUGGCAAGGAUGAGGAAAUCACUAGGAUACUUCGUCUUACCACACAGGACUUCUACGUCUCUCACAAUUCCCACACGGCAGAUAGUGUCUCUAUUAGUUAGCGUAAUAGUGACAUCGAUGGGUUCUAACUCAGCAGGUGCAAUCUCAUCUUUGAUUUCAUCAUAUAGGGACCGGGGUAUUGCAUUAACACUAGCACCCAUAUCACAUAAACCAUGAUAACAGUGGUCUCCUAUCUUGACAUAAACAACAGACAGGCCAACUACAGGUCCGUAUUUGUCUUUCGCGUGAGGUUUAGCAAUUCUAGCGGAGUCCUCACAGAAUUUGAUAACAUGCCCGUCUAUGUCUUCGGCUAAGAGAUCUUUGAUAAUAGCAAGACUAGGUUCAACUCUAAUUUCCUCAGGGGGUGCAAGUGGUCUAAUGUAACCCCUACGUAUCGCAGUUGGUGAUUGAGAAUAAUCCUUUUUCCUAGCAGGGUAAGGUGGUUUCUCAGCGUAGGCACAAGGAACAAUAGGAUCACUAAAGGCAAUGACUUUCUCUUCAACGAGAUUGGGUUUAACUAUGUUGAUUUAUACAGGAGGAUGAUAUUUAAACCACUUCUCUUUGGGGAGAUCAACAUGAGCAGCAAAAGAUUCACAUAGAGAAGCUACUAUCCAGAGUCAAGUCCAUACUUAGCGCUAAAAUCUCUAGAAGUCUUUGUUUCAACAAAAGAGUUAACAGAAUCAAACUGGAAAUUCAUACCUGACUCCUUACCUUCUUCAAGCUCCCAAUCUUCAGAGUUACGUUUGAUUCUUUCCAAUAAAUUCCACAUGUGGUCAAUAUCCUUCUUCAUAAAAGAACUGGUACAAGAAGUGUCAAGCAUGGUACGAUCUUCAUGAGAAAGCCGAGCAUAAAAGUUGUGAGUGAUAAUUUCUCUCGAGAGCUCAUGAUUGGGGAAUGAAUAUAGCAUUGAUUUAAGCCUCCCCCAAGCUUGAGCUAUGCUUUCCCUGUCACGAGGCCAAAAGUUAUAAAUAUAAUUCCGAUCACGAUGUACUAAAUGCAUAGGAUUAAACUUUUGAUGAAAUUCCAAUUUCAACCGAUUGUAGUCCCAUGAUCCAGUAUCAUCACAUAGCAUAUACCAUGUCAACGCCUUAUCCUUCAAAGAUAAAGGAAAUAAUUUCUUCUUUACCUCAUCCUCGGGCAAACCUGCAAGCUUAAAUAAACCACAAACUUCAUCUACAUAGAUUAGAUGCANNNNNNNNNNCUGGAUGUGAAGAUCCAUCUCCUGUAAAAGGAUUAGCCAACAGUUUCUCAAGCAUACCCGAAGGAAUUUCAUAAAAGAUAUUUUUAGUAGGUACCUCAGGUUGAGGAACAACUCCUCGUGCUUCCGUUCGUGGUGAAGAUACCCCGAACAAAUUCCUCAAAGGAACACUUUCCAUAGUGACAAGUGACAAUAAAUUUCAGCACAGUAUAUAAAUGUUUCCUUACCAAAUUCCACUUACCAAAGGCGCUUUCCUCCCGCCAACGGCGCCAGAAAAGAGUCUUGAUGACCCACAAGUAUAGGGGAUCAAUCAUAGUACUUUCGAUAAGUAAGAGUGUCGAAUCCAACGAGGAGGAGAAGGCUCAGAUAAACGGUUUUCAGCAAGGUAAUANNNNNNNNNNGCAUGCCCUGAAAGUAGCGGUAACAAGUGAUGGUGUAGUGAGGUGAAAUGUACCAAGCGAAAAUUAACAAGUGACAAGUAGUAGCAACGGUGCAGAAAAGUGGCCCAAUCCCUUUUGUAGCAAGGGACAAGCCUGAGCAAAGUCUUAUAAGAGGAAAAACGCUCCCGAGGACACACGGGAAUUUCUGUCAUGCUAGUUUCAUCAUGUUCAUAUGAUUCGCGUUCGUUACUUGGAUAGUUUGAUAUGUGGGUGGACCGGCACUUGGGUACUGCCCUUACUUGGAAAAGCAUCCCACUUAUGAUUAACCCCUCUCGCAAGCAUCCGCAACUACAAAAGAAGAAUUAAGACAACGUCUAACCAUAGCAUUAAACUAGUGGAUCCAAAUCAGCACCUUAUGAAGCAACGCAUAGACUGGGGUUUAAGCUUCUGUCACUCUAGCUACCCAUCAUCAACUUACUACUCCCCAAUGCCUUCCUCCAAGCCCAAAUAUGGUGAAGUGUUAUGUAGUCGAUGUUCACAUAACACCAUUAGAGGAAAAACAACAUACAACAUAUCAAAAUACUGAACGAAUACCAAAUUCACAUGACUAUUAUCAGCAUGACUUAUCCCAUGUCCUCAGGANNNNNNNNNNNNNNNNNNNNNNNNNNNNNNNNNNNNNNNNNNNNNNNNNNNNNNNNNNNNNNNNNNNNNNNNNNNNNNNNNNNNNNNNNNNNNNNNNNNNNNNNNNNNNNNNNNNNNNNNNNNNNNNNNNNNNNNNNNNNNNNNNNNNNNNNNNNNNNNNNNNNCCGGAGUUGCGAGAUAGAGAUUGGUUACAAGAGAUGAACUAGGGUUUGGCGAGGAGAUUGUGCUGAUGAAGAUGUUGAUGGAGAUGACUCCCCUCCAACGAGACGAGUGUUGGUGAUCACGAAGGCGAUGAUUUCCCCCUCCGGGAGGGAAGUUUCCCCGGCAGGAUCGUCCUGUCGGAGCCCUAGAUUGGUUCUGGUCAAGUUCUGCCUCGUGGCAGCGGCAAAUCCACGAAAAAGUUACACCCUGAUUUUUUUCUUGGAGGAAACCCUUCAUACAACAAAAGAGGGGGGCCAGUGGGCCACCAGGGUGCCCACAAGCCCUGUUGCCGUGGCCAGGGGGUAGGCCGCGGCAACCGGGCUUGUGGGCCCCUGGCUACUCCCCUCUAACACUUCUUUCGCCCAGCAUUUUUUAUAUAUUCCCAAAAAAAUCCACGUUGAUUUUCAGGGCCUUUGGAGUUGCACAGAAUAGAGGACUUAGACUUGCUCCUUUUCCAGUCUAGAAUUCUAGCUGCCGGUAUUCUCCCUCUUCAAAUAAACCUUGCAAAAUAAGAGAGAAAUGGCAUAAGUAUGGUUCCACAAAGUAUAAUAACAGUCCAUAAAGCGAUAAAUAUCAACAUGAAAGCAUGAUGCAAAAUGGACAUAUCAAGUCCAAACGGAACGAAACUGCCAAAAAGAUAUUUCCAAAACAGAAGAAGAUCGGGAAGCCUGAGAAUUAGGGCAGGGGGCCUGCAGGGACCCAAUAAGCCCCCUAGCCGCGGCUAGGGGGGCCCGUGCCUCCCAGGCUUGUGGGCUCCCUGGUCCACCUCUGCCCUAGGAAUUUCGCCUAUAAAUUCCCUAAAAUCCCAGAAAAAAUCAGGAGAUCAUCGAAAGUACUUUUCCGCCGCCGCAAGGUUCUGUCUCCGCAAGAUCCCAUCUGGGGCACGUUUUGGUGCCCUGCCGGAGGGGGGAUUCAGACACGGAGGGCUUAUUCAUCAAUACCAUGACCUCUCCGAUGAUGCGUGAGUAGUUCACCAUAGACCUACGGGUCCAUAGCUAGUAGCUAGAUGGCUUCUUCUUUCUCUUGGAUCUUCAAUACAAACUUCUCCAUGAUCUUUAUGGAAAUCUAUCCGAUGUAAUCUUCUUUUGCGGUGUGUUUGUCGAGAUCCGAUGAAUUGUGGAUUUAUGAUCAGAUUAUCUAUGAAUCUUAUUUGAGUUUCUUCUGAUCUCUCUUAUGCAUGAUUUCAUAUCUUUGUAAAUCUCUUUGAGUUGUGGGUUAUGUCUGGCCAACUAGAUCUAUGAUUAUUGCAAUGGGAGAAGUGCUUGGUUUUGGGUUCAUACCGUGCGGUGACCUCACCCAGUGACAGAAUGGGUAGCGAGGCACGCAUCAUGUUGUUGCCAUCAAGGGUAAGAAGAUGGGGUUUUCAUCAUUGGUUUGAGAUUAUCCCUCUACAUCAUGUCAUCUUGCUUAAGGCGUUACUCUGUUCGUCAUCAACUCAAUACACUAGAUGCAUGCUGGAUAGCGGUCGAUGUGUGGAGUAAUAGUAGUAGAUGCAGAUAGUAUCGGUCCACUUGUCUCAGACGUGAUGCCUAUAUGUAUGAUCAUUGCCUUAGAUAUCGUCAUGACUUUGCGCGGUUCUAUCAAUUGCUCGACAGUAAUUUGUUCACCCACCGUAAUAUUUGCUAAUUUGAGAGAAGCCUCUAGUGAACACUAUGGCCCCCGGGUCUACUCCACNNNNNNNNNNUUCUCGGACGUGAUGCCUAUAUGUAUGAUCAUUGCCUUAGAUAUUCCCUUAGAUGCAUGCUGGAUAGCGGUCUGCGCGGUUCUAUCAAUUGCUCGACAAUAAUUUGUUCACCCACCAUAAUAUUUGCUAUUUUGAGAGAAGCCUCUAGUGAACACUAUGGCCCCCGGGUCUACUCCACNNNNNNNNNNUUUUCAGCCUUACACUUUUACUUCGUUGCACUUUCCGCCUUCAGAUCUCACUUUGCAAUCAAUCUUGAAGGGAUUGACAACCCCUUUAUAGCGUUGGGUGCAAGCUCUUUGUGUUUGUGCAGGUACUCUGGACUUGACGAGAUUCUCCUGCUGGAUUGAUACCUUGGUUCUCAAACUGAGGGAAAUACUUACUGCUCGUGUGCUGCAUUACCCUUUCCUCUUCAAGGGAAAAACCGACGCAAGCAAGUCUCCGUCAACGUGUCAAUUUUUGGUGUUGUUGUUUGAGAAGUAGCAUAGCCGCACAUAUUUAUUAUAUAUAUAUGUUGUAUUUACACACGGUUACACAUAUUAAUAUACAACAUCAAUAAUUAUUGUGUUAGCAACUAUAUUUAGAUUAAAGUGGAUGGAUGUAAGUGAUCAUGUUGAAUUAGAAGAAAAUAUGAUGUUGCCUAUCGCAACAUCAUAUUUUCCUCUAAUUCAACUUGGUCACUUGCAUCCAUCCAGUUUAAUAAAAUAUAUGACAUAUAACUCAUCAUCAUCUUACUCAUUUAACAACGCAUCAACAUCUUAAUCAUACUAAGUUAAAAUUUCCUAAAACUAAAAAACAUCAUAAUAAUCAUCAUUCUAAUUGAUCAUGCCAAGUUAAUAUAAACUAGAAAAACUUCUCUCUCAUAGGACCUAAUCCUCUCUCCUAGGUAAAAUGUCAUAAAACAGAAUAACACAUAUGUCUCCGUGAUGAAGCAGAGAGAUCCAGUGGUCUUCCACUUGUGGCUUGCGAUCCUUAUUUAUUUCUCUCCAUGCUUCAAUUUGGAGCCUUUUUAUUUGCGCUCAGUCGAGUAUGGAGCAUCAAACUGAGCCCUCAAUGGGCUUUUAAUUGUCAUAUGACCUUUGUCGUGCAUCAAUAGAGACGGUACAUCAUUUGGCAGUUUUUGUUGAAGAACAUAAUAAUAACCUAGUUACCAAUGUAAUCAACAUCAUUUAUGCAAUAGUAGAGUGUACUUAAUUAGCAAACUCUUACCAAGAUAUUUCAACAAAUGUCAUCCGCCUUCAACCUAUGCACUAAUGGCAUGUAAAAUGUAUAAUUUGGGUCAGUUCUGAAAUCAUAUUUUCCUCUAAUUCAACUAGGUCACUUGCAUGCAUCCACUUUAAUCAAAUAUAUGACCUCUACCACAUCAUCAUCUUUCUCUUUUAAUAACAUACACACAUGUCCAAAUAGACCUAAUUAAAUAUCGGUUAUCUUUCGGUUAGUCGAGGCUUUCCUUAAAUAACUCUCAUAUCUGAUGGUGUGUAUAUGUUGGUGGACACUUUCUCACACUAAUAGUUCGACCUCGGUGAUGGGCGCUUCUCCUCUCCUCUCCUUGUGCAUUUUCCCAAGGUAUAUAUCGGAAGAAGAGAAGAAGGAGGAAGUGCGCCCCACGACAACAGUCGGGAUUCCUCUAUCAAGAACACACAUGAAAGUCAUACAAGGAGCAAUGACAAACCGAAAGAUGACCGAUAUUAUCAUUAAUACAUCUCGAAUAUUAUCAUAUAAUAUCACUAAUACAAAUCCAGUUGACGUCUCAUGGUGCAGGCGGUGGCAACCCAAAGAUAAUGAACCAUCACCGGAUCAUAGCUCGGGUGAUAUCCCUGAAGAACGUGCCAGGUAUUGGAGAACCUGGCAUCCAACGCAGCCAUCUAGCGACGGACGUGCUCGUCCUCCUCCCUGACACGGCGACGUACCACCUCCGUGGGUGCUGGCUCCCUCGGCACCAAUAGUGGCCCACGCGACCGCCACCAAAGAAGCUUCGGGUCGACGACGAGACACGGAUUCCUCACCAAGGUGUGUGAUACGUCUCAAACGCAUCUAUAUUUUUUAUGGUUUCUCGUUGUUAUCUUGUCAACUUUGGAUGUUUUGUUUACCUUUUAUAUCUUUUUUGGGACUAACUUAUUAAUUCAGUGCCAAGCGCCAGUUCCUGUGUUUUCUAUGUUUUUGACUCUUUUCAGAUCUGAUUUUGGAACGGAGUCCAAACGGAAUAAAAUCCCCGAAAUAUUUUUUUCCAGAACGGAAGAAUAUCGGGAGGCUUGAGGGCCAAGCAUGUGGGCUACAGGGGGCCCACAAGCCCUGCNNNNNNNNNNNNNNNNNNNNNNNNNNNNNNNNNNNNNNNNNNNNNNNNNNNNNNNNNNNNNNNNNNNNNNNNNNNNNNNNNNNNNNNNNNNNNNNNNNNNUGGUGCUGCCAGCUACGCUCUUACCAAAGAAGAGAAGGAAAUGUUCUUUGAAUGCCUACUCAGUAUGAGGGUCCCAUUUGGCUACUCGUCGAAUAUAAAGGGAAUAAUAAAUAUGGCAGGGGAAAAUUCCAGAACCAAAAGUCUCAUGAAUGCCACAUGAUUAUGACACAAUUUCUUCCGGUUGCAUUGAGGGGUCUUCCACAAGAAAACAUCCGAUUAGCCAUGGUGAAGCUAUGUGUAUUCCUCAAUGCAAUCUCUGAGAAGGUAAUCGAUCUAGAAAUCCUAACAAGUUUACAAAAUGAUUUUGUGCAGUGUCAUGGUGUUCCCACCAUCCAUCUUCAAUAUCAUGACGCACGUCCUAGUUCACCUAGUCAAAGAAAUUGCAAUUUCGGGCCCUGUAUUUGUACAUAGUACAUUCCCCUUUGAGAGGUUCAUGGGAGUCUUACAGAAAUAUGUUCAUAACGAUGCUAGGUCGGAAGGAAGCAUCUCCAAGGGCCAUGAAACAAAGGAGGUCAUUGAAUUUUNNNNNNNNNNCCGGGCACUGUAUUUAUACAUAGUACGUUCCCCUUUGAGAGGUUCAUGGGAGUCUUACAGAAACAUGUUCAUAACCAUGCCAGGCCAUAAGGAAGCAUCUCCAAGGGCCAUGAAACAAAGGAGGUCAUUGAAUUUUGCGUUGACUUUAUUCUUGACCUUCAGCCGAUUCGUAUUCCUGAAUCGCGGCGUGAGGGCGGACUGGGUGGAAAAGGCACGCUAGGAAAGGAUUCAGUAAUAUAUAGGGAGAGACAUUCUUGGGCAUGAUGUCCCACANNNNNNNNNNNNNNNNNNNNNNNNNNNNNNNNNNNNNNNNNNNNNNNNNNNNNNNNNNNNNNNNNNNNNNNNNNNNNNNNNNNNNNNNNNNNNNNNNNNNAUAUUGUCACUCCGGGGUUGCCGGGUCAUAACACAUAGUAGGUGACUUCAACUUGCAAGAUAGGAUCUAAAACACACAUAUAUUGGCGACAACAUAAUAGGUUCAGAUCUGAAAUCAUGGCACUCGGGCCCUAGUGACAAGCAUUAAGCAUAGCCAAGUAGUAGCAACAUCAAUCUAGAACAUAGUGGAUACUAGGGAUCAAUCCCCNNNNNNNNNNGAUGAUAGAUCUCAUCCAACUCAUCACCGUCCAGCAAGCCUACAAUGAGAUUACUCACGAAUGAUGAAGAGCAUCAUGUAAUUGUCGAUGGAGGAAGGUUGAUGAUGACGAUGGCGACGAUCUCCCCUCUCCGGAGCCCAAAAUGGACUCCAGAUCUGCUGUCACGCCCAAGAUGCGACCCUAUCCUCAAUUUGGCACGAGGGCCUCGUCAGGGAUAGAAGCGCAUCUCGUCGUGUCGCAAGAAUGGAUAUCGUUACAAGUACAUGUACUGAAAAGAGGAGAUAUAUAAAGAGUUGGCUUACACUCGCCACAAGCUACAUCAGAGUCACAUCACUACAUUACAUAAUCAUCAAGAGUAAGCGCAGGGUCCGACUACGGACGAAAACAAAGGAUAAAAGAAAGAACGACGUCCAUCCUUGCUAUCCCAGGCUGCCGGCCUGGAACCCAUCCUAGAUCGAUGAAGAAGAAGAAGAAGAAGAAGAAGCAACUCCAAAUGAACAAUCAACGCGCUCGCGUCAAGUAAUCUUUACCUGCACCUGCAACUGGUGUUGUAGUAAUCUGUGAGCCACGGGGAACUCAGCAAUCUCAUUUCCAAAGGUAUCAAGACUAGCAAAGCUUAAUGGGUGAGGUAUGGUAAAGUGGUGAGGUUGCAGCAGCGACUAAGCACAUAUUUGGUGGCUAACUUACAAGUAUAAGAAUGUGAGGGGGAAGAUCUACGCAUAACGGACGUGUACUACUGAUGAUCGAAUGAAUGAUCCUGAACACCUACCUACGUCAGACAUAACCCCACCGUGUCCUCGAUCGGAGAAGGAACUCACGAAAGAGACAGUCACGGUUACGCACACAGUUGGCAUAUUUUUUUAAUUAAGUUAACUUCAAGUUAUCUAGAACCAGUGUUAAACAAGUUUUCCAAGUUGCCACAUAACCGCGGGCACGGCUUUCCAAAAGAUUUAACCCUGCAGGGGUGCUCCAACUAAUCCAUCACAAAUUACCACAAGCCGCAUAGAAAUCCUCAAUCACGAAGCUCGCGAUCUCGUCGGAUUCCCUAGUGGAAAACCUCAACUCUGAGAUUACCCAAAGCAUCACCGGAAUCCCGAUGCACAAGAUAUCUCGUCAAAGGUAAAACUAAUCCAGCAAGGCCACCCGGUGUGUCGACGAACCCGAUAGGAGCCGUGUAUCUCGUUUUCAGGACACACCGUCUAUGCAAAGUGGACGAGAACCAAACCUCGAGUUGCCCCGUGGUGGCACCGCCGACUGCUAGGUAGGUGGACCAACACUCAUGAGGAGCACUGGCCCGGGGGUUGAUUAAAUUAGUCCGCGGGUGCCGGCGGGUCCCUAUGCAUUAUUAUUAGGUUAUUAGGCAAAUGUAGCACCAAAGUUGGGCCUUGCCAGACCAGCUUUAAUCUAAAACGAAUUAUCAAGGGGGUCCCCAUAACAAUCCCGAUCGUGUUAGGAGCGCUCAUUUAUGGAACAUAACACCGGUAGCCGGAAACUAAGGGGGCAAAGGUGGAACAAAACACCAGGCUAGAAAGGCCGAGCCUUCCCCUUUUACCAAGUAUAUAGGUGCAUUAAAUUAAAUAGCAUUUAAUAUGGUGAUAUAACAAGGAACCCAUGUUUUCACAUGGAAGCAACUGCACCUGCAACUAGCAACGCUAUCAACAGGAUUAAACAAGCGGUAACAUGGCCAAUCAGUAGUUUGCUAGGUCGAACAUGUUGAAGGUUAACAUGCCAUGGUUGAGAGGCUGAUAUUUAACAUGUGGUAGGCAACGAGACAUAACGACAGAAACGAAAUAACUAGCAUGGCAAUGAUAGUAAUGGUAUCUGGGGAAAUGAUCAUCUUGCCUGAGAUCCCGCUUGGAAGAAGAAUGCCUCCGUGAAGCAGACGAACCGACGUAGUCGAACGGGUCCUUACAUCCGACACGCUUACGGAUCUCUAUCGAGACGGAGGGAAACGGAAACAAGCACCAACACACGAUAUUCACCACAUGAUGCACAACACAUAUGAUGCAUGAGCUACUGAAAAAAUGCAAGUCACGGCAUGACAAUCACACAACCAAACACUACACAUUAAGUGAAGUUCAAUAUGCACGAGUUGCAUAUUGACGAAACUCCACGUUAAUUAUUUAAUUCACUCCCAUUAUCUACACGGCAAUAUUAAUGUUGUCAAACAUGCAAGAGGUGGAGCGGAAAUUAAACUACCUAUCUAGGCAUUUUAAGUGAGGUCGGAAAUGACAUAUAGCAUCUCUGACACGACCUCACACAUUAAUUUACAAUUCUGACCAGAUCUGUACUAAUGCAUUUAAUUAGUUGUUAAACGGCAAAACAAAUAGGUUCACGUGAUUCUACGCGUCAAGGCAAGCAAUCUACACAUAAAGAACAUCUCCAACGGAGCUACGGUUCAAAAGAUACAAGCACCGCGAGAUAUGAUGGCAUGAAUGCAAAAAUGUGUGCAACGGCGGUUACGAGCACUUCAACACAUACAAAAAGCAAGAGAAAAUGAAACUACACGUGAUUCUAAUCAAGUUUCAUGUAGGACACGAUCAAAACGGAGCUACGGUUCGAAAACUACGAGCAAAACAAGAAAACACUACAAUCUGCCAAAAUCAGCCACAUAUCACUUUCUACACCACACAACUACGAGCUACACAACUCCGAUAAACUCAAGCAAGGCAUGGCACGAAAGAGGGAAAGACUCACAACUACAAGCAACUAACAACAACUAGCAUGGCAGCAAGGAGCACUAGGAAAAGAAGACACAAAAUGGCAUCUCACGCACUAUUUCAGACUUAGUGAAAAUUACACCUCAUGAAAGUGCAGUUUUCGAUCUGAAGCAAUAUUGACAGCAGAAAAACCUAUAGCUACAGGACUCCAAAUGGCAUGAAACUUAACAGCAUGCUAGAGAAACAUAAGGGGUACAACUAACUCCAUUGGACCAACCCCAAAAGAGCUACAGAUCACAAGAUGCAAGCAAGACAAGACAGCAACAAGAUAUAACAGAUUCCAGACUUAGAAAUAUUUCAGUUCCUCUAAAACAGCACUAUUUCUAGCAACUUGAGGGCAAGCAAACAACACCUAAACAUGCAUUUCUAUUGCAACCAAAAAAUACCAGGGGCUAAACAAAACAUCUAAGAAGAAUUCCCUAGUUGACAACUUAUUCAAACGAGGCCCGGAAUAAAACCUACAAAUUAAACAAAAGGGCAUCACGGCCAAAUAUCGCGCGAAUUAACUUACUCAAAAGCUAAAACUAAUUGCACCAUAUAAAAUAUGUGGGGUUUGCAACACAAAAUAAUGCCACACAUUAAUGCGAGAAAUAAUCCUAGACACGGAAAAAUAAACUAGAGGCAAUUCCCUACACGCAAAAAUACAAAUGAAUGCUCUAUAAAGCAUGCAAAAAUGAUCCCUAAAACACGGGCAUUUUAUCUACGGUGUUCGAACAAACCGGACACGCACGAGAAUUAAAACGGGAUAAAAGAUACUAGGACAGCACGCUAAACUAGGCAUUAGGCACUCUAAACGGCGUCAAAUAAAUGUGCAGGUUUUAAAUACGUACUCUACGCGCAAAAAUACCACCAAACCAUAUACUACACGCCUCAAACCGACUAACGGAAUAAAAGUUACGGUCGUCUAAAUAUACGUCUAAAUCUGGAAUUUAAUUAAAUCCAGAGAAAUACCCUAAAAGGAAAAAAACAUCUAUCGGGCCUAAACUAUGGGCGCUCGAUAUCUAAAAUACGCUCGAGCGAUAAAUAGAGGUCUGGGGAGGAACCUCACCUUGGGCUUGGCCCAGGUCGGCGAGGGAGGCAGGCCGGUCAGCGCUGGAUGGGCUGGCCCAAGCGGGGGUAGGCUGCUGGCGGGGCAGUCGCACUGGGUGUGGCGGAUCGCGUCCGAGGCGGCCCGAGCGGACAACGGGCGAGGCGGCGGCAUCCCCGUCGGUCUCGGCUCGAUCUGGACAGGAGGCGUGGCGGGGAGCAGGGUCAGGCUGGCGGCGGGCGACUCCGACGAGGGAGGCGAGCCGGCGGGGAACGGNNNNNNNNNNNNNNNNNNNNNNNNNNNNNNNNNNNNNNNNNNNNNNNNNNNNNNNNNNNNNNNNNNNNNNNNNNNNNNNNNNNNNNNNNNNNNNNNNNNNUUAAGCUUCUGAGUAAACAUGCUUAUAUGGUUACUACUCAGGUAGAACAAGUACUUAAAGCUCAAAAUGACUUGCUCAAUGAGUUGAAUGAUAAUUCCGUCUGAGUCGUCACUAGAGGCGGUAGAAUGACCCAGGAACCUUUGUAUCCUGAGGGUCAUCCGAAGAGAAUUGAAUAAGAUUCUCUAGGAGUUAGCACUAGCAACCCUGUUGCGGCUACACCUGAGAGUCCAAACGAUGUCUCUGUCUCUGAUGCUGAAGCACAAUCUGGUGAUGAACAUGAGCCUAAUGAUAAUAUCAAUAGUGAUGUUCAUGAAGAUGCUCAACCUAGCAAUGAAAAGGAUGUGGAGAUUGAACCUCGUGUUGAUCUUGAUAACCCACAGCCUAAGACUAAGAGAUACAAUAAGAAUGACUUCGCUGCUAGGAAGCACGGUAAAGAAAGGGAAACGUGGGUUCAGAAACCUAUGCCCUUUCCUCCCAAAACAUCCAAGAAAAAGGAUGAUGAGGAUUUUGAGCGCUUCGUUGAGAUGAUCAGACCUGUCUUUCUGCAGAUGCGUUUGAUAGAUAUGCUCAAGAUGUCUCCGUAUGCUAAGUACAUGAAAGAUAUUGUGACUAAUAAGAGGAGGAUACUUGACCUUGAGAUCUCCGCCAUGCUUGCCAAUUAUACUUUCAAGGGUGGAACUCCGAAGAAACUAGGUGAUCCCGGUGUGCCCACUAUACCUUGCUCCAUUAAAGGCAACUACCUUAGAACUGUGUUAUGCGACCUUGGAGCCGGUGUUAGUGUUAUACCUCUCUCUCUUUAUCGUAGGCUUGAACUGGAUAAGUUGACACCCACUGAAAUCUCUCUGCAAAUGGCCGACAAAUCAACUGCUUUCCCUAUCGGCAUUUGCGAGGAUGUGGCUGUUGUGGUUGCUAACACCACUAUCUUAACAGACUUUGUUAUCUUGGAUAUUCCCGAGGACGUUGCCAUGGCUGUCAUCCUCGGAAGACCCUUUUAAAACACUGCAGGGGCUAUUAUAGAUUGCAACAAAGGCAAUGUCACUUUCCAUGUCAACGAUAAUGAGCAUACGGUGCACUUUCCGAAGAAACAAUAUCGAUUACAUUGCAUCAAUGCUAUCGAAAAAACUUCAUCGAUUCUCAUUGGGAGCUUUGAAUGCCCUAUUCCUCGUGUCAAGAUGAAGUAUGACUUGCUUGUUGGGGAGAUACACAUCCCCAUUGAGGUGACCUAGUGACUAUUCGAAAAUUCUCCGUCUUCUUUAGCGAUUCGAAAAGUUUUGUUGAGGGGAUUUGAUCAACCCCAUUGACGGAUUUCUUUCGAUGACCAUGAGAUGGAUGAAUCAAGGAGUCACAAACCUCUGUUCCAAGCUUUCACUUUAGGUUGCUUAGAAGAAAAAUGAUAGAUUUUAGGUUCGUUUUCCCUGUUUUCUGCUUUAGCGUCCGGUAGAAAAGUACCCCGAAAAUCAAAGUUCUCCGAAUGCUGUGAAAAUCAAGUAUGAUUUUUUCUGGAUUUUUUGAAAAAUACUGGGACAAAGAGUCUGUCUGGGGGCCACACCAAUGGACCACAAGCCCUAGCGGCGCGGGCAUCCCCCCUGGCCGCGCCACCCAGGCUUGUGGGGCCCACAGGCACCCCCUCCACUCAUUCUUUCUCCCAUCCGCUUCUCCUACCUCCAGAAAAAAUCAUUUCGCAACUCAAACCCAUGUUCUUGCUCCUCUUGCUAGGAUUUUCGAUCUCUUUGCUCAAAUCACCGUUCUCCGAACUGUUUUGGGGAAAUUACUCCUUGGUAAGUGACUCCUCCAUUGGUCCAAUUAGUUUUUGCUCUAGUGUCUUAUAUUCCGCGUAUUUUUGGUGCCUUGGUGACCAUGUUCUUGAGCUUUGCAUGCUGAUUCUAGCUGGUCCCAAGUAGUUUUGGUUGCUAAUAUGGUCUCUAGGCACUUCUGGGAGUAGUUGCUACCAAUUUAGUUGAGCCUUGUUCAUUUUUCCUUUGGGUCACUGAAAAUUUCAGAAAAGGAAGAUGUUCAGGAGAAAAUUUCAUGGUGGUUCCUCAAGCAAGAGAGGUCCUCGUCUGGCAAUUCGGGAGCCUGAUCCUUACCAACCUAGGGACAAGCCAGUACAACCAUGUGAAUGGCCUUCUGAUGAAUUUAUGAUUAAGGCAGGCUUCAAAGAAGAGUUUGAUGCACUUGUUCACAACGUUGGACUCAAAGAAUUCAUCUCCGAUAAAUGUGAACAGUAUGUUGCUCUGACUGCCUCUUUUGUUCGUAGAUUCAAAUUUUUAGCUGGCCGUGAGCCAUCGGUACUGUUUGAUCUCUAUGAUAAAUCGUAUACCAUGGAUUUAGAGGAUUUCAGUAGAAUUUGCAAAAUACCUAUUUGGGGUAACCUCAAUGAUCCUCCUAAACCUUCGGUUAGAGAUUUUUGUGCUGGUAUUAUGGUUGGAGAAACUAGAGACAUUACGCAAGCUACCAUGGGGAGUAUUCAUUUUCCUGCCUUGCAUUACUUUGCCCUCUUCAUAGGCAGAUGCAUUAAUGGCAAGAUUGAGCAUUGUCACCUCUGCGCACCCGACCUUAGUAUCCUUAAGAGCGCAGUGACGGGUGACAAAAGCUUCAACAUGGGAGCUAUUAUAGCAAGGAGGCUGAAUAAGAAUGUUAUUGAAGGGGAUUUCUUUGGUGGGAUCUAUGCCACUCGCAUAGCAAAUUUUCUUGGAGUGCCCAUCCGCGAAGGAGAUCCCCCGCUCCAUACAGCUUUCCUUGACCGCGUCGCUUUGACACGCUACCAGUUCCUUGAGAGGGGUGACGAAUCCCUCCUAUAUCGUUUGAUAUUUCACCGGCAGCGUGUUUUCCAUAUUACCCUUCCUGCUCCUGCUUUCUUUGACUUUCAGGUAAAACAAAGAUAUUACAUAAGCAGAGGAGAGGCAGAGGAGUAUGAGAGGGAGGCAAAGGUUGCUCGUCUCCGUGAGGCAGCUAUUCAGGCAGUGGCUGCAGCGCUCCCGUAUAACCCCCAUUAGGAUUUUGGGUUUCACCAGGACUAUCCUUGGGAGUAGACCAAGUUAGGACAAAAGCCUAAGCUUGGGGGAGUACGUAUUUUCACCGACUUUACAUUCUUGCUUAUGCUUUCACUUUGUUAGCCGGUGUUCACACUUUGCCACUGUAUCAUCCAUGCUAGUUUAUUUUCUUUUUUCGUUUUCUUUUCGUGUGUCUGUCUAGUUUGAGAAAAAACAAAAAGAUUUUCUUUUUCUUAUUUUGCUUGUUGGGAGCUUUCUCGUGUAGAUAGUUUUAUUUUUCUUUGGGUCAAGGUAGAAGAUAUUGGUUACACUGUUUAGUGGUUCUUGCAUGCAUACCUAUUUAGCUUUCAUAGAGCCAUAUUACUUUGUCUUCUCCUUUGUGUAUGCCUGCAGAUUCCCGCGUAGUCCAAUGCACGAGCACUCUUAUUAUUGUUCACAUUGUUCGAUCGUGCAAGUGAAAGGCAAUAAUGACGAUAUAUGAUGAAGUGACUGAGCCUGGAAAAGCUGGUAUGAACUCGAUCUAUUUUGUGUUUGUAACUAUGACUAGCUCAUCAUGCGUGAUUCAGCUUUGUUGUGAGAGAAACAUGUUUGCAAUGACAACUUAGAGAUCAUAGUUGCUUAUGCCAUGCUUACUUAGCUAGGAGCUUAUAAUGGUCUGUCUUGGUUGCCCACAUGAAUGUUGAGAUGACUAUGAUGUAGUAUGAUAGGAUGGUAUAGGCCUUUGAAUGUUUCAAGUGGCUUGACUUGGCGCAUGUUCAUGCAUGUAGUUGAAACAAAAUCAACAUAGCCUCUAUGAUAUUCAUGUUCAUGGUGAUUUAUGUCCUACUCAUGCUUGCACUCAAUGUUGGUUAAUCUCAAUGCAUUUUGAUGAUUGUUGUCGCUCUCUAGUUGGUUGCUUCCCGGUCUUUUGCUAGCCUUCACUUGUACUAAGCGGGAAUACUGCUUGUGCAUACACCUCAAUAAACCCAAAGUUGUGCCAUCUGAGUCCACCAUACCUACCUAUGUGCGGUAUCUACCUGCCGUUCCUAGUAAAUUUGCAUGUGCCACUGUCGAAAUCUUCAAGAAAUAAUUUGUUUUGCAUGCCCGAACCGCUCAUGUGGUGACAGGGGGCUAUUGGUAUCUUCCAUGUUAGGCGUGUUAUCCUCGAUAUGUGUUUAUUCACUAUCAUUCACGAGAAAGGGGCCGGUAAGUGGAAUUCCCAGUUCCAUGGUCAAGUCGAAAAGAUAAUUGCAAACAAAACUCCCCCAGGAUUGAUGUUGGUAUGGACGGUACCCGAGGAUUCGGCUAGCCAUGGAGUGUGAUUGAUUGGUGGUGGGGUAGUCAAAACUUUACUUUUCUGUUUGGGGACCGCCUAUAGCAUGUGUAGCGUGGAAGAUGUUGAGAACUCUUAGUCAUUGAGUUGACAAUGAAAGCAUGCCACCCAAAAUUAUUAUCUUUGUUUUCAAAGCUUCAGCUCUGGCACCUCUACAAAUCAAUGCUUCCCUCUGCGAAGGGCGUGUCUAUUUAUGUUCCUGUUGAGUGAUCCUCCUCUUACAAAAGCACCAAUUAGAGAGCAUCUCUGUCAUUUUUAUGCUUUGCUUUUAACUGUGUUGAGUGUGACUAUGACUGGAUCUUCAUUGCCUUGAAUUACAAUGUUUAGUCAGCCCUUGUUCUUUGAGGUGCUCUGCAUUUAUGUUUUGCGGUCUGAGAAAGAGCUAGCGAGAUACCAUCUAUUCGUACUGCUUCAUGGUGUUUUGAUGGAAGUGUUGACACUUGAGGCUUAUUAUUAUUUGCUCGCUAGUUGAUUAUGCCAUUGAUAUGAGUUUACAGUCAGACCUAGAUGUCAUUUGCUUAUGUGGUUUGCUUGUGAUGUUGCUGAAAUUCUGGUUAUGAGUUAGAAAUAGUUGCAACAACAAGAUCAAACAGAGUUUGUCAAAGUUUUUCUUUUGUCUCUCUCAGUUUGUCAACUGAGUUCCUUGAGGACAAGCAAGGGUUUAAGCUUGGGGGAGUUGAUGCAUCUCCAUCAUAUCUACUUUUCCGAACUCUUUUGCCCUUGUUUUGGACUCUAAUUUGCAUGAUUUGAAUGGAACUAACCCGGACUGACGUUGUUUUCAGCAGAAUUGCCAUGGUGUUGUUUUUGUGCAGAAAUAAAAGUUCUCGGAACGUCUUGAAAAUUUACGGAGAUUUUUCUGGAAUAAAAGAAAAAUACCUGCGCAAAGAUCCACGUGAGGGCGUGUGCCAGUGGGCCACAAGCCCACAGGCCGCGGCCACCCCCUAUGGUCACGCCAUGCAGGCUUGUGGGGCCCACGUGGCACCACCGCCCCCAAUCUCAGCUCUAUAUCUUCCGUUUCGCCUGGAAAAAAUCAGAGAGAAAGUUUCGUCGCGUUUUGCGAUACGGAGGCGCCGCCACAUCCUGUUCUUCAUCUAGAGGGUAGAUUUGGAGUCCGUUUCGGGCUCCGGAGAGGGGAAAUCGUCGCCAUCGUCAUCAUCAACCUUUCUCCAUUGACAAUUCCAUGAUGCUCUUCAUCGUUCAUGAGUAAUCUCAUCGUAGGCUUGUUGGACGGUGAUGAGUUGGAUGAGAUCUAUCAUGUAAUUGAGUUAGUUCUUGACGGGGAUUAACCCCUAGUAUCGAAUAUGUUCUAGAUUGAUGUUGCUACUACUUCGCUAUGCUUAAUGCUUGUCACUAGGGCCCGAGUGCCACGAUUUCAGAUCUGAACCUAUUAUGUUGUCGCUAAUAUAUGUGUGUUUUACAUCCUAUCUUGCAAGUUGUAGUCACCUACUAUGUGUUAUGACCCGGCAACCUCGGAUUGACAAUAGCCGAAAGCACUCCCGAAGAUGACCAUAGUAUGAGGAGUUCAUGUAUUCACCACGUGUUAAUGCGUUGUCCGGUUCUUUAUUAAAAGGAUAACCUUAAUAUCCCGUAGUUUCCAUUGGGACCCCGCUCCCACAAGAGAGAUGGACAAUAUAUGUCAUGCACGUUCUUUUCCCUAAGCACGUAUGACUACAGACGGAAUACAUGCCUACAUUAGAUUGAUGAACGGGAGCUAGUUACAUAUCUCUCUGUGUUAUAGCUAUUACAUGAUGAAUCACAUCCGUCACACUCAUCCAUCACCGAUCCACUGCCUACGAGUCUUUUACUACUGGUUCUCACUACGUUACUUUGCCUAGGAUUAUCCUUUGCUACAAAAGGGAUUGGGCGACUUUGCUGCUACUGCUCCUACUGCUUUUACUUGUCGCUUUGCUGCUGCUGUCACUACUGUUGUUACUUGUUACUUUGCUACUGCUGCAACUACUGUUCCUUGCUACUCAGCUGUUACUUGUUGCAAGACUUUGUUGGCGCUAAUAUCCCGUCAACAAGGCUUUUUCUGGCGCCUUUGCUGGGGAUUGUCAAAGCUUUUUCUGGUGUCAUUGCUAUCAUACUACCUUGCUACUGAUACUUUGCUUGCAGACACUAAUCUUUCAAGUGUGGUUGAAUUGACAACUCAGCUACUAAUACUUGAGAAUAUUCUUUAGCUUCCCCUUGUGAUUGAAUCAAUAAAUUUGGGUUGAAUACUCUACCCUCGAAAACUGUUGCGAUCCCAUACGCUUGUGGGACAUCAUGCCCAAGAAUGUCUCUCCCUAUAUAUUACUGAAUCCUUUCCUAGCGUGCCUUUUCCACCCAGUCCGCCCUCACGCCGCGAUUCAGGAAUACGAAUCGGCUGAAGGUCAAGAAUAAAGUCAACGCAAAAUUCAAUGACCUCCUUUGUUUCAUGGCCCUUGGAGAUGCUUCCUUCCGACCUAGCAUCGUUAUGAACAUAUUUCUGUAAGACUCCCAUGAACCUCUCAAAGGGGAAUGUACUAUGUACAAAUACAGGGCCCGAAAUUGCAAUUUCUUUGACUAGGUGAACUAGGACGUGCGUCAUGAUAUUGAAGAUGGAUGGUGGGAACACCAUGACACUGCACAAAAUCAUUUUGUAAACUUGUUAGGAUUUCUAGAUCGAUUACCUUCUCAGAGAUUGCAUUGAUGAAUACACAUAGCUUCACCAUGGCUAAUCGGAUGUCUUCUCGUGGAAGACCCCUCAAUGCAACCGGAAUAAAUUGUGUCAUAAUCAUGUGGCAUUCAUGAGAAUUUUGGUUCUAGAAUUUUCCCCUGCCAUAUUUAUUAUUCCCUUUAUAUUCAACGAGUAGCUAGAUGGGACCCUCAUACUGAGUAGGCAUUCAAAGAAGAUUUCCUUCUCUCCUUUGUAAGAGCGUAGCUGGCAGCACCGUGAUACUACUUUGGAUGCAUGCCAUCUUUUUCGUGGAUACGUUUUUGGUCCUCCCGUGCCUCCGGUGUAUCUUUUGUCUACCCAUACACGCUUGAUACGUCUCAAAUGUAUCGACUUUUCCAAACACUUUUGCUAAUAUUUUGGCCUCAUUCUUGCAUGAAUUGAAUGAAACUAACCCGGGUUGACGCUGUUUUCAGCAGAGCUGUUUGUAUGGUUUUCUUGUGCGCAGGAAAAUGGAUAUUUAGACGUCCCGGAAAAUUCACAUAAAAAUAGAGAAAAUACACGGACCGGGAGGAACCAUGGGCUAGACGAUCGGCCAAAGGGGAGACACAGGGCCCCCAGGCGACCUGCUGGCGCGGCCAUGCCCCCUGGUCGCGCCAGGAGCCCACCUGGGUGGGGCCCACCCCCUGUGGUGCCCUACUUUGGCUCCUAUUUUUACCCGCGACGCAGAAAUCCCGGAACAGAAGUCGUUUUGCUAGUUCUCGGCGUGGAGCCGCUGCCACCCUCGGUUCUUCUUCGGGAGAGCUAAUCUAGAGGCUGUUUUGGCCUCCGGAGAGGGGAAAUCAUCGCCAGCAUCAUGACCAUCACCACUCCAUCAUCCUUCCAUGGCUUCUCCCAUCAUGUGUGAGUAAUUCCCUGAUGUAGGUGAAGGGGAUGGGAGAGAUUGGAUGAGUUAGAUCAUGUAAUAGUUCGUCGGAUUGUUGGGGGCAUGUUGCCUAUCAUCUACUAUGGUGUUUAUCAUCUUUGCUACUACUUGUUACUCUUAAUGCUUGUCACUUAGGGCUCGAGUGCCGUGAUUUCAGAUCUGGAUACCUUAUGUUUUCCUGAAUAUAUUUGUGUUCUAGAUCCUAUCUAUGAGUAGUAUGCACCUAUUAUAGUCCAGAACCGGCGAUCCCAAUGGUGACAGGUUGGGACACCAAAGGGGAUAGGCUAUAGUUUGAGGAUUCCAUGUAUACAUUGAUUGUUAAUGCUUUGUUCCAGUGCUCUUUGAAAGGAGCACCUUAAUCUCCAUAAGUUCCUUUUGGCUCCGUUGAUAGCGGGAUGGUAGGACAAAAGAUGUUGUGCAAGUUCUUAUUGCAAGCACGCACAACUACCUCGGGAUACAUGCCAAAUGUUUGAUAUAUGCCUAUAUGAUCAUUACUUUUCUAUGUGCCUUGCCCCAAGUGAAAUACAUGAUAUCUCUGAUCCAUGACCAACCAUCCAUCUCAGUAGCCUACAAUGUUUUAAUACUGCUAGUUACAAGUUACUUUACUUUCGCUGUUUUACUUUCGUUGCUUUGCCACUAUUAUUUCCGUUGCCACCUUCACUUCCAUAUCAUCGUUGCUACUAAUAUUUUGUUACCAAGCAAGUAUCUUUCAGGUGCGGUUGAAUUGACAACCCAAUUGUUAAAGCUUAUAACUAUUCUUUGGCUCCCCUUGUGUCGAAUCAAUAAAUUGGGUUAACUUACCCGCGAAGAUUGUUACGAUCGCCUACACUUGUGGGUUAUCAAGACCUUUUUUCUGGCGCCGUUGCCGGGGAGCAUAGCUUUAUUUACAAGUCAACUUGGAUUUAUUUUUCUUGCUGUGAUUUAUUCACUAUGUGUAAGAAAGGAGACCCCAAGCUUCCAAUUUUACCGUCCACUACGAGAAAAGGUACGGUUCUUAGCACUAGCGCAACGCUUGAUUCACCUUCCGUUAUGAGUAAGUUCGCUUCACCACCAUCACAUGUUGCUUCUACCGAGUCUAUUACUAUGUCUGAUACUUUUGAUGAUGCUUCCACUACUAUUGAUGAGCCUGGUUUACUUGGUUAUUUUAUUGAGUCUCAGAUUGCUAAGGCUGCUAAGCAGUCUGGAAUUGAACUUCAUGUUACACGCUACUCCAUUGGUAGAUCUUUUGGUUACCCAGACUUGAGUGGUCUCAAGGAAAAAAUUAUUGAUGAUAAUUAUAUUGAACUUCAUGAUGAUUUAUGCAGGGAACGUAUAGAGUGUGCUGACUCUGACCCUACUUCUGUUAAGAAGCUGCUUGAAAAGCAUUCUAUGAAGAACAAGAUUACUCCUCAUCCUAAGUUUGCUUCAUCUCCUAUUUGCAUUGAGGAUGCUGAUUUUGAUUUCUCUGUCGAUCUUUCACUUAUAUCCAUAGUUGAAUCUGACCCCUUUGAUGACAGAGAAGAUGAUGAUGCUAUUGCACACCUAACCAAACUCAUUGAGUUCGGUGGUUUAUUCACUAGAGAGGACAAGAAGAGAAAUUAUUAUGUUACUAAGCUACUUCCUUUCUCUUUGAAGGAAGAUGCUAAAGCAUGGUAUGAUGCACUACCAUGUGGUUCCAUUAAGAGUCCUCAAGAUUUAGCUCAAUCUUUUGUUGCUAAAUAUUUUCCUACUCAUAAGCAACAUGCUCCUUUACAAACAAUUUAUAACUUUAAACAGUUGCAGGAUGAGCACCUCCCUAAAGCUUGGGGGAGGUAUUGCACUUUGCUUAAGGCUAGACCGGUACAUGGAAUCCCUAAGAAUGAAUUGAUUGAUAUAUUUUAUGUUGGUCUAACUGAUGAAUCUAGAACCUAUCUGUUGGUUGUGUUUUCAGGGAAAGAACAUCGGACGACGCCGAAGAAUUAAUGGGCAAGAUAGCUAAAAAUCAUGAUGAUUGGUCCGUUCCUGAGCCAUCUCCACCACCUAAGAAGAGGGGCAUGCUUUUCUUGAGCCCAGAAGUUAUCCAAGAAGCCAAGAAGUCUAUGAAAGAGAGAGGUACUAAAACUGAAGAUGUGAAGAAUCUACCUCCUAUUGACAAAUUAUGUGAGCCUACCACUCACCCACCUAUGGUAGAGGUACACUCUCUUUUAGAAUUCAAUGCAAGUGACGUCCCUCAUGGUAAGCCUCCUGAUCAAUGUUUAGAUGAGCUUGAUAAUUUCAUUGUCAAGAAAAAUCACUUUAAUGAGAGGAUUCAAAGCCAAUUGCAUGAUAAUUCCCUUGCUACCAAAAUUUUGCUUGAUGUUUUAAGUAGAACUGACAAUGACGUUAAAGGUCUUGUUAAGCAUUUUCAUAUAGUUCAAACUCAGCUUGAACAAAUUUCUAAUGUGGAAAAAGAUUUGUUUGCUAACAAUGCCAAACAAGUUAAUACGCACGCAUAUGGUAUAAAGACCCGAGGAGGUACACAUACCCAGGACCCCUUUAUCCGGAGGGGCAUCCAAAGAGGAUCGAGCAAGAUUCUCAAUUGCAGGAAGAAGACGUUGUCAGCUCUCCGAAGAAGAAGAAGAAACACAAGGAGGCUGACAACUCCAAUGAUCCCAUAAUUGAUGAAGAACCUAUUGUUGAUCCUAAUAGUAUAUCUAUUUCCGAUGCUGAAACUAAAGAUGGUGUUGAACCUGAUAAAGAUAAUGAGAAGAUUGAUCCUCCUGAGAUACGAGAAGAAGAAGCACCAGACAAGCGCAAAAGAUAUGGUAGAGAAGAUCUUGUUGCAAGAAAACAUGGGAACGAAAGAGAACCAUGGGUACAGAAAUCAAUGCCCUUCCUAGGUAAGUCUUUCAAACCCAAAGAAUAAGACCAUUACAAUAAAUUUUGUGAACGGAUGAAACUUCUUUUUCUUCAAAUUCCUUUGACCGAUGCUAUUAAGUUGCCUCCGUACUCGAGGUAUAUGAAAGAUAUUGUUAUUAAUAAAAGAAAAGUUUCUAAUGAUACAAUACCUACUAUGCUUGCUAAUUACUCUUUCAGUGGCAAGAUUCCUGAGAAGCUUGGUGAUCCAGGUAUACCCACCAUUCCUUGUUUCAUAAAAAGUAAUUAUGUCAGAACUGCUUUAUGUGAUCUUGGUGCAGGAGUGAGUGUUAUGCAUUCCUCUCUUUACAAAAGGCUUUAUCUAGAUAAACUAAUCCCUACAUAUAUAUCUCUUCAAAUGGCUGAUAAGUCAACAGUCGUUCCUGUAGGUAUUUGUGAGGAUGUUCCCGUUGAAAUUGCUAAUUGCUUGAUAAUUACUAACUUUGUUGUGCUUGACAUGCCCGAGGAUCGGAGCAUAUCUAUUAUUCUUGGUAUACCUUUUCUUAACACCCCAGGUGCUAUUAUUGAUUGCAAUAAAGGAAAGGUGACCUUCAAUGUUAAUGAGAAGGAGCACAUGGUAUAUUUUCCAAAGAAUAUUGAUUAAAGGCAUGGCCUUAAUUCUAUUGAGAAUAUUGAGACCGUGAAGGUUGGAGAGUGGGAUUGUCCUCUACAUGUGCACCAGAAAUACAAAACCAUUAUGGUGGGGACAAUAUCCAUUGAAAUAAAGGUACCAUGAUUGCUUUAUAAGAAGUGAAACCUUUUGCUCAAUAUAACACAUGUUUGGUAGUGAGACUUGAUCAACCUUGCUAACAAAUAUGUUUUAUAUGAGUAAAAAGAGAAGCUUGUUAUGUUUUCAUUUCCUUUAUCUUUCAUCCUGCUUGUUGUACCAAAGUUUUAUGUUUUUGAAGUUUCAUAUGUUUAACCAUUGUUUCGAGUUUUCCGGAAGUUUUGCAGCUUUCAGUAUUUCGAAAAAAAAUCAAAAGUGAAGUUGUGAGAAAAAUUCCACAAAACCCCCCAUAAAAAUUUCCAUAAAAAAAGAGACGCAGUGGCACGUGGAGCCAGCUAGGAGGGCACCCUUGGUCCAGGCGGCCACUUGGCGCAGAGCGCCCCCUAGCCAUGCCCACAGGUCGCCUGGGCCCACCUGGGCUCCUUUCCAGGUACUUCUUCCUCCCUUCUCUCCCUCUCACUCCAAAGAUCCAGAUUUUUCUCCUAGAGCUCGAGUUAUUGCUGUUCUUGGUGGCAAAUUUUGAUCUCUCUCUACAACCCAUCAUUUGCAUUAAUAAUUUGAGCAUUUGCUCCCUGGUAUGUGACUCCUUCACUCCUCCAAUUCAAAUUCUGAUUGGUGGUCUUAUUUGUGAGUAUUUAUGAGUUCUUGGUGUUGUUCAUAUGAGCUUGCAUGCAUGUUUAGAAAUUUAUUUGUGAAGUUUUGAUGCAAGCUUAUGCACCAGGGAAGUGAGUAGAAUAGUUUGCUCCAACUCAUUUUUCCUUAAACCUCCAUUUUUGUGAUGAACCAAAAAAUUUCAGAAAUGAGCUUGGUUGGAAAAGCAAAAGGAUGGCUUAGGAAGAAGAGACCCGAGCCUACUGAUAGACUAACUAGAGUUGCAACUUCAUCCUCUACUGUGAAGACAAGUUACAAUGAUGAUAUCGUGCCACCAGAGUUAUUCCACGAGACGGACACGGCGCGUGCGAUGGCAUACCCGUGUUCAGAUUUCCUUAUGGCGGCAGGUAUUAAGGAUGAGUUUGAUAACCUCUGUGCAGCUGCAGGUUUGACACAUCCACAACUGGUUUAGAUAUAAUGAUAAAAUUUCCAUAAUUGAAUUCAGAUUAUAUGAGGAUGUCUUUACCAUGUCUUUGGCAAAAUUUUGUGAUAUUAUAGGUGUGCGGAAUGUCGGGAAGACGACCAAAAUCAACGUUCAGCCAUACGAAAUGAAAUCCCUAUUCGCUUCCCUUUAUAGUAAGGACCAGUGAGAAAUUCACCAGGGGAAGAUCUCCAGCAUCUUGUUUCCCCACAUCAGGUAGUUCGCAUACUAUAUUGCUCGAGGGGUGCUAGCUCGUGACAACACAAGUAACAUUUCGGCUCCGUAUCUCGCUCUCUUGGCAGCCUCCCUCUUAGGAGAUAACAUGUAUAAUAUUGGUGCUUUGAUUGCUCGUCGCUUCAUCGCUAACAGCGGUAAAGGGCCUCACUUUGGUGGCAUUUAUGCCACGCUUAUCGUCGAGCACCUCGGGCGCACUGUGCGCACGGAUGAUACGCCUUUUUCAUUCAUAAGCUUUGAUCUUAUCGCUAUGAAGAGGCAUGAGUUUAUUACUAGGACUUCCGAGUUUGGUAACCUUGUUUAUAUUAUGAGGUUCGGCGAGUUUACUACUCGCGAGAUCUGUCUACCUGCACCACUUUUGUUUGAUUACACUAGCAUGAACGGGUGGUCUUUCACCUUGAUUGAGUUGGACGAUUUCGUGAUCCAGUAGAAGUUCCACAACCCCAUGGAGGAGGUUAUUCCCGAGGAAGAAGAGCCUUCUCCUUAGGAGGCCAGUCGGGCAUCAGUGUACGCACCCGAAGCCUCGUAUGAUUCUUGGAGCCACCAGUACCAAUCUGGAGCCGGAGGAAGCUCCUAGAGCCGCAAUAGCCGAGCUCAACUUAGGCCAAAAGCCUAAGCUUGGGGGAGUACGUAUCCUUCUCCCCUUUCAUUGUAUCAUCCGUAGUAUCCUUUGUAAGUCUUUUCAGAGUUUUUGCAUGUUCUUAUUUGUUCUUUCUUUGCAAAAACAACAAAAAGAUUUCUCUGUUCUUUUUCUUUCCUUUAACCUUUGGAAAACCCAAAAAGAUUUCUUUUCUCUCGUUAGUUUGCUUUGUUUGCAGAGUUCAUCUCACGUCCAUGGUUGCAAUUGCACUUGAUUAUAUCUUUCUACGUUCGAUCGUGCAAGUGGCGAUGCAAUAAUGACGAAGAUCGACGGAAGGAAUGCAACAAGGAAAGCCGGUAUGAACUCUAUUUGUUUCUACUUUUGUACAUAUGCCUCUACUUAUGAUCUAGAGACCAGCUUAUAGCAACAUAGUGCUAUGAUUACAAUGUUCUCCCAGUAGUUCAUGCUUUCUUUGUGACUAGUCUCAAAUAGCUAGAGUGCAUAAUGUGUUAUUGAAAUGUUUAGCAUGCAUUGCAUUGUUCAUGGUUUGGCAUAUUAGAGUGGUAUUUCCCUUCGAAGAGUUUUUGGAUUGACUUGGCACAUGCUUACACAUGUUUACGACUAGAAGUCUAUCAAGCCUUGACGAUCUUUUUAUUUCAGAAUAGUUAUAUCACUUUCAUGCCCGAUUCAAUGUUUCUUUGUCGCUCUGCGUGAUUAUGACCGUUAUUGCUCUCUAGUUGGUCGCUUCCCCGUCUUUUGCUAGCCUUUGCGUGUACUAAGCGAACUGACUGCUUGUGCAUCCAAAAUCCUUAAAACCAGUUGCGCCAUAUGGGUACACCAUACCUACCUAUAUGCGGUAUUUAUGUGUCGUCCUAAGUAAAUUUGCAUGUGCCGUAUCCUAAAUUUUCAAAUGAAUAUUUUGUUUUGUAUGCCCAAAUCGCUCAUGUAGCGACUAGGAGCUAUCAGUAUCUUCCAUGCUAAGUAUGUUAUUCUCCAGAUAUGUGUUGAUUCACUGUCAUUCACGAGAAAGUGGCUUGUAACCGGGAUGCCAUGUUCCAUGCUCAGAGUCAAAUCAAAUUUAAUGAAACAAAACUCCCCCGGGAUUGUUGUUUGUAUGGACGGUACCCAUGGAUUCGGCCCGCCGUGGAGUGUGAUCGGUUGGUGGAGGGGGAGUUAAAACUUUACUUUUCUGUUUGGGAACCGCCUAUAAUGUAUUUAGCAUGUAAGAUAUUGAGAUCUCUUAGUUGUUACGUUAACAGUGAAAGGAUACCACUCAGAAUUUUGAUUUAUCUCUCUUUUAAAACUCAAGCUCUGGCACCUCUGCGAAUCAAUGCUUCCCUCUGCGAAGGGCCUAUCUAUUUUACUUUUCUAUUGAGUCGUCCUCUUCUUAUAAAAAGCACCAACUAUAGAGAGCAGAAUUGUCAUUCUGAGUGUAAUGUGCAUUGUCCCAAUGCACCACAUUGUCUUCUGCAUGAUUGUGAUAUUGCUUAUUUUGAAAUAAUUAUUUCUAGUCUCCCUUAAUACUUCGAAGGAGCGUGUGCAUUGAUAACCCACAAGUAUAGGGGAUCGCAACAGUUUUCGAGGGUAGAGUAUUCAACCCAAAUUUGUUAGUUUACCAAAAGGGAAGCAAAAGAAUAUUGUAAAGUAUUAGCAGCUGAGUUUAUCAGAUUCAACCACACCUGAAAGAUUAGUGUGUGCAAGCAAAGUAUCAGUAGCAAAGUAGUAUGAUAGCAGCGGUGCCAGAAACGAUCUGUUGACAAGGCAGACUAUUCCUAACUGUUGUAUCAAUGGCACCAGUAAGUUGCACGUGGCCGAGUAACUAUUCUUCCCCGACAACAGUGUCGGAAAAGGAUCUUGCAACAAGUAACAGCGAAGUAGCAAGGAACAGCAGUAGCAGCAGCAGCAGAGUAAUAGCAGUAGCAACAGUAGUAGCAAAGUGGCCCAAUCCCUUUUGUAGCAAGGGACAAGCCUAAACAAAGUAACGUAGCGAGGACCAGUAGUAAAAGACUCGUAGGCAGUGGAUCGGUGAUGGAUGAGUAUGACGGAUGUGAUUCAUCAUGUCACCGCUAUAACACGGAGAGAUAUGUAACUAGCUCCCGUUCAUCGAUCUAAUGUAGGCAUGUAUUCCGUAUGUAGUCAUACGUGCUUAGGGAAAAGAACUUGCGUGAUAUCUAUUGUCCAUCCCUCCCGCGGCAGCGGGGUCCUAAUGGAAACUACGGGAUAUUAAGGUUCUCCUUUUAAUAAAGAACCGGACCAACGCAUUAACACCUAGUGAAUACAUGAACUCCUCAUACUAUGGUCAUCUCCGGGAGUGGUUCCGGCUAUUGUCACUCCGGGGUUGCCAGGUCAUAACACAUAGUAGGUGACUACAACUUGCAAGAUAGGAUCUAAAACACACAUAUAUUGGCGAGAACAUAAUAGGUUCAGAUCUGAAAUCAUGGCACUCGGGCCCUAGUGACAAGCAUUAAGCAUGGCAAAGUAGUAGCAACAUCAAUCUAGAACAUAGUGGAUACUAGGGAUCAAUCCCCAUCAAAACUAACUCGAUUAGAUGAUAGAUCUCAUCCAACUCAUCACCGUCCAGCAAGCCUACAAUGAGAUUACUCACGAAUGAUGAAGAGCAUCAUGUAAUUGUCGAUGGAGGAAGGUUGAUGAUGACGAUGGCGACGAUCUCCCCUCUCCGGAGCCCAAAAUGGACUCCAGAUCUGCUGUCACGCCCAAGAUGCGACCCUAUCCUCAAUUUGGCACGAGGGCCUCGUCAGGGAUAGAAGCGCAUCUCGUCGUGUCGCAAGAAUGGAUAUCGUUACAAGUACAUGUACUGAAAAGAGGAGAUAUAUAAAGAGUUGGCUUACACUCGCCACAAGCUACAUCAGAGUCACAUCACUACAUUACAUAAUCAUCAAGAGUAAGCGCAGGGUCCGACUACGGACGAAAACAAAGGAUAAAAGAAAGAACGACGUCCAUCCUUGCUAUCCCAGGCUGCCGGCCUGGAACCCAUCCUAGAUCGAUGAAGAAGAAGAAGAAGAAGCAACUCCAAAUGAACAAUCAACGCGCUCGCGUCAAGUAAUCUUUACCUGCACCUGCAACUGGUGUUGUAGUAAUCUGUGAGCCACGGGGAACUCAGCAAUCUCAUUUCCAAAGGUAUCAAGACUAGCAAAGCUUAAUGGGUGAGGUAUGGUAAAGUGGUGAGGUUGCAGCAGCGACUAAGCACAUAUUUGGUGGCUAACUUACAAGUAUAAGAAUGUGAGGGGGAAGAUCUACGCAUAACGGACGUGUACUACUGAUGAUCGAAUGAAUGAUCCUGAACACCUACCUACGUCAGACAUAACCCCACCGUGUCCUCGAUCGGAGAAGGAACUCACGAAAGAGACAGUCACGGUUACGCACACAGUUGGCAUAUUUUUUUAAUUAAGUUAACUUCAAGUUAUCUAGAACCAGUGUUAAACAAGUUUUCCAAGUUGCCACAUAACCGCGGGCACGGCUUUCCAAAAGAUUUAACCCUGCAGGGGUGCUCCAACUAAUCCAUCACAAAUUACCACAAGCCGCAUAGAAAUCCUCAAUCACGAAGCUCGCGAUCUCGUCGGAUUCCCUAGUGGAAAACCUCAACUCUGAGAUUACCCAAAGCAUCACCGGAAUCCCGAUGCACAAGAUAUCUCGUCAAAGGUAAAACUAAUCCAGCAAGGCCACCCGGUGUGUCGACGAACCCGAUAGGAGCCGUGUAUCUCGUUUUCAGGACACACCGUCUAUGCAAAGUGGACGAGAACCAAACCUCGAGUUGCCCCGUGGUGGCACCGCCGACUGCUAGGUAGGUGGACCAACACUCAUGAGGAGCACUGGCCCGGGGGUUGAUUAAAUUAGUCCGCGGGUGCCGGCGGGUCCCUAUGCAUUAUUAUUAGGUUAUUAGGCAAAUGUAGCACCAAAGUUGGGCCUUGCCAGACCAGCUUUAAUCUAAAACGAAUUAUCAAGGGGGUCCCCAUAACAAUCCCGAUCGUGUUAGGAGCGCUCAUUUAUGGAACAUAACACCGGUAGCCGGAAACUAAGGGGGCAAAGGUGGAACAAAACACCAGGCUAGAAAGGCCGAGCCUUCCCCUUUUACCAAGUAUAUAGGUGCAUUAAAUUAAAUAGCAUUUAAUAUGGUGAUAUAACAAGGAACCCAUGUUUUCACAUGGAAGCAACUGCACCUGCAACUAGCAACGCUAUCAACAGGAUUAAACAAGCGGUAACAUGGCCAAUCAGUAGUUUGCUAGGUCGAACAUGUUGAAGGUUAACAUGCCAUGGUUGAGAGGCUGAUAUUUAACAUGUGGUAGGCAACGAGACAUAACGACAGAAACGAAAUAACUAGCAUGGCAAUGAUAGUAAUGGUAUCUGGGGAAAUGAUCAUCUUGCCUGAGAUCCCGCUUGGAAGAAGAAUGCCUCCGUGAAGCAGACGAACCGACGUAGUCGAACGGGUCCUUACAUCCGACACGCUUACGGAUCUCUAUCGAGACGGAGGGAAACGGAAACAAGCACCAACACACGAUAUUCACCACAUGAUGCACAACACAUAUGAUGCAUGAGCUACUGAAAAAAUGCAAGUCACGGCAUGACAAUCACACAACCAAACACUACACAUUAAGUGAAGUUCAAUAUGCACGAGUUGCAUAUUGACGAAACUCCACGUUAAUUAUUUAAUUCACUCCCAUUAUCUACACGGCAAUAUUAAUGUUGUCAAACAUGCAAGAGGUGGAGCGGAAAUUAAACUACCUAUCUAGGCAUUUUAAGUGAGGUCGGAAAUGACAUAUAGCAUCUCUGACACGACCUCACACAUUAAUUUACAAUUCUGACCAGAUCUGUACUAAUGCAUUUAAUUAGUUGUUAAACGGCAAAACAAAUAGGUUCACGUGAUUCUACGCGUCAAGGCAAGCAAUCUACACAUAAAGAACAUCUCCAACGGAGCUACGGUUCAAAAGAUACAAGCACCGCGAGAUAUGAUGGCAUGAAUGCAAAAAUGUGUGCAACGGCGGUUACGAGCACUUCAACACAUACAAAAAGCAAGAGAAAAUGAAACUACACGUGAUUCUAAUCAAGUUUCAUGUAGGACACGAUCAAAACGGAGCUACGGUUCGAAAACUACGAGCAAAACAAGAAAACACUACAAUCUGCCAAAAUCAGCCACAUAUCACUUUCUACACCACACAACUACGAGCUACACAACUCCGAUAAACUCAAGCAAGGCAUGGCACGAAAGAGGGAAAGACUCACAACUACAAGCAACUAACAACAACUAGCAUGGCAGCAAGGAGCACUAGGAAAAGAAGACACAAAAUGGCAUCUCACGCACUAUUUCAGACUUAGUGAAAAUUACACCUCAUGAAAGUGCAGUUUUCGAUCUGAAGCAAUAUUGACAGCAGAAAAACCUAUAGCUACAGGACUCCAAAUGGCAUGAAACUUAACAGCAUGCUAGAGAAACAUAAGGGGUACAACUAACUCCAUUGGACCAACCCCAAAAGAGCUACAGAUCACAAGAUGCAAGCAAGACAAGACAGCAACAAGAUAUAACAGAUUCCAGACUUAGAAAUAUUUCAGUUCCUCUAAAACAGCACUAUUUCUAGCAACUUGAGGGCAAGCAAACAACACCUAAACAUGCAUUUCUAUUGCAACCAAAAAAUACCAGGGGCUAAACAAAACAUCUAAGAAGAAUUCCCUAGUUGACAACUUAUUCAAACGAGGCCCGGAAUAAAACCUACAAAUUAAACAAAAGGGCAUCACGGCCAAAUAUCGCGCGAAUUAACUUACUCAAAAGCUAAAACUAAUUGCACCAUAUAAAAUAUGUGGGGUUUGCAACACAAAAUAAUGCCACACAUUAAUGCGAGAAAUAAUCCUAGACACGGAAAAAUAAACUAGAGGCAAUUCCCUACACGCAAAAAUACAAAUGAAUGCUCUAUAAAGCAUGCAAAAAUGAUCCCUAAAACACGGGCAUUUUAUCUACGGUGUUCGAACAAACCGGACACGCACGAGAAUUAAAACGGGAUAAAAGAUACUAGGACAGCACGCUAAACUAGGCAUUAGGCACUCUAAACGGCGUCAAAUAAAUGUGCAGGUUUUAAAUACGUACUCUACGCGCAAAAAUACCACCAAACCAUAUACUACACGCCUCAAACCGACUAACGGAAUAAAAGUUACGGUCGUCUAAAUAUACGUCUAAAUCUGGAAUUUAAUUAAAUCCAGAGAAAUACCCUAAAAGGAAAAAAACAUCUAUCGGGCCUAAACUAUGGGCGCUCGAUAUCUAAAAUACGCUCGAGCGAUAAAUAGAGGUCUGGGGAGGAACCUCACCUUGGGCUUGGCCCAGGUCGGCGAGGGAGGCAGGCCGGUCAGCGCUGGAUGGGCUGGCCCAAGCGGGGGUAGGCUGCUGGCGGGGCAGUCGCNNNNNNNNNNNNNNNNNNNNNNNNNNNNNNNNNNNNNNNNNNNNNNNNNNNNNNNNNNNNNNNNNNNNNNNNNNNNNNNNNNNNNNNNNNNNNNNNNNNNNNNNNNNNNNNNNNNNNNNNNNNNNNNNNNNNNNNNNNNNNNNNNNNNNNNNNNNNNNNNNNNNNNNNNNNNNNNNNNNNNNNNNNNNNNNNNNNNNNNNNNNNNNNNNNNNNNNNNNNNNNNNNNNNNNNNNNNNNNNNNNNNNNNNNNNGGCCAAGGGCGGGGGCUGCGGGAGGAGCCUGGGCCGUUGGAUCAGCGAUCCGACGGUCCAGAUCGGCGCCCUGGUGGAUCAGAUCUGAGAGGAGAGAGAGGGAGGGAUCCCUGGGUUUCGGAAUUGCACGGUUUUCGAGGCAGGAUUAGGGGAGGCCUAAAAUGGAAGGGGAGGUGUGUUUAAAUAGGAAAGGGGGCUAGGUUUAGCGAAAUUUCGAUCCGGAGCCAACCGCGGGGUCGGAUUCGGACGAUUCCGAACGCGGGUAUGGGCAUGCGGUCGUGUAGAGGGGAUAUCCGGAGACGAGAUGGAGAACGGGCGGCGCGGCACGAAUUUUAAAACACCGACAUACGUCCGACUGUAGACCGAAUACGGUGCCGCUACGGUCGACAGUUCGGGUACCAGACGGUCUCCGAUCGCGACGAAAUUCGACAGGCGGUCUAGCGAAAACUAAACACGACCGCACGUCAAAUCUCAACCCGAUCAGAGAAAGUUUUAAACGCACUUUAAAAACAGGGUUUCGACGGUGCCGCGGGCGCGUGCGAGUGCGGUCGGGCUCAGAACGGACGACGACGCGAACCGACAACUAACAACGAAUGCUAGUUUUGAAAACUGGCGGCAACGGAGUUGCCGAUGCAAUGAUGAUGAUGCGGAUGAUGCGAUGAUGAUGCGGCAACUCAAAAUACCCACAGGACGAAAACGGAAAGAAAAGGGGAAGCUUCUGGAACGUCGGCAUCGGGCUGUCACAUGUGCCCACCAUAUGAAGAACAGGAGGUGGCGGUGCCUCCGUAUCAUAAAACGUGAUGAAACCUUCUCUUUGAUUUUUUUCCGGUCGAGACGGAAGAUAUAGAGCUGAGUUUGGGGGCAGUGGUGCCACCUGAGCCCCACAAGCCCUCACGGCGCGGCCAGGGGGUGGCUGCGGCCUGUGGGCUUGUGGCCCACUGGCACGCCCCCUCAGCUGGAUCUUUGCGCAGGUAUUUUUAUUUUAUUCCAGAAAAAAUCUCCGUAAAUUUUCAGGACAUUCCGAGAACUUUUAUUUCUGCACAAAAACAACGCCAUGGCAAUUCUGCUGAAAACAGCGUCAGUCCGGGUUAGUUCCAUUCAAAUCAUGCAAAUUAGAGUCCAAAACAAGGGUAGAAGAGUUUGGAAAAGUAGAUACGACGGAGACGUAUCAUGCAUUUAUGUUUUGCUUCACUCUUGGGGGCUAGCGAGAUACCACUCUAGUAUAUCCAAGUUUGUGCAUUGUGAUCUCGUUAUGAUUUUUAGUUACAUAUUAUUCUUUCUCAGUUGUUUGAAACUCUUCACAUGAUCGAAGGAUCUCUUCGUGCAUUGUCUUUGUAGCAUUACUUCGAUACUUGUUGGACUGGUUCGUAGUGCAUGUUUAUAUACAUCUGUUGAAGCAAAAGAGUUUUUCAAAGUUUUCUUUGUCGCGUUCGGUUCGUUGAACUGAAUUGCUUGAGGACAAGCAAUAUAUAUGCUAAGCUUGGGGGAGUUGAUACGUCUCAAACGUAUCGACUUUUCCAAACACUUCUGCUAAUGUUUUGGCCUCAUUCUUGCAUCAUUUGAAUGAAACUAACCCGGACUGACGCUGUAUUGAGCAAAGUUGUUUGUAUGGUUUUCUUGUUUGCAGGAAAAUGGAUAUUUAGAUGUCCCGGAAAAUUCCCAUAAAAAUAGAGAAAAUCCACGCACUGGGAGGAACCAUGGGCCAGAAGAUGGGCCACAGGGGAGCCACAGGGCCCCCACGCGACCUGCUGGUGUGGCCUACCCCCUGGUCGCGCCAGGAGGCUGACUGGGUGGGGCCCACCCCCUCUAGUGCCCUACUUUGGCUCCUAUUUUUACCCGUGACAUCGAAGAACAUAAGUCGUUUUGCAAGUUCUCGACGUGGAGCCGCUGCCACCCUCGGUUCUUCUUCGGGAGAGCUAAUCUAGAGGCUGUUUUGGCCUCCGGAGAGGGGAAAUCGUCGCCAUCAUCAUCACCAUCACCACUCCGUCAUCCUUCCAUGGCUUCUCCCAUCAUGUGUGAGUAAUUCCCUGUUGUAGGUGAAGGGGAUGGGAGAGAUUGGAUGAGUUAGAUCAUGUAAUAGUUUGUCGGAUUGUUGGGGGCAUGUUGCCUAUCAUCUACUAUGGUGUUAUCAUCUUUAAUACUACUUGUUACUCUUAAUGCUUGUCACUUUGGGCCUGAGUGCCCUGAUUUCAGAUCUGAAUACCUUAUGUUUUCAUGAAUAUAUUUGUGUUCUAGAUCCUAUCUAUGAGUAGUAUGCACCUAUUACAUUCCGGAACCGGCGAUCCCAAUGGUGACAGCUUGGGACACCAAACGGGAUAGGCUAUAGUUUGAGGAUUCCAUGUAUCCAUUGAUUGUUAAUGCUUUUUUCCGGUGCUCUUUGGCAGGAGCACCUUAAUCUCCAUAAGUUCCUUUUGGCCCCGUUGAUAGCAGGAUGGUAGGACAAAAGAUGUUGUGCAAGUUCUUAUUCCAACCACGCACAACUACCUCGGGAUACAUGCCUAAUGUUUGAUAUAUGCCUAGAUGAUCAUUACUUUUCUAUGUGCCUUGCCCCAAGUGAAAUACAUGAUAUCUCUCAUCCAUGACCAACCAUCCAUCUCCCUACCCUGCAGUGUUUUAAUAUUGCUAGUUGCAAGUUACUUUACUUUCGCCAUUUUGCUUCCCUUGCUUUGCCACUAUUAUUUCCGUUGCCACCUUCACUUUCAUAUCAUGGUUGCUACUAAUAUUUCGUUGCCAAGAAAGUAUCUUCCAGGUGUGGUUUAAUUGACAACUCAAAUGUUAAACCAUAUAAAUAUACUUUGGCUCCCCUUGUGUCGAAUCAAUAAAUUGGGUUAACUUACCCGCGAAGACUGUUGCGAUCCCCUACACUUGUGGGUUAUCAACGCCCAAGAAGCCUAGCAGGUUAACAUAAAGAUUCUUCGUCACGUGCAUCACGUCUAUUACAGAGCGUACCUGUAGGACUUUCCAAUAAGGCAGGUCCCAAAAUAUAGAUUUAUUCUUCCACAUGGACGCGUGUCCGUCAACGUCAUUCGGAACAAAUUGUCCGCCAGGACCCUUUCCAAAGAUUACUUUUAAUUCCUUGACCAUAUGAAGUAUAUGAUAACCAGUACGAUGGUCAAGAUUCUUCUGGUGAUCUGACUCACUUUGAAAUGCUUGCCUUCUUUUCUUAAGAGAUGCUUGAUCAGAAGAAAUCGAUGAUGUCCUAGGUACACAUUCUUCUUACAUUUAUCCAAAUAUAUACUUUCGAUGUCAUCUAAAUAGUGCACGCAUGUGUGGUAUCCCUUGUUUGUCUGUUAUUAAAGGUUACUAAGAGCAGGCCAAUCAUUGAUGGUUACAAAUAGCAACGCUCGUAGGUCAAAUUCAUGUUGUUUGUGCUCAUCCCACACACGUACACCUUUGAUAUCCCACAGCUGUGAAAGUUCUUCAACUAAUGGCCUUAGGUACACAUCAAUGUCAUUGUCGGAUUGCUUGGGGCCUUGGAUGAGCAUUGGCAUCAUAAUGAACUUCCGCUUCAUGCACAACUAAGGAGAAAGGUUAUAGAUACAUAGAGUCAUAGGCGAGGUGACCUGAUUGCUGCUCUGCUCCCCAAAAGGAUUAAUGAAAUCUGCACUUAAACCAAACCAAUAGUUCCAUGCAUCAUUUGCAAAGUCCGACCACUUUAUCUCGAUUUUCCUCCACUGCGGCCAAUCAGCGGGUACUCUCAACUUCCCGUCUUUCUUAUAGUCUUCUUUGUGUCAUUGCAUCAACUUGGCAUGCUCUUUGUUUUGGAACAAAUGUUUCAACCAUGGUAUUAUAGGAUCAUACCACAUAACCUUGGCAGGAAUCCUGUUCCUGGGGCGCUCGCCCUCAACAUCACGAGUGUCAUCGCAACUAUUAUUAUAGUGCAACGCACCGCAUACCGGGCAUGCAUUCAAAUUAUUGUAAUCCUCACCACGGUAGAGUAUGCAACCAUUAGGGCAUGCAUGUAUCUUGUGCACCUCUAAUCCUAGAGUGCAGAUAGCCUUCUUUGCUUCAUACGUACUGCCGUGUGAUACGUCCAUUUUGCAUCAUGCUUUCAUGUUGAUAUUUAUUGCUUUUUGGGCUAUUAUAUUAUUUGUGGUACCAUACUUAUGCCUUUUCUCUUUUAUUUUGCAAGGUUUAUUUGAAGAGGGAGAAUUUAGGCAGCUGGAAUUCUGGACUGGAAAAGGAGCACAUCUCCAAAUGCCUUGAAAAGUUACGUGGAUUUUUUCUGGAUUAUAUAAAAAAUACUGGGCGAAAGAACUACCGGAGGGGGGCUGCCAGGGCUCCACAAGCCCUAACACCGCCACCCCCCUAGUGGCGGAGUGGGGGCUUGUGGGCUCCCUGACGGCCCACUAGCCCCCCUCUUUUGCUAUAAGAAGCGUCCUGGUCCAGAAAAAAUAAAUCGGGAGCUUUUUCGUGGUUUCCCCGUCGCCACGAGGCGGAACUUGAGCAGAUCCAAUCUAGAGCUCCGACAGGACGAUCCUGCCGGGGAAACUUCCCUCCCGGAGGGGGGAAUCAUCGCCAUCGUCAUCACCAACACUCCUCUCGUCGGAGGGGAGGCAUCUUCAUCAACAUCUUCAUCAGCACCAUCUCCUCUCCAAUCCCUAGUUCAUCUCUUGUAACCAAUCUUCGUCUCGCAACUCCGAUUGGUACUUGUAAGGUUGCUAGUAGUGUUGAUUACUCUUUAUAGUUGAUGCUAGUUGAAUUCCUUAUGGAAGAGUUUAUGUUCAGAUCCUUGAUGCUAUUCAUUACACCUCUGAUCAUGAUUAUGAUUAUGCUUUGUGAGUAGUUACUUUUGUUCCUGAGGACAUGGGAUAAGUCAUGCUGAUAAUAGUCAUGUGAAUUUGAUAUUCGUUCGGUAUUUUGAUAUGUUGUAUGUUGUCUUUUCCUCUAGUGGUGUUAUGUGAACGUCAACUACAUAACACUUCACCAUAUUUGGGCCUAGAGGAAGGCAUUGGGGAGUAGUAAGUAGUUGAUAGGUUGCUGGAGUGACAGAAGCUUAAACCCCAGUCUAUGCGUUGCUUCGUGAGGGGCUGAUUUGGAUCCACUAGUUUAAUGCUAUGGUUAGACUUUGUCUUAAUUCUUCUUUUGUAGUUGCGGAUGCUUGCGAGAGAGGUUAAUCAUAAGUGGGAUGCUUGUCCAAGUAAGGGCAGUACCCACGCUCCGGUCCACCCACAUAUCAAACUAUCAAAGUAACGAACGCGAAUCAUACGAACAUGAUGAAACUAGCAUGACAGAAAUUCCCGUAUGUCCUCGAGAGCUUUUUUCCUCCUAUAAGACAUUGUUCAGGCUUGUCCCUUGCUACAAAAGGGAUUGGGCCACUUGCUGCACCGUUUCUACUACUUGUUACUUGUUACUCUUUGCUUGUGUAACGACCAAGAUGCGGUCCUUUCCGAUCUGGGGAUCGAGGCCCCGAAUUGGAAAGGAGUGCAUCUAAGCGUCUCGCAAACAGGUAACACAGCACAUACAUAAUAAUAAUAAAGAGACAAUCAGGGGUUCAAUUGCCUUCUCAUAAAUAUUAUCAGUGUACAUCACGCAUACAAUCAAAGUAGUUCCGCUACGGACUACAAACAAGAGAAAAUGGCUAUGCUACCCUGCCUGCUGGCCCACGAUCAUGACCACGCCUCAAUCUUCUGGAUAGUUCACGUACAGGCGGUCGGUCUCCUCAUCGUACUGCCAAGCCAGCUGCAUGCUGUCGGGAUCACCUGUCUCUAGGGUACCUGAACCUAUUGGUAUUAUGGAGGAAUCCGUGAGCCACGGGGACUCAGCAAUCUAAGACCUUGGUGCCAGAACUAGUCAAGUUAUUAGGUCGGAUAGGGUAGAGUGUUUAAGAUUGCAGCAUCCUAAGCUUGAAAUGGUGGCUAACUUACGUAGAGCAUUUAUGAAGGUGGACUAUACUAGCGGUCGAGAAUACUUGAUCACUAAGUGAUCCUGAACACCUACCUACGUCAUUCAUAACCCCACCGUGUUCCCGAUCGAAGAGAGAUCUCCAAGGGGACAGUCACGGUUACGCACACGGUUGGCAAUUUUAUUCCCCCCCCCAUGUUAAAGUUAUCUAAUACCAGAUGUUAACAAAAUAUUCCAAGUUGCCACAUAACCGCGGGCACGGCUUACCAAAAGAUUAAACCUUGCAGAGGUGCUCCAACUAGUCCAUCACAAACGUACAUGGGCCGCAAAGUAAUCCUCUAUGACGAAUCUCGUGAUCUCGUCGGAUUCCUUAGAGGAAAACCUCAACUCUGGGGGAACCAAAGCUUCACCGGGAUUCCUAUACGCAAGAUAUAUCGCUAAGGUAAGGCAAGACUAGCAGGACCUCCCGUCGUGUCGACGACCCCGAUAAGAGCCGCGUAUCUCAGUCUCAGGACACGAAAAGCCUACAAGAGCCAAACCUCAAGUUUCCCUGUGGUGGCCCCCACAGUCUGUCCAUUUUGGGCCAACACUCAUGAGGAGCACUGGCCCGGGUUGUUGAUUAAAGAUCCUCGGGUGAUCAUUUCCUAUGCAUAUUAUUAUUAAGUGAUUAGCAAAUUAACACCAAUGUUGGGUCCUGCCGGACAAGUCUUAGCACUAAGCGAUUUAUCGAGGGGGUCCCCAUAACAACCCCGAACGUCUUAGGAGCGAUCAAUAUGGAAUCAAACACCGGUAACCGGUAACUAUGGCGGCAAUAACGGAACAAAGCACCCGGCAAAAUGCUAGGCCUUCCGUCAUUUACCAAGUAUAUAGGUGCAUUAAUUAAAUAACAGAAUUUAAGAUAAUGACAUCAAGCUCAUGUUAUCACAUGAGUCAAAGCACCUGCAUCUAGCAACGCUAACAUUAGUAGCUGAGCAAAGCCUACUUAGCCAUUCAAGUUUGCUGGGAAGGGAUCAGUGUUUGGGUUCAUGGCAUAUCAAGAGGCAAAUAUUUCAGUGGUAGGCAGUGAGGAUAUGACAAAGGAAAUGUAAUAUAGCAUAACAAUUCUAGAGAUGGAAUCAAGGUCAUAUCAUCUUGCCUGUGAUAUCCUCAGCUUGGAAUGGUUCUUGAUCAUCCUGCACAUACUCUCCGGACUCCACGUACUCGUUCUCCGAUCCCGGUGCUAUCCAACAUAAGAAUAUCAUCCAAUGAACAACAUCACCUCAAGAUGCAACAAGCACAUGAUGCAUGAGAUGAAUAUGAGCAUGCAUCACUAUUUCUAUCACUAGCACAAGCAUAUGGAGUAAAUACAUGUUCCUGCACAGAACUGCAUGCUAACCUAUUUUGACAUGCAUGAGAAUGACAUGAUCAUAUGUGUCUCGUGUAAACGAUGCAAAAGCAUAUAAAGAACAUUACAAUCGGAGCUACGAAUCAACGGGAAUCAACGAAACAAGAUAUGAAGCCCUACGUGUCAAAAUAAUGACCACGCACUCAAAUGGCACAAAUCUGGUAUUCCUAGGUUGCCAAGAGAAUAACCAAACCAUCAUGGAUGGGGUGGAGCAAAUAAGAACACCACAACAUCAACUAAGCACUCACAAACAUCAAAAUCACAAAACUACACAAUCUGCCAUAAACUGCAUCAUAGCACUUUGUGAGCUACAUGCAAAGCACCUACGGCCACCCAAACAUGACAAAUAAUAUAUGUGGCUGUAUCUAGACAAGAAUACUACAAGCACAAGCAAGAAUCACACAAAAAGGAAUUAAACACAGAAAGUUACAAGGCUGCAAACUUGCCCAAAAACGACAGUUUUCACGGACUUAGAGAAAAUUCCAGAUUCUCACUUUCUCUCUAUGCUCUGAAGCAUUUUGACAGCAGCCAAAACAAUAUCUAUAGGGCUCCAAAUGACAUGCAAUUUUACAGGGAGCUAGACAAACAUAUCAGGUACAACUUUCUAGGUGAAAGCUAAGGCUUGAUCACAACACAAUGACCAGCACAACCUCAUCAACAGGAGAAGAAAAUAUAAACAGAUUCUCAGACUUCGUGAAAAUCUCAGAUUUUCACUAAUCUGGAAUUUCAGCCACAUGCCUACUUUGAGUGGGCAUAACUUGCACAUAUGGAAUCCUAAUCAUGAGAUGAAACCAACAAGAGUUAGAGGGGGUCACCCUCUACUACCACAACCAAGAAACAAACACAAAGACUCAUCACAACUCAUGGAAGCAAGCUCUAAACAUAGAAGAAAAUGAAAAUAUGUCAUCUCCAGAAAUGUUCCAAUGGAAAAAACUGAUCUCACCAAUGGAUUCCUUAGGAGAUUCUACCCCAAAAACAUAUAUAAUAUGUGGGCACGUACUUGGAACAAGUGACCACAAAUUAAGAAGGAAAAAACAACAUAGAAUCUUAAUUAGUGAAUAGUGCAACAUCACAUGUGCAAAAUCACUAGAACACUAUCUACACUAGCACUUGCAUGACCACAACACCAAUGUUGACAUGAGGAUUUUGACCCCAUGUGUGUGUGCCAUGGCCAUCACCAUACCCAAACAUAUCUACAAGACAAACUCACCGACACAAGAAACAUGCACCACUCACAUAUGGACAUAUGGACAUAUGAGGAUUCCCCACACACAAGCACAUGCUCACAAUCCAUGGUGCUCAUGAAAUAUGUUCAUGUGUGUGUGUGCUUCUCACACACCACACCUCAAUAUAAACAUGCACUCAAAACCUACCACACUACACCACUUAAGCAUGUCACUAGUGCAUCAUCCUCACCUUGAGGAAGAGCUGCUCACACACAUGCAGCACACUAGGCUAGUAAAACACCCACAAGUCAAGCACAUCACAAACAUCUCAUAUGGAAGAAGAUCCACACAUACACUACUCUACCUUACAGAUAACUACACACUCACAUAAACACACAUGCUAGCAAAAAAAAUACCUUCACACACAUGCUGUUUGUGGGAAGAAAGUAUUCCCACUUGGUGUAGCUCACACCAAGCAACUCUCAUACACAUACAAGAGGAUAAGCAGCAACAAGGCAAAAGAAAAUAAAUUAAAAGGGGUGGUGGUUUCGAACCCAGGACCUCCUGGUACAAGCCACAACACCAAACCACUCUGCUACCAAACACUAUCUCGACAGGGAAGGAUAGAAAAGCAAGUUGACUGCACUGCUGCUGCAACGCUACUGUUGCCCGAAAUAUAAUGCAAAAAGGGGGGAGAGAUCUCCUGGGACUCGAACCCACAACCUCUCGAGAACAAAUAUUGGUUGUUACCACUUCGCUAUGAUAUGGACGACUGACAUAACAGGGAACUGUAACAAGGUAACUAGCACCUGAUCCAUACCCUGCUCUGCACCAGCGAGCCGGCGACACAGAGAUCGCCAAUGAUGGUCUCUCUCUACAGCUCAAUGUCGACGAGGGGAUCCAACCUAGUCUCAGCGCUGCUACCACGAGGGGCAAGGAAGCCCCCCUCUUUCACCCAUGCAACCGAACGCCAGUACACAGAACACCACCACGCACAUGACCGAUCUACCUCUCUGAGCAGAGAAACUCCGGCGAAGUACAAGCGAUCCUAGCGAGGAGGAAGGAGGGAGGGGAGAUCCCUCACCUAGGGAAGGAAGGGAAGAAGCCACCCCGCUUGAAGGAGUAGCCGGAGGGGAAGAAGACGCGUCGGAACUCUGUUGCCGAUGAAGUAGAGGAAGACGACGGGGAACUUCGGGGCCGAGGCGAUGGCGACCUCCUGGCCGUCGUUGUAGUCGCUCCUCGACCUCAACGAUGGCGGGAAUGGGGCGCGGGGAGCCUCCCCGAGCUCCUGGACAUGGCGGCGGCUCCGGACGUCGACGGGAACGGGGAAGACACCGGCGAGGCUUCCCUUCUCUCUCUGCCACUCCUACAGGAACUUACCGGUGGGGGAAGGAAGAGAGAUGGGGAUGGAGAGAGGUGGCGGCGCAGAUGGGGAGAGAGGGAAACCCUUAGGCAGUUGGGCACGGACGCCCACGCUUUAUGGGGUGGCCUCGACGGUUGUGCCUGACGGCGGCACGCCCUCUCUCUGUGCUGACGAGACGGAAAGUUGGACGAGGAAGAACGCCGUCAGAAGACGAGGAGGUCGCAGGACUGGGCCACCGCGCCAGGAAGGGAGGGGGAACUGGGCCACGCUGUGCGGGAUCAAGCCCAAUAGAGCGCCACUUAAGAGAAAAUAAAUGCCUGGUGUUUUUCUUUUUUACAAGAAGUACAAGAGAAGAAUGAAAUGCACAAGAAAAACUACAAACGCAAAAAAUAAAGCUAGCACAUCCCUGGUCAUGAAAAUUCAUGACCUAUUUGAAUAAAAUGCAACAUGAAUGUAUGGGGCAAAUUAAUAUUUACAAAACAGCCAUUGUUUGACCUGUUUUGUAAUUAUUUGCACCUCUUGCACCCCUCCUUAAAAGAGCAUCUAUACUUCACAAAUCCACCACACACAAGAGCUAAAACAGGAACAUUUUAAAAACAGAAAAGGAAGUAGUGAAUCUUGACAUAGGAGGAAUAGAGAGAGGGGUGAAGAUGAUUUGAAACCUAAGCAUUCACAUGGUAUCCUACUAGCACAAGCAACCUAGUAGAGUUGCACCACACCACACAUAUGUCCACAAGAUCACAAACACCACAUAAAAGCAUAAGACCACAAUGCAACAUCACAAGACAUGAGCAUGAAAUGUUAUGUUAUGCAUGAAUGCAAGGAAAGGAAAUGUUAAGGGACAUCACAUGGAAUCAUGGCAUUGAUCUAUCUCAUAGCAUAGACAUGGUGGUCCCACAUGGAAGGUUACAAAAAGGGAAGGCUUUACACUUGGGGCACUACAGACUCUCCCACACUAUGAAAAAGAUCUCGCCCCGAGAUCUACGCCUGAAAGAAUGCCGGAAAUUCAGAACGGAGGUGGUCCUAGCAUUCCCAAGUAGCCUCUUUAUCGGAAUGGUGUGACCACUGCACUUUGAGAAAUUUGACAGUCUUGUUACUGGUCUUGCGCUCAGUCGCCUCGAGAACCACAACUGGAUUCUCACGAUAACAAAGGUCAGGCUGAAGGUCGAUGUCUUGAAGAAGAACAGUGCGCUCGGGGGUCUUGAAGCACCUCCGAAGCUGAGAAACAUGGAACACAUCAUGGACAUUUGCAAAGUUUGUCGGAAGCUCGAGCUGGUACGCAAGGUGGCCUCUCUUGCCAACCACUCUGAACGGACCAACGAAACGAGGCGCAAGCUUGCCUUUGAUGCCAAAGCGUUGCAUACCCUUCAUAGGUGACACCUUGAGAUAGACGAAGUCAUCAAGAUCAUAAGACAUGUCACGGUGCUUGCUAUCAUAAUAGCUCUUCUGACGGGACUGAGCUGCUUUGAGGUUGUCGCGAAUGAUCCGACACAUCUCCUCAGCUUCUUCUAUCAUAUCAUUGCCAAGGAUCUGACGCUCGCCGGUCUCGGACCAGUUGAGCGGAGUACGGCACUUCCUGCCAUAGAGAAUUUCAAACGGAGCCUUGCCAGAACUAGCUCGAUAACUGUUGUUAUACGAGAACUCCGCGAAAGGCAGACAAUCUUCCCACUUCAUGCCAAAAGAGAUAACACAGGCUCUCAGCAUAUCCUCAAGAACGUGAUUCACUCUCUCCACUUGACCACUAGUCUGAGGAUGGAACGCUGUGCUGAAGCGGAUCUUCGUGUCCAUAGCAGACUAAAAGGAGUCCCAGAACUUGGAAGUGAAGAUACUUCCGCGAUCCGAAGAGAUCAUCAUAGGCACGCCGUGCAAAGAGACAAUCCUGGAGGUGUACAACUCUGCGAGCUGAGCUGCUGAAAUGGACUCGUUGACUGGAAGAAAAUGAACCACUUUACUCAACUUGUCGAUGACGACGAAGAUAGAAUCAUUACCCUUCUUGGACUUCAAAAACCCGGUGACGAAAUCCAUCUCAAUGUGAUCGAACUUCCACUCUGGAAUUGGCAAAGGCUGCAAAAGGCCUGCUGGGCGUUGAUGUUCUACUUUCACCCUUCGACAUACAUCACAUUCAUUUACGAACUGAGCAAUCUCACGCUUCAUACGAGUCCACCAGAAGGUCUGCUUCAAGUCGUGGUACAUUUUGGAGCUUCCAGGAUGAAUAGAGAGCAGAGAGUUAUGAGCUUCCUCCAUGAUUACCUUCCUAAGAUCACCUUUCGGGACGACAAGGCGAUCCUCGAAGAACAACGUGUCUCUGGCAUCGACAGUGAAGCACUUAUACUUGGGGAGACUCUUUCCCACGGCAAUCUUGACCUUCUUCACCAUAGCGUCAAGAAGUUGUGCUGCUCGGACCUGAUCUUCCAAGGUAGGAGAGAUCUGAAGGUUUGCAAGAAAUCCCUGAGGUACUAGCUGAAGGUUGAGAUUCCUGAAAGACUCACAAAGACCAGGCUGGAGAGGUUGCACAAUCAGACUAUUGCAAUAUGCCUUCCUGCUCAAAGCAUCCUCCACGACAUUAGCUUUGCCUGGCGUGUACUCAACACUCGGAUUAAAAUCCUGGAGCAUUUCCACCCAACGUGUUUGCUGAAGAUUCAAGUUAGACUGAGUGAAGAUGUACUUGAGACUCUUGUGAACGGCGAAACUUCAACCUUACGUUCCAACAAGAGGUGUCUCCAAGUCAUCGGAGCAUGUACCACAGCUGCUAGCUCAAGAUCAUGCACAGGAUAGUUCUUCUCCGCUGGCUUCAACUGCCUGGAGGUAUAAGCAACCACCUUCUUAUCUUGCAUCUGGACCGCACCAAGACCCUGGAGAGAAGCGUCGCAGAAGACCUGGUAAGGCAUGGAAUCAUCCGGAGGGACCAAGACAGGAGUGGAGGUAAGCUUCUCUUUGAGUGUAUCGAAGGCCAGUUGACACAAUGGAGACCAAGCAUACUUAACACCCUUCUGAAGAAGACUUGAGAGCGGCUUGGCGAUCUUGGAGAAGUUCUCAAAAAACCUUCCUCAAUAUCCAGCAAGCCCAAGAAAGCUUCGAAGCUCCUUCACAUUCUGCGGAGGCUCCCAUUCAACAAUGGCCUGAACCUUGGACGGAUCGACUUUAAUGCCCUCGGCAGAGAUAAUGUGCCCAAGAUACACCACUUCUUUCAGCCAGAACUCGCACUUGGAAAACUUAGCAUACAGCUUGUACUCUCUCAGCUUAUCAAGCACCAAUCUGAGAUGUUCUUCAUGUUCUUCCUCAGUUUGAGAAAAGACCAGAAUGGCGUCGAGGUAGAGCAAGACAAAGUCAUUCUUGAACGGAGAGAAUAUGUAGUUCAUCAAUCGACAGAAUGUCGGAGGAGCAUUUGCCAGACCAAAAGACAUGACCAUAUACUCAUACGAGCCAAAACUAGUCCUGAAGGCAGUCUUCGGAAUAUCUUCCUCGCGAAUGUGAAUUUGAUGAUAGCCCAUUCUAAGAUCAAGCUUGGAGAAGACCUUAGCACCUUUCAACUGUUCGAAAAACUCAGUUAUGUUCGGAAGUGGAUAUUUGUUCCUGAUUGUCUUCUUAUUCAAUGGGAAGUAAUCUACACACAGUCGGUCCGUGCCAUCCUUCUUCUUGACAAACAGAACACCACAGCCCCACGGAGACGAGCUUGGUCUGAUCAAACCCAAACUCUCCUGCUCAUCGAGUUGCCUCAUAAGUUCCUUCAAUUCUUCUGGGCCCAGCUUGUACAGUCGUUUGCACACUCGCUCUGUGCCUGGCUCAAGCUCAAUGACAAACUGAACUUCACGGUGCGGAGGCAUGCCUGGAAGUUCUUUAGGAAAUACAUCUUCAUACUCGCAGACCACUGGGAGUUGCGAGAUAGGAUUGAUCUCACCCUUUUCAUACAAAGAGAACAGACGGAUUGUAUCAUCACGCGCCGGGAAUAUAAUCACGUCCUCCGAAGAGUGGGUAAGCUUCACUUCUUUGGCUUCACAAUCAAUUGACGCCUUGUUCAUGGCUAGCCAGUCCAUACCAAGAAUAAACUCGAUGUCGGAAUUGCCCAAGACAAUAGGAGACGCCAGAAAAGCAUAAGCACCCAUCUUGACAGAAAUAUCAGGAACGAACAAACUAGAACUCAAAGGCUUUGCAGGAGAAACGACUGCCAACGGCUUAGGCAACUGCUCCUGACGCAGAUUAUGCUUGGAUGCAAAUGGAUAUGACACGAAGCAAUGCGAAGCACCAGAAUCAAAUAAAACUUUAGCAGGAAUAUCAUUGACGAGGAGGUUACCCAUGAUCACAUCUGACGAGUUCUCUGCCUUAGCUGCAUUCACCAUGUUGACUCGAGCUGAUCUAUGGUUGAACUUGACAAGAGCGUUGCUUGGAGGUUUGCCUGGAGGAGGAGGCGGCAGUCGGAGCUGAGAAAUACACUUGUUGGCAUAGUGGCCCUUCUGCCCACACUUGUGACAAGUGACAUCUGCUGGCUGCCGGUACUGAGUCUGAGGAGGCCCUUGCUUGUGAUGUUGGUAUCUCUGCUGGAAAACAGGGUUGGGUGGGUGGGAAGAACCACGACCACCUGAGUGCUUGAGCUGCUGCGAGUGCCGAGGAGGAGGACGAGAAACCCAAAACUUCUGUUGCUUCUGAACCACCUGAGUCGAGGAAGAGCUGGAAUCUCUGAAGCGCUUCUUAGAAUUCUCCACCCUGAGCAAGGCUGCCUCUGCUGUGAGAGAUAGGUUGUAGAACUUGUCGAACUCCUCAGGAUCGUGCAAGGCAAGAGCUAACUACAAAUCUUCUUUCAAGCCACCUUUGAACUGAUAAAUCUUGCUCUUGUGAUCAGGGAUAUCCUGCAACGUGUAACAGGCCAGCUCAUGGAACUAAACGUUGUACUUGUACACGGAAAUGCCACCCUGCUUCAAACGCCUGAACUUCUCAUGCAUCUCCUCCACGAAACUGGAAGGGAUGUACUGGGACCUGAAAUCACGACAGAACUCAUCCCAAGAAAUCACCCUAGCACCACUGGAGUCCUUCAGUUGCUGCCACCAUAUAGAAGCCUACCCCUUCAACUGAAACGUUGCAAACUUGACAUAAUCCUCCGGACGCACAUUGCUACACUCAAAAUGUUUGUUCAUAUCACGGAUCCAAUCUUUUGCAUCAAAUGGCUGGUCGCAUGAAGUGAACGUCUUUGGUUGGUUUGACAGGAACUGACUCAGACUCGCAAACUGAUUGCCACCAUGCAGGAAAUUGCAUGGUUGUUGGUUGGCUCUCUCUUGCAGCAACUGUAUCAGCAUCUGGGUGUUUGCAUUAGUAGCACCAUCACCGCUUGCCAGGCCUCUGCAGGAGGAGGAGGCGGCGGAGGGUUCUUCGGAGGGGGAGGUGGAGGAAGCAUAUCCUCACGCCCUGGAUUCUGACGAGUCGGUGGAGCCAUCCUGAAGAUGGACAGCAUAUUAGCCCACAGAAUAAUUGAAGAUAUUGUUGAAUCAAAAGACAGGAAUAUCUUAACAGGAAUAAGCAAUGCACUCGAACAAAUUAGUAAGAAUGCUUCCUGAAAGUGAUGGACGACACAAUUCCGAUUAGGACCACUUCAAACAAGUAUGAGCUAGAACUGCUCGGAACAAACAUACGAUCGAGAUUUCCCCAACCUCAAUCAUGCAUCUGUAGGAAGAUAGUCCUAUAAGAUACUACUUGAUAUCCCACCUAAGAAUUCCCGAAAUAACUGGUCAUGCAAUCUGGUACACGGAUACAAGGAGUAAUAUCACACAACUCCUAAAGUAACCCAUCACCUGUAUCACAUCCUUCAACACACAACCAGCAUCUCGGACCUUCAUCUACCACAGACCCUCGUGGUCACAACGAUACCAAGUAUGGUAGUACUCCCGAACAAUCUACACCAGUACUAGGGACAUCAGGGUUAUCUCGCCACUACCGGUAUUGAAGCAAUAACGAACAUCCUUCGUUCUUAGAUACUCAUAAAUCUGAAUGAUGGCGAUGUGUGCAAGAGUCCCCUGGAGCUCAACUCCCCGGAAGAAACUCAAAGCAGAGAGGAGGCACCAAGGCAGGACUCUGUCACAUCGAAAUCAUAUAGAUUUCACAAAUACCCGCGUGAUCCUAAAAAAAAUUUGAGCGAGAAAAGGAGUAGAGUUAAAGAUUUCCUAAGUCGGGAACCUCACCAGAGCAUAGAAGAGGAGAAAAAAGAAUCCUACUCUCUAAUAUAACUAAGACUCAAAACAUUUUACUAGACUCGACUCGGCCAAGUACGAUCACACAAAGGCUCCUAUGGUCGUAAGGCUCUGAUACCAACUUGUAACGACCAAGAUGCGGUCCUUUCCGAUCUGGGGAUCGAGGCCCCGAAUUGGAAAGGAGCGCAUCUAACCGUCUCGCAAACAGGUAACACAGCACAUACAUAAUAAUAAUAAAGAGACAAUCAAGGGUUCAAUUGCCUUCUCAUAAAUAUAUCAGAGUACAUCACGCAUACAAUCAAAGUAGUUCCGCUACGGACUACAAACAAGAGAAAGUGGCUAUGCUACCCUGCCUGCUGACCCAUGAUCACGACCACGCCUCAAUCUUCUGGAUAGUUCACGUACAGGCAGUCGGUCUCCUCAUCGUACUGCCAAGCCAGCUGCAUGCCGUCGGGAUCACCUGUCUCUAGGGUACCUAAACCUGUUGGUAUUGUGGAGGAAUCCGUGAGCCACGGGGACUCAGCAAUCUAAGACCUUGGUGCCAGAACUAGUCAAAUUAUUAGGUUGGAUAGGGUAGAGUGUUUAAGGUUGCAGCAUCCUAAGCUUGAAAUGGUGGCUAACUUACGUAGAGCAUUUAUGAAGGUGGACUAUACUAGCGGUCGAGAAUACUUGAUCACUAAGUGAUCCUGAACACCUACCCACGUCAUUCAUAACCCCACCGUGUUCCCGAUCGAAGAGAGAUCUCCAAGGGGACAGUCACGGUUACGAACACGGUUGGCAAUUUUAUUAGCUUAUGUCAUGUUAAAGUUAUCUAAUACCGGAUGUUAACAAAAUAUUCCAAGUUGCCACAUAACCGCGGGCACGGCUUCCCAAAAGAUUAAACCCUGCAGGGGUGCUCCAACUAGUCCAUCACAAACGUACACGGGCCGCAAAGUAAUCCUCUAUCACGAAUCUCGUGAUCUCGUCGGAUCCCUUAGAGGAAAACCUCAACUCUGGAGGAACCAAAACUUCACCGGGAUUCCUAUACACAAGAUAUAUCGCUAAGGUAAGGCAAGACUAGCAGGACCUCCCGUCGUGUCGACGACCCCGAUAAGAGCCGCGUAUCUCAGUCUCAGGACACGAAAAGCCUAUAGGAGCCAAACCUCAAGUUUCCCUGUGGUGGCCUCCACAGUCUAUCCAUUUUGGACCAACACUCAUGAGGAGCACUGCCCGGGUUGUUCAUUAAAGAUCCUCGGGGUGAUCAGUCCCUAUGCAGAUUAUUAUUAAGUGAUUAGCAAAUUAACACCAAUGUUGGGUCCUGCCGGACAAGUCUUAGCACUAAGCGAUUUAUCGAGGGGGUCCCCAUAACAACCCUGAACGUGUUAGGAGAGAUCAAUAUGGAAUCAAACACCGGUAACCGGUAACUAUGGUGGCAAUAACGGAACAAAGCACCUGGAAAAACGCUAGGCCUUCCGUCAUUUACCAAGUAUAUAGGUGCAUGAAUUAAAUAUGAGAAUUUAAGAUAAUGACAUCAAGCUCAGGUUAUCACAUGAGUCAAAGCACCUGCAUCUAGCAACACUAACAUUAGUAGCUGAGCAAAGCCUACUUAGCCAUUCAAGUUUGCUGGGAAGGGAUCAGUGUUUGGGUUCACGGCAUAUCAAGUGGCGAAUAUUUCAGUGGUAGGCAGCGAGCAUAUGACAAAGGAAACGUAAUCUAGCAUAACAAGUCUAGAGAUGGAAUCAAGGUCAUAUCAUCUUGCCUGUGAUAUCCUCAGCUUGGAAUGGUUCUUGAUCGUCCUGCACGUACUCUCCGGACUCCACAUACUCGUUCUCCGAUCCGGUGCUACCCAACAUAAGAAUAACAUCCACUGAACAAAAGCACCUCAAGAUGCAACAAGCACAUGAUGCAUGAGAUGAAUAUGAGCAUGCAUCACUAUUUCUAUCACUAGCACAAGCAUAAGGAGUAAAUACAUGUUCCUGGACAGAACUGCAUGCUAACCUAUUUUUACAUGCAUGAGAAUGACAUGAUCAGAUGCGUCUCGUGAAAAUGAUGCAAAAUCAUAUAAAGAACAUUACAAUCGGAGCUACGGAUCAACGGGAAUCAACGAAACAAGAUAUGAAGCCCUACGUGUCAAAAUCAUCACCACACACUCAAAUGGCACAAAUCUGGUAUUCCCAGGUUGCCAAGACAAUAAACAAGGAAAAUCAUGGAUGGGGUGGAGCAAAUAAGAACACCACAACAUCAACUAAGCACUCACAAACAUCAAAAUGACAAAACUACACAAUCUGCCAUAAACUGCAUCAUAGCACUUUGUGAGCUACAUGCAAAGCAUCUACAGCCACCCAAACAUGACAAAUAAUAUAUGUGGCUGUAGCUAUCCAAGAAUAAUACAAGCACAAGCAAGAAUCACACAAAAAGGAAUUAAACACAGAAAGUUACAAGGCUGCAAACUUGCCCAAAAACAUCAGUUUUCACGGACUUGAAAAUUCCAGAUUCUCACUUUCUGUCUAUGCUCUGAAGCAUUUUGACAGCAGCCAAAACAAUAUCUACAGGGCUCCGAAUGACAUGAAAUAUUACAGCGAGCUAUACAAACAUAUCCGGUCCAACUUUCUAGUUGAAAGCUAAGGCUAGAUCACAACACAAUGACCAGCACAACCUCAUCAACACGAGAAGAAAAUAUAAACAGAUUCUCAGACUUAGUGAAAAUCUCAGAUUUUCACUAAUCUGGAAUUUCAGCCACAUGCCUACUUUGAGUGGGCAUAACUUGCACAUAUGGAAUCCUGAUCAUGAGAUGAAACCAACAAAAGGUAGAGGGGGUCACCCUCUACUACCACAACCAAGAAACAAACACAAAGACUCAUCACGACUCAUGGAACCAAGCUCUAAACAUAGAAGAAAAUGAAAAUAUGUCAUCUCUAGAAAAUGUUCCAAUGGCAAAACUGAGUUCACCAAUGGAUUCCUUGGGAUAUUCUACCCCAAAAACAUAUAUAAUAUGUGGGCACUUACUUGGAACAAGUGACCACAAAUUAAGAAGGAAAACCAACAUAGAAUCAUAAGUAGUGAAUAGUGCAACAUCACAUGUGCAAAAUCACUAGAACACUAUCUACACUAGAACUCGCAUGAACACAACACCAAUGUUGACAUGAGGGUUUUGACCCGAUGUGUGUGUGCCAUGGCCAUCACCAUACCCAAACAUAUCUACAAGGCAAACUCACCAACACAAGAAACAUGCACCACUCACAUAUGGACAUAUGAAGGUACCCCUUGUUUCUAGUAGGUGGGGAUUCCACACACACAAGCACAUGCUCACAAUCCAUGGUGCUCAUGAAAUAUGUUCAUGUGUUUGUGCUUCUCACACACCACUCCUCAAUAUAAACAUGCACUCAAAACCUACCACGCUACACCACUUAAGCAUGUCACUAGUGCAUCAUCCUCACCUUGAGGAAGAGCUGCUCACACACAUGCAGCACACUAGGCUAGUAAAACACCCACAAGUCAAGCACCUCAGAAACAUCUCAUACGGAAGAAGAUCCACACAUACACUACUCUACCUUACAAAUAACUACACACUCACAUAAACACACAUGCUAGCAAAAAAAUUACCUUCACACACAUGCUGUUUGUGGGAAGAAAGUAUUCCCACUUGGUGUAGCUCACACCAAGCAACUCUCAUACACAUACAAGAGGAGAAGCAGCAACAAGGCAAAAGAAAAUAAAUUAAAAGGGGUGGUGGUUUCGAACCCAGGACCUCCUGGUACAAGCCACAACACCAAACCACUCUGCUACCAAACACUAUCUCGACACGGAAGGAUAGAAAAGCAAGUUGACUGCACUAUUGCAGUAAUGCUAGUGUUGCCCGAAAUAUAAUGCAAAAAGGGGGGAGAGAUCUCCUGGGACUCAAACCCACAACCUCACGAGAACAAAUACUGGUUGUUACCACUUCGCUACGAUAUGGACGACUGACAUAACAGGGAACUGUAACAAGGUAACUAGCACCUGAUCCAUACCCUGCUCUGCACGAGCGAGCCAGCGACAGAGAGAUCGCCGGUGCUGGUCUCUCUCUACGGCUCAACAUCGACGAGGGGAUCCAACCUAGUCUCAGCGCUGCAACCACGAGGGGGAAGUAAGUCCCCCUCUUGCACCCAUGCAACCGAACGCCAGUACGCAGAACACCACCACGCAAAUGACCGAUCUACCUCUCGGAGCAGAGAAACUCCGGCGAAGUACAAGCGAUCCUAGCGAGGAGGAAGGAGGGAGGGGAGAUGCCUCACCUAGGGAAGGAAGGGAAGAAGCCACCCCGCUUGAAGGAGUAGCCGGAGGGGAAGAAGACGCGUCGGAACUCUGCUGCCAAUGAAAUAGAGGAAGACGACGGGGAACUCUGGGGCCGAGGCGAUGGCGACCUCCUAGCCGUCGUUGUGGUCACUCCUCGACCUCAACGAUGGCGGGAAUGGGGCGCGGGAAGCCUGACUGAGCUCCUGGACAUGGCGGCGGCUCCGGACAUCGACGGGAACGGGGAAGACGUCGGCGAGGCUUCCCUUCUCUCUCUCCCACUCCUACAAGAACUUACUGGCGGUGGAAGGAAGGGAGAUGGGGAUGGAGAGAGGUGGCGGCGCAGAUCGGGAGAGAGGGAAACCCUAAGGCAGUUAGGCACGGACGCCCACACUUUAUGGCGUGGCCUCGACGGCUGUGCCUGAUGGCAGCAUACCCUCCCUCUCUGCUGACGAGACAGAAAGGUGGACGAGGAAGAACACCGUCAGAAGACGAGGCGGUCGCAGGACUGGGCCACCGCGCGAGGAAGGGAGGGGGAACUGGGCCACGCUGUGCGGGAGCAAGCCCAAUAGAGCGCCACUUAAGAGAAAAUAAAUCCCUGGUGUUUUUCUUUUUUACAAGAAGUACCAGAGAAGAAUGAAAUGCACAAGAAAAACUACAAAAGCAAAAAAAUAAAGCUAGCACAUCCCUGGUCAUGAAAAUUCAUGACCUAUUUGAAUAAAAUGCAACAUGAAUAUAUGGGGCAAAUUAAUAUCUACAAAACAGCCAUUGGUUGACCUGUUUUGUAAUUAUUUGCACCUCUUGCACCCCUCCUUAAAAGAGCAUCUAUACUUCACAAAUCCACCACACACAAGAGCUAAAACAGGAACAUUUUAAAAACAGAAAAGGAAGUAGUGAAUCUUGACAUAGGAGGAAUAGAGAGAGGGGUGAAGAUGAUUUGAAACCUAAGCAUUCACAUGGUAUCCUACUAGCACAAGAAACCUAGUAGAGUUGCACCACACCACACAUAUGUCCACAAGAUCACAAACACCACAUGAAAGCAUAAGACCACAAUGCAACAUCACAAGACAUGAGCAUGAAAUGUUAUGUUAUGCAUGAAUGCAAGGAAAGGAAAUGUUAAGGGACAUGACAUGGAAUCAUGGCAUUGAUCUCUCUCAUAGCAUAGACAUGGUGGUCCCACAUGGAAGGUUACAAAAAGGGAAGGCUUUACACUUGGGGCACUACAGCUUGCUACGUUUCACCUUGCUACACAAUCACUUGUUACCGCUUCUUUCAGGGCUUUCAGUUAUUACCUUGCUGAAAUCCAUUUAUCAGAGCCUUCUGCUCCUCGUUGGGUUCGACACUCUUACUUAUCGAAAGGACUACGAUUAAUCCCCUAUACUUGUGGGUCAUCAAGACUCUUUUCUGGCGACGUUGCCGGGGAGUUUUGCACCUUUGGUAAGUGGAAAUUGGUAAGGAAACAUUUAUAUACUGUGCUGAAAUUUAUUGUCACUUGUCACUAUGGAAACUGUUUCUUUGAGGAGUUUGUUCGGGGUAUCUUCACGACGAACGGAAGCACGAGGAGUUGCUCCUCAACCUGAGGUACCUAGUGAAAAUAUCUUUUAUGAAAUUCCUUCAGGUAUGCUUGAGAAACUUCUGGCUAAUCCUUUGACAGGAGAUGGAUCUUCACAUCCACACUUGCAUCUAAUCUAUGUAGAUGAAGUUUGUGGUUUAUUUAAGCUUGCAGCUUUGCCCGAGGAUGAGGUAAAGAAGAAAGUCUUUCCUUUAUCUUUGAAGGAUAAGGCGUUGACAUGGUAUAGGCUUUGUGAUGACACUGGAUCAUGGGGCUACAAUCGGUUGAAAUUGGAAUUUCAUCAAAAGUUCUAUCCUAUGCAUUUAAUACAUCGUGAUCGGACUUUAUUUAUAAAUUUUGGCCUCGUGACAAGGAAAGCAUAGCUCAAGCUUGGGGGAGGCUUAAAUCAAUGCUAUAUUCAUGCCCCAAUCAUGAGCUCUCGGGAGAAAUCAUCACUCAAAACUUUUAUGCUCGGCUUUCUCAUGAAGAUCUUACCAUGCUUGACACUUCUUGUACCGGUUAUUUUAUGAAGAAGGAUAUUGAUCACAAGUGGAAUUUAUUGGAGAGAAUCAAACGCAACUCUGAAGAUUGGGAGCUGGAGGAAGGUAAGGAGUCAGGUAUGAAUUUCCAGUUUGAUUGCGUUAAAUAUUUUGUUGAGACAAACACUUCUAGAGAUUUUAGCGCUAAGUAUGGACUUGACUCUGAGAUAGUAGCUUCUCUAUGUGAAUCUUUUGCUGCUCAUGGUAAUCUUCCCAAAGAGAAGUGGUUUAAAUAUCAUCCUCCUAUAGAAAGCAACAUAGCCAAAACCAAUCUAGUUGAGGAGAAAGUCAUUGCUUUUAGUGAUCCUAUUGUUCCUUGUGCUUACACUGAGAAACCACCAUACCCUGCUAGGAUAAAGGAUUAUUCUAAAGCUCCAACUGUGAUACGUAGGGGUUACAUUAGAUCACUUGCACCCCCUGAGGAGAUUAGAGUUGAACCUAGUGUUGCUAUUAUCAAAGAUCUCUUAGCCGAAGACAUAGAUGGGCAUGUUAUCAAAUUCUGUGAGGACUCCGCUAGAAUUGCUAAACCUCACGCGAAAGACAAACACGGACCUGUAGUUGGCCUGCCCGUUGUUUCUGUUAAGAUAGGAGAUCACUGUUACCAUGGUUUAUGUGAUAUGGGAGCUAGUGUUAGUGCAAUACCCCGUUCUCUAUAUGAUGAAAUCCAAGAUGAGAUUGCACCUGCUGAGUUAGAACCCAUCGAUGUCACUAUUACGCUAGCUAAUAGAGACACUAUCUACCCUGUGGGAAUUAUGAGAGACGUAGAAGUCCUGUGUAGUAAGAGGAAGUAUCCUACUGAUUUCCUCAUCCUUGGUACUGCACAAGAUAGCUUUUGUCCCAUCAUAUUCGGUAGACCCUUUCUCAACACUGUCAAUGCUCACAUUGAUUGCAUUAAGCAGACUGCCACAGUAAGUUUCGAGUGUGUGUCUCAUGAAUUUAACUUCUCCAUGUUUGGAAGACAAACCCAUGAAAGAGAGUCGUCUGGUAGAGAUGAAAUCAUUGCUCUUGCCUCUAUUGCCAUACCUCCUACAGAUCCUUUAGAGAAAUAUCUGCUUGAGCAUGAAAAUGAUAUGCAUAUGGAGGAGAGAGAUGAGAUAUAUAAAAUUGUCUUAGAACAAUAUCCUAUUCUCAAGAAUAAUCUGCGUGUUGAACUGCUUGGGGAUCCUCCCCCACCAAAGGGUGAUCUUGUGUUCGAGCUUAAACAGUUGCCUGAUACUCUUAAGUAUGCCUAUCUUGAUGAGAAGGAGAUAUAUCCUAUCAUUAUUAGUGCUCUCCUCUCAUAGUGCAAAGAGAAGAAGUUACUAAAAACUCUGAGGAAGCACCGCGCUGCUAUUGGAUAUACUCUUGAUGAUCUUAAGGGUAUUAGUCCUACUCUAUGUCAGCACAAGAUUAAAACGGAUCCUGACUUUAAACCAGUUGCUGAUCAUCAAAGGAGAUUAAAUCCUAAGAUGAAAGAGGUCGUUAGAAAAGAAAUAUUAAAGCUUCUGGAAGCAGGAAUCAUUUAUCAUGUUGCUCAUAGUGAUUGGGUAAGUCCAGUACAUUGCGUACCUAAGAAGGGAGGUAUCACCGUCGUUCCCAAUGAUAAGGAUGAACUAAUCCCACAAAGGAUUAUUACCGGCUAUAGAAUGGUGAUAGACUUCCGGAAACUGAACAAGGAAACCAGGAAAGAUCAUUAUCCUUUGCCGUUCAUCGACCAAAUGCUAGAAAGGCUAUCAAAACACACACACUUCUGCUUUCUAGACGGUUAUUCAGGUUUCUCGCAAAUACCUGUUGCACAAUCUGAUCAAGAGAAAACCACUUUCACCUGCCCUUUCGGUACCUUUGCCUAUAGAUGUAUGCCUUUUGGCUUUUGUAAUGCACCUGCCACCUUCCAAAGAUGUAUGAUGGCUAUAUUCUCUGACUUUUGUGAAAAGAUCGUCGAGGUUUUCAUGGAUGACUUCUCCGUUUACGGGUCUUCCUUUGAUGAUUGCCUCAGCAACCUUGAUCGAGUCUUACAGAGAUGCAAAGAAACCAACCUCGUCUUGAAUUGGGAGAAGUGCCACUUUAUGGUUAAUGAAGGUAUCGUCUUAGGACACAAAAUUUCUGAGAGAGGCAUUGAAGUUGAUAAGUCUAAGGUUGAUGCAAUUGAGAAAAUGCCUUGCCCCAUAGAUAUCAGAGGUAUACGAAGUUUCUUAGCUCAUGUUGGUUUCUAUAGAAGGUUCAUUAAAGACUUCUCUAAGAUUUCUAGGCCUCUUACCAACCUCUUGCACAAGGAUGUUCCUUUUGUUUUUGAUGAGGAUGUUCCUUUUGUUUUUGAUAAGGUAUUGCAAUCAGGUUUCUAUUUGCCCACUCUCUUCAAGGAUGCCCGUAAGUUUGUUUUGUCUUGUGACGAAUGCCAAAGGAUAGGGAACAUCAGUAAGCAUCAAGAGAUGCCUAUGAACUAUUCACUUGUCAUUGAACCAUUUGAUGUCUGGGGCUUUGAUUAUAUGGGACCCUUCCCGACUUCCAAUGUGUACACUCACAUCUUAGUUGCUGUGGAUUACAUUACUAAGUGGGUAGAAGCUAUCCCCACUAAAAAUGUUGAUCACCACACCUCUAUUAAGAUGCUUAAAGAAGUCAUAUUCCCAAGAUUUGGAGUCCCUAGAUACUUGAUGAAUGAUGGCGGUUCACACUUCAUUCAUGGUGUUUUCCGCAAGAUGCUAGCUAAGUAUGAUGUCAACCAUAGAGUUGCAUCUCCUUAUCAUUCUCAGUCUAGUGGUCAAGUUGAGUUGAGUAAUAGGGAGAUCAAGUUGAUCCUACAAAAGACCGUCAAUAGAUCUCGAAAGAACUAGUCUAGCAAACUUGACGAUGCACUAUGGGCUUAUAGGACUGCUUAUAAGAAUCCCAUGGGCAUGUCAUCGUAUAAAAUGGUUUACGGUAAGGCCUGUCAUUGACCUCUUGAGCUGGAACACAAAGCUUAUUGGGCAAUCAAAGAGCUCAACUUUGAUUUCAAACUUGCCGGUGAGAAGCGGUUGUUUGAUAUCAGCUCGUUAGAUGAAUGGAGAGCCCACGCGUAUGAGAAUGCCAGGUUGAUCAAGGAAAAGGUUAAGAGAUGGCACGACAAACGAAUACAGAAACGAGAGUUCAGUGUAGGUGAUUAUGUCUUGCUAUACAAUUCUCAUUUGAGAUUCUUUAGAGGCAAGCUUCUCUCUAAAUGGGAAGGUCCCUAUGUUGUCGAGGAAGUAUAUCGCUCCGGUGCCAUCAAAAUCAAUAACACGGAAGGAAAUUUUCCUAGAGUGGUAAAUGGGCAAAGAAUCAAGCAUUACAUCUCUGGUACUCCCAUAAAUGUUGAGAACAAUAUCAUCAAUGUCAUAACUCCAGAGGAGUACAUAAGGGAUGUUUAUCUGCCUGUUUCAGACCUUGAAAACGAAGAUGUAUCUGUUUCGGUAAGUAAUUGGACUCCGAUACUUUUCCAAUAGGAAAUUUCUUCCGGAAUUUUUGAAAAAUUAGAAAAAUGAAAAGCAGUCCGGAGAGCGAACGAGGCAGCCACAAGCCCUGCCACCGCCCCCUACCCCACUAGUGGUGGAGACCACGCUUGUGGGCACCUCGUGUGCCUCCCGGACUCCGUUUUCUUGUGAAGGACUCCUUCUGGCCCAGAAAAAAUCAAUAUAUAGUCGCCCGAAGGUUUUGAUCUCCGUAUCGCGCAGUUUUCCUAUGUUUUCGUUUCGAGCUUGUUGUCUGCCGCAGAUUUAGAGCAAAGAUGUCUCAGGAAUCUGUUGGGGAGAAUGAUCUUCACCAAGUUCAUGAGGAAGUAGAUGAUGAUCUGAAAAGAGUAGAAGUCACGGAAGCCAGGGGCCAAGAUAAGGAGAAAACCCAAGCUAGGGAGGAAGUUCAACCUAUGUUCAACAUUGAAGACGUUGAAGGAGUAGAUUUUCUCCAACCCUUGAUUGAACUCUUGAGGUUUUGUGAAACAACUCGUGCUCACAAUAUUUCUCUUUCUCGUGAAGUUGUUUUGCUGGAAAACCAUGUCACAGAUCUCAAAGGUAUAAAUCAAAGAUUGAUAGCUCUCUUGGAAUCAAAGGCGACAACAACACCACCAUCAUCACCAAAGGAAGACAACUAAGCAUUGGUAUGGGCAAUCCCCUUGGUUUCUGCCAAGCUUGGGGGAGUUGCCCUGGUAUCGUAUCACCUUUAUAUCUUUUGCUUUUACCUUUGUUUUAGUUCUUUCCUUUUCAGUUUUUAUUUCUUCUUUUAGAGGAAUAAGUCUUUAGUGUUUAGUUUGAGUCUUUUGCUUUUGUCUCUCCCUCGAUGUAUUCGAACUUACGAGCUAUAUAAUAAAGAGUUUCUUAGUUAAGGGCUUUGCUUUGUGCCAUGAUCAAAAAGUAUGAAAAGAACGAUAGAAUGAAAGAUCAUGAGACGAUCUUAUGGAAAGUGAUAACUUCACUUAUGACACGUAUGAUGAUUGGAACUUGUUGAGAAUAAAUCAACAUAGAUCUCAGUCAUUGUUGCAAUUAAUAAGAAGUAAUAAGGAAAGAGAGGUUCACAUAUAAAUAUAUCAUCUUAGACACUUUUUACAAUUGUGAGCACUCACCAAACUAUUACAUGCCUAGGAGUAGAUGUUGGACAAGGAAGACAACAUAAUGAAUUGUUUUUGCUUGGUUCCAAACAAUGUUAUAUGAUCAGAGAUCCCUUAGCAUGUGACGAUUGCUUCCACCUCAUAUUAGCCAAAACUCCCUCACCAAGUAGAGAUACUACUUGUGCAUCCAUAAACCUCCAACCAAGUUUUGCCAUGAGAGUCCACCAUACCUACCUAUGGGUUGAAUAAGAUCCUUCAAGUAAGUUGUUAUCGCUGCAAGCAAUAAAAAUUUCUCUCUAAUAUGUAUGAUCUAUUAGUGUGUGGAAAAUAAGCUUUGUACGAACCUGUGAUGAGGAAGACAUAAAAGCGACAGACUGCAUAAUAUAGUUCUUUAUCACAGGAGGCAAUAUAAAGUGACGUUCCUCCGCACGAAGAGGACACGCAUUCAAACCUCAAAAGCGCAUGACAACCUCUGCUUCCCUCUGCGAAGGGCCUAUCUUGUACCUUUACUUUUUACCCAUGUAAGAGUCAUGGUGAUCUUCACCAAUUCCCUUUUUGCCUUUGUCUUGGCUACCGUCACAUGCUUGCGAAAGAUCUAUAUUCAUAUAUCAACUUGGAGUUGAGUACUCAUGCUUUAUUGUUGUUGACUUUACCCUUGAGGUAAAUGGUUGGGAGGCAAAACUAUAAGCCCCUAUCUUCCUCUGUGUCCAGCUGAAACUUUGACACCAUGAGUACCACGUGAGUUAUAACAAUUGUGGAAAACAAAAGAGAUGAUUGAGUAUGUGGGUUUGUGUUACAACCUCUUAUUUGACUCUUUCUGAUGUUGUGAUAAAUUGCAAUUGCUUCAAUGACUAUGGACUAUUGUUGGUUACUUCUCGGUAAGGUUUUUGCUUCAUGCUUUGCUUUGUGAAGGAAUUGUUACUUUCCCAUAAGAAUCUUUAUGAUGUAUUGUUGUUCUAUGUGUGAUCAUGAUGCCCUCAUGUCUGUAUUAUGUUUUAUCGACACCUUCGUCCCUUAACAUGUGGACAUGUUUAUGGAACUUGGCUUUCGCUUGAGGACAAGCAAGGUCUAAGCUUGGGGGGGGGGGGUUGAUACGUCCAUUUUGCAUCAUGCUUUCAUGUUGAUAUUUAUUGCUUUUUGGGCUGUUAUAUUACUUGUGGUACCAUAUUUAUGUUGGAAAUAUGCCCUAGAGGCAAUAAUAAUUAGUUAUUAUUAUAUUUCUUUGUUCACGAUAAUCUUUUAUUAUCCAUGCUAUAAUUGUAUUGAUUGGAAACACAAUACUUGUGUGGAUACAUAGACAAAACAUUAUCCCUAGUAAGCCUCUAGUUGACUAGCUCGUUGAUCAAAGAUGGUCAAGGUUUCCUGGCCAUAGGCAAGUGUUGUUACUUGAUAACGGGAUCACAUCAUUAGGAGAAUCAUGUGAUGGACUAGACCCAAACUAAUAGACGUAGCAUGUUGAUCGUGUCAUUUUGUUGCUACUGUUUUUUGUGUGUCAAGUAUUUGUUCCUAUGACCAUGAGAUCAUAUAACUCACAGACACCGGAGGAAUGCUUUAUGUGUAUAAAAUGUCGCAACGUAACUGGGUGACUAUAAAGAUGCUCUACAGGUCUCUCCGAAGGUGUUCGUUGAGUUAGUAUGGAUCAAGACUGGGAUUUGUCACUCCGUAUGACGGAGAGGUAUCUCGGGGCCCACUCGAUAAUACAACAUCACACACAAGCCUUGCAAGCAAUGUGACUUAGUGUAAGUUGCGGGAUCUUGUAUUACGGAACGAGUAAAGAGACUUGCCGGUAAACGAGAUUGAAAUAGGUAUGCGGAUACUGACGAUCGAAUCUCAAGCAAGUAACAUACCGAAGGACAAAGGGAAUGACAUACGGGAUUAUAUGAAUCCUUGGCACUGAGGUUCAAACGAUAAGAUCUUCAUAGAAUAUGUAGGAUCCAAUAUGGGCAUCCAGGUCCCGCUAUUGGAUAUUGACCGAGGAGUCUCUCGGGUCAUGUCUACAUAGUUCUCGAACCCGCAGGGUCUGCAAACUUAAGGUUCGACGAUGUUUUAUGCGUAUUUGAGUUAUAUGGUUGGUUACGGAAUGUUGUUCAGAGUCCCGGAUGGGAUCACGGACGUCACGAGGGCUUCCGGAAUGGUCCGGAGACGAAGAUUGAUAUAUAAGAUGACCUCAUUUGGUUACCGGAAAGUUUCCGGGCAUUAUCGGAAAAGUUUCGGGCUCAUCGGUAGUGUACGGGGAGUGCCGGGAGGGGUGACGGGGACCAUCGAGAGGGGUGUCACGCCCCAAGGGGUCUCAUGGGCUAUGGGAAGAUAUAAACCAGCCCCUAGUGGGCUGGAAUAAGUUCCCACUAAGCCCCAUAAGGUUUGAGAAGGGAAAAACACAAGGUGGAAAGAGUUUCCAAGUGGGAAGGUGGAAUCCUACUCCAAGUAGGAUUGGAGUAGGACUCCUCCACCUCAAAUUUCGGCCAAACCUUGAGGGUUUGAGGCUGCCUCCUCCCCUCCCUCCCUCCUAUAUAUACUGAGGUAUUAGGGCUGAUUUGAGACAACUUUUUCAAGACAGCCCGACCACAUACCUCCACGGUUUUACCUCUAGAUCGCGUCUCUGCGGAGCUCGGGCGGAGCCCUGCCAAGAUUAGAUCAUCACCAACCUCCGGAGCGCCGUCACGCUACCGGAGAACUCAUCUACCUCUCCAUCUCUCUUGCUGGAUCAAGAAGGCCGAGAUCAUCGUCGAGCUGUAUGUGUUCUGAACGCGGAGGUGCCGUCCGUUCGGCACUAGAUCGUGGGACGGAUCGCGGGACGGUUCGUGGGACGGUUCGCGGGGCGGAUCAAGGGACGUGAGGAUGUUCCACUACAUCAACCGCGUUCACUAACGCUUCUGCUGUGCGAUCUACAAGGGUACGUAGAUCGGAAAUCCCCUCUCGUAGAUGGACAUCACCAUGAUAGGUCUUCGUGCGCGUAGGAAAAAUUUUGUUUCCGAUGCGACGUUCCCCAACAGUGGCAUCAUGAGCUAGGUUCAUGCGUAGAUGUCUUCUCGAGUAGAACACAAAAGUUUUGUGGGCGGUGAUGUGCGUUUUGCUGCCCUCCUUAGUCUUUUCUUGAUUCCGCGGUAUUGUUGGAUUGAAGUGGCUUGGACCGACAUUACUCGUACGCUUACGAGAGACUAGUUUCAUCGCUACGAGUAACCCCCUUGCUCAAAGAUGACUGGCAAGUGUUGGUUUCUCCAACUUUAGUUGAAUCGGAUUUGACCGAGGAGGUCCUUGUAUAAGGUUAAAUAGCAAUUCAUAUAUCUCUGUUGUGGUGUUUGCGUAAGUAAGAUGCGAUCCUACUAGAUACCCAUGGUCACCACGUAAAACAUGCAACAACAAAAUUAGAGGACGUCUAACUUCUUUUUGCAGGGUAUGCUUGUGAUGUGAUAUGGCCAACGAUGUGAUGUGAUAUAUUGGAUGUAUGAGAUGAUCAUGUUGUAAUAGAUAAUAUCGACUUGCACGUUGAUGGUACGGCAACCGGCAGGAGCCAUAGGGUUGUCUUUAAACUAACAUUUGUGCUUGCAGAUGCGUUUACUAUAUUGCUAGGACGUAGCUUUAGUAGUAAUAGCAUGAGUAGCACGACAACCCCGAUGGUGACACGUUGAUGGAGAUCAUGAUGAUGGAGAUCAUGGUGUGACGCAGGUGACAAGAAGAUCGUGCCGGUGCUUUGGUGAUGGAGAUCAAGAAGCACAUGAUGAUGGCCAUAUCAUGUCACUUAUGAAUUGCAUGUGAUGUUAAUCCUUUAUGCACCUUAUCUUGCUUAGAACGACGGUAGCAUUAUGAGGUGAUCUCGCACUAAAAUUUCAAGACGAAAUUGUGUUCUCCCCGACUGUGCACCGUUGCGACAGUUCUUCGUUUCGAGACACCACGUGAUGAUCGGGUGUGAUAGACUCAACGUUCACAUACAACGGGUGCAAAAACAGUUGCACACGCGGAACACUCGGGUUAAGCUUGACGAGCCUAGCAUGUACAGACAUGGCCUCGGAACACAUGAGAUCAAAAGGUCGAGCAUGAAUCGUAUAGUAUAUAUGAUUAGCAUAGAGAUGCUUACCACUGAAACUAUUCUCGACUCACGUGAUGAUCGGACUUGAGAUAGUGGAUUUGGAUCAUGUACCACUCAAAUGACUAGAGAGAUGUACUUUUUGAGUGGGUGUUCUUGAGUAAUAUGAUUAAUUGAACUAAUUGUCAUGAAGAUAGUCUAAUGGUCUUUGCAAAUUACGAUGUAGCUUGCGCUAUAGCUCUACUAUUUUUAAUAUGUUCCUAGAGAAAAUUUAGUUGAAAGUUGAUAGUAGCAAACUUUGCGGACUGAGUCUAUGAAACUAAGGAUUGUCCUUGUUGCUACGUAGAAGGCUUAUGUCCUUAAUGCACCACUCAGUGUGCUACACCUCGAGCGUCGUCUGUGGAUGUUGUGAACAUCCGACAUACACGUUUCUGAUGACUACGCGAUAGUUCAGUGCAAAAUACUUAAUGGCUUAGAAGCGUGGCGCCGAAGAUGUUUUGAAACGUCACGGAACAUGAGUCAUGUCCUAAAGAUAUGAAAUUUUGAUUUCAUGCUUGUGCCCUUGUUAAGAGGUAUGAGACCUCUGACAAGAUUCUUUGUCCAUGAAGUAAAGGAGAAAAACUCAAUCGUUGAGCGUGUGCUCAGAUUGUCUGAGUACGAAAAUCGCUUGAAUCAAGUGGGAGUUAAUCUUCCAGAUGAGAUAGUGAUGGUUCUCCAAAGUCACUGCCACCAAGCUGUGAGAGCUUCGUGAUGAACUAUAACAUAUCAAGAAUAGAUACAAUGAUCCUUGAGAGAUUCGUGAUGUAUGACACUACGAAAGUAGAAAUCAAGAAGGAGCAUCAAUGGUUGAUGGUUAGUAAAACCACCAAGUUUCAUGAAAGGCAAGGGCUAGAAGGGAUACUUCGUGAAACAGCAAAACAGUUGCUGCACUAAUGAAGAGACCCAAGUCUAAACCCAAACCCGAGACUAAGUGCUUCUGUUAUGAGGGGAACGAUCACUGAGGCGGAGCUACCCUAGAUGCUUGGUAGAUAAGUAGGCUGGCAAAGUCGAAAGUAGUAUAUUUGAUAUACAUGACAUUGAUGUGUGCUUUACUAGUACUCCUAGUAGCGCGAGGGUAUUGGAUACCGGUUCAGUUGCUAAGUGAUUGGUAACACGAAAUGAAAGCUACGGCAUAAACGGAGACUAGCUAAAGGCGAGGUGACGAUACGUGUUGGAAGUGUUUCCAAGGUUGAUAUGAUCAAACGUCGCAUGCUCCCUCUACCAUCGGGAUUGGUGUUAAACCUAAAUAAUUGUUAUUUGGUGUUUGCGUUGAGCAUGAACAUGAUUGGAUCGUGUUUGUUGCAAUACGAUUAUUCAUUUAAAAGAAUAAUAGUUAUUCUAUUUGCUUGAAUAAUUACCCUCAAUGGUUUAUUGAAUCUCGAUCGUAGUGUUACACAUGUUCAUAAUAUUAGUGCCAAAAGAUAAAAAGUAAUAAUGAUAGUACCACUUAGUUGUGGCACUGCCACUUGAGUCAUGUUGGUGUAAAAUGCAUGAAGAAGCUCCAUGCUGAUGGAUCGUUUGGACUCACUUGAUUUCGAAUCACUUGAGACAUGCAAAACAUGCCACAUGAAACAAGUAGAGUAACUUGUUGGGAGUAAUGCAUUUUUGAUGUGUGCAGUCCAAUAAGUGCUAAGGCACGCAGUGGAUAUCAUUAUGUUCUUACUUCACUGACGAUUUGAGUAGAUACAAGAGUAUUUACUUGAUGAAUCACAAGUCUGAAAUGUUGAAAAGUUCAAAGCUAUUUUAGAGUGAAGAUCGUCGUGACAAGAGGAUAAACAGUCUAUGAUAUGAUCAUAGAGAUGAAUAUCUGAGUUACGAGUUUUGGUACGCAGUUAAGACAAUGUGGAAAUUGUUUCGUAGUUCAUGCCACCUGGAACAUCAUAGUGUGAUGAUGUGUCUGAACGUCAUAGCCACGCACUAUUUGGUAUGGUGCAUGCUAUGAUGUCUCUUAUCGAAUUACCACUAUCGUUUAUGGGUUAUGCAUUAGAGACAACCGCAUUCACUUUAAAUAGGGCACCGUGUAUUUCCGUUGAGAUGACACGGUAUAGACUAAGGUUUAGAGAAAUCUAGACUGUCGUUUCUUGAAAAUUUGGGGCUUCGACACUUAUGUGAAAAAGUUUCAGUAUGAUAAGCUCGAACCCAAAGCGGAUAAAUGCAUCUUCAUAGGAUAUCCAAAAAAGUUGGGUACAUCUCCUAUCUCAGAUCCGAAAGCAAAGUGUUUGUUUCUAGAAACGGAUCCUUUCUCGAGGAAAGGUUUCUCUCGAAAGAAUUGAGUGGGAGGGUGGUAGAACUUGAUGAGGUUAUUGAACCAUCACUUCAACCAGUGUGUAGCAGGGCACAGGAAGUUGUUCCUGCGGCGCCUACACCAAUUGAAGUGAAAUUUGAUGAUGGUGAUCAUCGAGCAUCGGAUCAAGUUACUACAAACCUCGUAGGUUGACAAGGUCGCGUACUACGGUAGAGUGGUACGGUAACCCUGUCUUGGAGGUCAUGUUGUUGAGCAACAGUGAACCUACGAGUUAUGGAGAAAGCAAUGGUGGGCCCGGAUUCCAACAAAUGGCUGGAGGCCAUGAAAUCCGAGAGAGGAUCCAUGUAUGAAAACAAAGUGUAGACUUUGGAAGAACUACUUGAUGGUCAUAGGACUAUUGAGUAAAGAUGGAUCUUUAAAAGGAAGACAGACGAUGAUGGUGAUAAGUCACUAUUAAGAAAAGCUCGACUUGUCGCAAAGAUGUUUCCGACAAGAUCAAACAGUUGACUAUGAUGAGACUUUCUCACUCGUAGCGAUGCUGAAAGUCUGGUAGAAUUAUGUUAGUAGUUGCUGCAUUAUUUAUGAAAUAUUGCACAUAGGAUGUCAAAACAUUGUUUCCUCAACGGUUUCCUUGAGCAAACACUGUAUGUGAUACAACCAGUAGGUUUUGUCGAUCCUAAAGAUACUAGCAAGUAUGCAAGCUCCAGCGAUCCUUCAAUGGACUGGUGCAAGCAUCUCGGAGUUGGAAUAUACACUUUGAUGAGAUAAUCAAAGAUUUUGGGUUUGUACAAGGUUUAUGAGAAACUUGUAUUUCCAAAGAAGUGAGUGAGAGCACUAUAGAAUUUCUGAUAAGUAUAUAUGGUUGACAUAUUGUGGAUCAGAAGUAAGAUAGAAUUUCUGUAAAGCAUACAAGGUUGUUUGAAAGGAGUUUUCAAAGGAAUACCUGGAUUGAGCUACUUGAACGUUGAGCAUCAAAGAUCUAUGGAGAUAGAUCGAAAGCGCUUAAUGGAAGUUUCAACAAGAUGCAUGCCUUGACAAGUUUUUGAAAGAGCUCAAAAUAGAUCAGCAAAGAAGGAGUUCUUGGUUGCGUUGUAAGGUGUGAAUUUGAGUAAGACUCAAAACCCGACCCCGGCAGAAUAAAGAGAAUAGACGAAGGUCGUCUUCUAUGCCUUGGCCGUAGAAUCUGAAGUAUGCCAUGCUGGGUACCGCACCUGAUGAGUGCCUUGACUCAAAGUCUAUUGAGAGGUACAAAGAGUGAUCCAUGAUUGAAUCACUAGCAGCGGUCAAAAUUUAUCCUUAGUAACUGAUGGACUAAGGAAUUUUUCUCGAUUAUGGAGGUGGUUAAAGUGUUCGUCGUAAAGGGUUACGUCGAUGCAAGCUUUGACACUAAUCCGAAUAACUAUGAGUAGUGAAAUGGAUUCGUAUAGUAGAGUAGAUAUUUGGAGUAUUUUCGAAUAGCACAUAGUAGCAGCAUCUAUAAGAUGACAUAAAGAUUUCUAAAGAACACACGGAUCUGAAAGUUUCACAACCGUUGACUAAAACCUCUCUCACGAGCAAAACGUGAUCAGACCCCAUAACUAUACGGGUGUUGGAUUCGUUGGAAUCACAUGGUGAUGUGAACUAGAUUAUUGACUCUAGUGCAAGUGGGAGACUGUUGGAAAUAUGCCCUAGAGGCAAUAAUAAUUAGUUAUUAUUAUAUUUCUUUGUUCACGAUAAUUUUUUAUUAUCCAUGCUAUAAUUGUACUGAUUGGAAACACAAUACUUGUGUGGAUCCAUAGACAAAAUAUUGUCCCUAGUAAGCCUCUAGUUGACUAGCUCGUUGAUCAAAGAUGGUCAAGGUUUCCUGGCCAUAGGCAAGUGUUCUUACUUGAUAACAGGAUCACAUCAUUAGGAGAAUCAUGUGAUGGACUAGACCCAAACAAAUAGACGUAGCAUGUUGAUCGUGUCAUUUUGUUGCUACUGUUUUCUGCGUGUCAAGUAUUUGUUCCUAUGACCAUGAGAUCAUAUAACUCACUGACACCGGAGGAAUGCUUUGUGUGUAUCAAACUUCGCAACGUAACUGGGUGACUAUAAAGAUUCUCUACAGGUAUCUCCGAAGGUGUUCGUUGAGUUAGUAUGGAUCAAGACUGGGAUUUGUCACUCCGUAUGACGGAGAGGUAUCUCGGGGCCCACUCGGUAAUACAACAUCACACACAAGCCUUGCAAGCAAUGUGACUUAGUGUAAGUUGCGGGAUCUUGUAUUACGGAACAAGUAAAGAUACUUGCCGGUAAACGAGAUUGAAAUAGGUAUGCGGAUACUGACGAUCGAAUCUCAGGCAAGUAACAUACCGAAGGACAAAGGGAAUGACAUACGGGAUUAUAUGAAUCCUUGGUACUGAGGUUCAAACGAUAAGAUCUUCAUAGAAUAUGUAGGAUCCAAUAUGGGCAUCCAGGUCCCGCUAUUGGAUAUUGACCGAGGAGUCUCCUGGGUCAUGUCUACAUAGUUCUCGAACCCGCAGGGUCUGCACACUUAAGGUUCGACGAUGUUUUAUGCGUAUUUGAGUUAUAUGGUUGGUUACAAAAUGUUGUUCGGAGUCCCGUAUGGGAUCACGGACGUCACGAGGGUUUCCGGAAUGGUCCGGAGACAAAGAUUGAUAUAUAGGAUGACCUCAUUUGCUUACCGGAAAGUUUCCGGGCAUUACCGGAAAAGUUUCGGGCUCAUCGGUAGUGUACCGGGAGUGCCGGGAGGGGUGACGGAGACCAUCGAGAGGGGUGUCAUGCCCCAAGGGGUCUCAUGGGCUAUGGGAAGAGAUAAACCAGCCCCUAGUGGGCUGGAAUAAGUUCCCACUAAGGCCCAUAAGGUUUGAGAAGGGAAAAACACAAGGUGGAAAGAGUUUCCAAGUGGGAAGGUGGAAUCCUACUCCAAGUAGGAUUGGAGUAGGACUCCUCCACCUCAAAUUUCGGCCAAACCUUGAGGGUUUGAGGCUGCCUCCUCCCCUCCCUCCCUCCUAUAUAUACUGAGGUAUUAGGGCUGAUUUGAGACAACUUUUUCAAGACAGCCCGACCACAUACCUCCACGGUUUUACCUCUAGAUCGCGUCUCUGCGGAGCUCGGGCGGAGCCCUGCCAAGAUUAGAUCAUCACCAACCUCCGGAGCGCCGUCACGCUACCGGAGAACUCAUCUACCUCUCCAUCUCUCUUGCUGGAUCAAGAAGGCCGAGAUCAUCGUCGAGCUGUACGUGUUCUGAACGCGGAGGUGCCGUCCGUUCGGCACUAGAUCGUGGGACGGAUCGCGGGACGGUUCGUGGGACGGUUCGCGGGGCGGAUCAAGGGACGUGAGGAUGUUCCACUACAUCAACCGCGUUCACUAACGCUUCUGCUGUGCGAUCUACAAGGGUACGUAGAUCGGAAAUCCCCUCUCGUAGAUGGACAUCACCAUGAUAGGUCUUCGUGCGCGUAGGAAAAUUUUUGUUUCCGAUGCGACGUUCCCCAACAAUUUAUGCCUUUUCUCUCUUAUUUUGCAAGGUUUAUUUGAAGAGGGAGAAUUCAGGCAGCUGGAAUUCUGGACUCGAAAAGGAGCAAAUCCUAGUCCACUAUUCUGCACAUCUCCAAAUGCCGUGAAAAGUUACGUGGAUUUUUUCUGGAUUAUAUAAAAAAUAUUGGGCAAAAGAACUACCGGAGGGGGGCUGCCAGGGCUCCACAAGCCCUGACACCGCCACCCCCUGGUGGCGGAGUGGGGGCUUGUGGGCUCCCUGACGGCCCACUAGCCCCCCUCUUUUGCUAUAUGAAGCGUCCUGGUCCAUAAAAAAUCAAUCGGGAGCUUUUUCGUGGUUUCUCCGCCGCCACGAGGCGGAACUUGAGCAGAUCCAAUCUAGAGCUCGGGCAGGACGAUCCUGCCGGGGAAACUUCCCUCUCGGAGGGGGGAAUCGUCGCCAUCAUCAUAACCAACACUCCUCUCAUCGGAGGGGAGGCAUCUUCAUCAACAUCUUCAUCAGCACCAUCUCCUCUCCAAUCCCUAGUUCAUCUCUUGUAACCAAUCUUCGUCUCGCAACUCCGAUUGGUACUUGUAAGGUUGCUACUAGUGUUGAUUACUCUUUGUAGUUGAGGCUAGUUGGAUUACUUGGUGGAAGAGUUUAUGUUCAGAUUCUUGAUGCUAUUCAUUACACCUCUGAUCAUGAUUAUGAUUAUGCUUUGUGAGUAGUUACUUUUGUUCCUGAGGACAUGGGAUAAGUCAUGUUGAUAAUAGUCAUGUGAAUUUGAUAUUCGUUCGGUAUUUUGAUAUGUUGUAUGUGGUCUUUUCCUCUAGUGGUUUUAUAUGAACGUCGACUACAUAACACUUCACCAUAUUUGGGCCUAGAGGAAGGCAUUGGGGAGUAGUAAGUAGAUGAUGGGUUGCUGGAGUGACAGAAGCUUAAACCCCAGUCUAUGCGUUGCUUCGUGAGGGGCUGAUUUGGAUCCACUAGUUUAAUGCUAUGGUUAGACUUUGUCUUAAUUCUUAUUUUGUAGUUGUGGAUGCUUGCGAGAGAGGUUACUCAUAAGUGGGAUGCUUGUCCAAGUAAGGGCAGUACCCAAGCGCCGGUCCACCCACAUAUCGAACUAAUAAAGUAACGAACGUGAAUCAUAUGAACAUGAUGAAACUAGCAUGACAGAAAUUCCCGUGUGUCCUCGGGAGCACUUUUCCUCCUAUAAGACUUUGUUGGCUUGUCCCUUGCUACAAAAGGGAUUGGGCCACUUGCUGCACCGUUGCUACUACUUGUUACUUGUUACUCUUUGCUUGCUACAUUUCACCUCGCUACACAAUCACUUGUUACCUCUACUUUCAGUGCUUGCAGUUAUUACCUUGCUGAAAUCAAUUUAUAUGAGCCUUCUGCUCCUCGUUGGGUUCGACAAUCUUAAUUAUCGAAAGGACUACGAUUGAUCCCCUAUACUUGUGGGUCAUCACCGUGCAAUUCGUUUUCCUUUGGAAUCAUCUUCUUCAACGUUUUCAGUAACUUUUCAAUCCCCUGUCAGAUACACCAUUCACUGCAUUCCAUUGCAGCAGUUCCAGUGUGGUACCCGACUUCUUCUUGUCAUCUAUGCAAUUCGGGUACAACAAUUCUUGUGAUUCUCUAACAUGCGCUGCAACUUCAACUUCUCCUUUUAACUUGAAAAAUUUCCCUUUGAAUCAGCAAUGGCCGGACCAAAAUCAUCACCGGGCUCAUCUGGUGCCUCUUCUUUAGCUUCUUCGCCCAUUGUAGUAUGUAAGUGCAUCUAGUUCCCCUUAGUGAUUUUGGUGGUUUGAAGACUUUAGGUUCAGUAUCUAAUGUGUUCAUGAGUGUACACAGGAUCUAUUAGUCACUUAGGAGUUUGAAAUAUUUGAUGAAUAUCGACCCCUAAAAAUGUAUAUCUUCGGUUGAAGAAACUGGUCUGAAGCUGAAGAAUUGAAUCGCGAAGAAUCUGCGAUGAAAUUGAUAUUCCUCGUGAAGAUAUUGAAAUUGAGGAAUUCGGUAUGUCCUGAAGAAAAUCAUUCUGAAGACUUUGAAGCAUGAAGAUUUACUCUUUCUGUUUUGUUUCCUUCACACUUGAGUAAUAGGAACACCGUACUGUUAAAGGGGGUCGAAGUUACACUUUCGAAUGAAUUUCCUCAUGAUGCUCAACCCAAGCCUAAUCCUACCAAAAGCCUCAAGUGAGGAAUAUGAGUGGCAUGAGGACUCUCACAGUGGAGGGUUCCGACCGUUUCGAUAGCCACGCCACAUCAUUGGUCUUAUCCACACCAACGGUCAUAUUAUUUAAGGGCAUUAGUGUCAAAUCAUGUCGGGAUGCUCCCAGGCUAUAAAUAGCCGCCCCCACAACCAUUAGCUGUUUGGCUGCUCCGUUAGAAACUGACACUUGUCAUAACAGCAACCCAAUUCCUCAGAAUCUUCGAGAGUAAUUCAUCAGUGAGGAAAUACCCCACACACUAAACCGCAAACCUAGAACCAAGUGAUUGAGCAUCACUGAAGAAGUUGUUCCUGUGUGGGACUGAAGCCUUUUUACCUUUGAGGACUGUGCAUCCUCAAGACAGUUAGGCAUCAUGGUCUAGAGCAAUCCAGUAGUCAAUUGUGGAUCGCCGGGUGACCAAGUUUGUGAGGGUUUGGAAGUCUGCCCUGAAGACUUACCACGAAUGUUGGGCGAGGACCGUGUGUUCUUAGCCCAAGGAGAAUAUGGUAGGGACUGUGUGUCCCGGGAAUGUGUGUCUUUUGGUUUCAAUACCAAGCCGCUCCAAACCAGAUGUACAACUGUCACAGCAGUUGGAACUGGGUCAUCAACUACUGUCUUCACUGUGAAACGGGUUCUAAUUCCUCAACUCUUUACAUUCCUCAGAUUAUGUGUUGAUGACUUUCACUGUUAGUGUUUUAAGAAUUUGCUGAAGACUUUCUCUGAAAUUCCUCAACCCCAAAUUCUUCACGCUAGUUAAUCCUCAUCUGUUUUCUGCGUGCCUGCUCACUGUGCAAUAUGUUUUCACAUUCCUCACACUGAAAAACUGUUGUUGUGAAAUUUGCACUUCUGAUCCUUUACUGUUUCCGCUGUAAGUUAGUCAUCAGUGAGUAAUUUCCUCAAAAGGAAUUUCCUCAGUGAUGAAAUUCUAAAAAUCUCCUAUUCACCCCCCCUCUAGUCGAUAUAAUGCACUUUCAAUUAGUAUCAGAGCAAGGUACUCCCUUGUUCUGUGUGAUUUUGGUUUAACCACCUGGAGUUUUAGUUAUGUCGACUGCGGGCAUGAUUAAGGUUACUGCAGCAUGUCCUACUUUCGAAGGAAAGAACUUUCCCUUCUGGAAGACCAAGAUGCAAAUGCAUCUACAAGCUAUUGAUAAUGAUCUCUCGUAUAUUGUGGAACAUGGCGUCCCCAUCAUCUCUGCUAGUGUCUCUGCUGAUGAUGUGAAGAAAUUCAAGCAACUUGAUUCUCAAGCGAAGAAUAUCAUCUGUGGCCAUCUGAGCCCGGGCCAGUUUGGAAGAGUGAGUGCUUUGGGCUCAGCAACACUUAUCUGGGAGAGACUGUGCAAAGUAAAUGAAGGACUAUCAACCCAGCGUGAUUCUCGUGUUGAUGUUGUUCGCAAUCUCUUCAAUCGCUUCAAGAGGCAUGACAAUGAAAGCUGCCAAGAUACCUUUGAUCGCCUCACUGACAUACCAAAUGAACUGCAAGCACUGGGAGCUCGAGACAUUACUGAUCACGAAGUUGUGAAGAAACUGCUAAGAUCCUUGGAUUCUUCAUUUGAUACUUUAGUUCUGAUGAUUCAAGAAAGACCAGACUACAAGAUGCUUGAUCCAGCUGAUAUACUCGAAAGACUCAAUACUCAUGACUUCCAGCAAGAAGAAAAGAAAGAUCUAUAUGGACCAAGCUAUUCUAGACCACGUGCACUGAAGGCUAGAGCAAUUUCCUCACCUGAAGAAGAAGAUUUGGAUGAUAGCAUUGGUGACCCUGAAGAAUUUGGAUAGGAGCUUGCAAUGCUCGUGAGGAAAUUCCAGAGGUUUACAUGACGUGGCCAGUUUGGUAAAUCUUCAAGAAGAGAUAUGAGGAAAUCAGAAUCUUCAUCUGAGGAUUACAAGAAAAGAACCUGCCACAAAUGCAAGAAGUCAGGUCACUACAUUGCUGACUAUCCCCGUUGGGGAAAGGAAUCAAAUAAGAAGAAAUACAAGGAUGACAGUUCUGAUGACUCGAAGAAGAAGAAGAAAUCUUCAAAAUCCUCAUCUUCAAAGCCCUCAUCGCACAAGAAGACUAGUUUCAGAAAGGCUCGGGCACUUAUUGGCAAGGAAAUUGAUUUUGAGGCAGAAUCAGAGGAAUGUGACGAAGAGGAGGGUUCUGAUGAAGACUCAGAAUCCGAACAGGCCAGUCUUGCACUUGCAACCACUUUCGUCAGCAAGUCAAUCUUCAACCUUGAAGAAGAUGAUAAUACCAUCCACACUGAUGACUAUGCUGAUGACUUCGCUCCAACCUAUUGCUUCAUGGCAAAAGGCUCAAAGGUACGAAUGAUGCUUCCUCCUCUGAUUCAAGUGACUGUGAACCUGAUGAUUAUAAAAAACCCAGUUACACUAAACUUGCUAUCGUUGCCACUAAACAACAAACUGCCCUCGAAAAGCUUCAGAAACUGCUAGAUAGAAGUGAUGAUAUGUUGAAUGAUGAAAUGAAUCUUACCCAAAUCCUCACUGAUGAUGUGAAAAGUCUUCAGUCUAGAUUUGAUAAUCUUCAAGAUCGUUAUGAUACUCUCCUCGCUAAUCAUGAGAAACUUUCCUAUGAAUUUCUUCAAAGGAAGCUUGAUCUAGAGAAGCUAAGGAUUUCUCAUGAUGAUCUUCGUAUGGAAAAUGAUUCAUUACUAGCUCAACACAUCAGCGCUGCUCAAGCUGAGAUCAUUCCUCCAUGUCUUAAAUGCAUUGAACGCGAAACUACUAAUUCUUCACCAGAAUCAUCAAAUGCUUCUAUUGCUACAAAUUCCUCAACUGCUCCUGUAGUGUCAAUUUCCUAACUUGAGGAAAACACAAAUGUUAUUGAUGAAAAUGCAGGGCUGAAGGAAUUGUAUGUGACAGGCAUAUACAAAAGCCUCAAAGGACAUCAAACCCUUUGUGAUGUGCUCAAAAAGCAUAUCUUGAACAGGAAUCGAAGGAAAGAAGGAAUUGCCUUUGAGAGGAAAUUGAAUGCUGAUGGAUCUUAUUGGAAACCUGAGCAGUAUCCCAAAACCUCAUGGGUUGCUGCUACUGGGCCUCCUUUUGAUCCAUCCAAUCUAACUGGCUUUUCAUGUGAAUUGUCCUAUUCCUCAGAUGAAUCAUUUGACUCUGUUAGAGCAUAUAUCUCCAUAUGUGGUUUUGGUAAUUGAUGACAAUUCCUAUGGACUAAUGGUUGCCUUAAGUUACAUUUAUAGGAUUUGUCCAUAGGCACUUCUUGAAGUCCAUCUGUUGGGUUCAAGGAGUUUAUAUGAUGACCAAGAUGGUAUUCAAGGUAUUAUCCAAAGAAUGGUCAUAGAGACACAUGGUUGAUCAAGAUCUCAUACAAAGAGUAAAUCAAGAUGAUCAACACACAAAGCGUACAAGAUGUACCGAGAGGGAUCAAGUGAUCCCAUGGUGUGUUUCCAUAGGCUUGCGUCAAAGAGAAGAUCUCAUACAACCCAUGAAGUAUGACGUCAAGUUGUGAUCGUCAUCAAGAUUGCGAUGUGCAAGUUCAAGUGGAUCAACACGAAGAUAUCAUGCUUGAAGCUUGCUGUCCAUUGACAAAGAGUAAAUCAAGAUGAUCGACACACAAAGUGUACAAGAUGUACCGAGAGGGAUCAAGUGAUCCCAUGGUAUGGUAAGCAUUGUCCAUUACGUGUUUGUGUACUAACCCAUGGUCUUCGUGAGAUUUCUAUGUGGAGGUUAGGUGUGUUUCCAUGGGCUUGCGUCAAAGAUAAGAUCUCAUACAACCCAUGAAGUAUGACGUCAAGUUGUGAUCGUCAUCAAGAUUGCGAUGUGCAAGUUCAUGUGGAUCAGCACGAAGAUAUCAUACUUGAAGCUUGCUGUCCAUUGUGGUGGCAAUGGACUUGUGAAGAUAUGCUGAAGAGUGGCUCACCCAUAGUGAGUAUGGGGGAGCAAUCAACUAGUCUUCAUCAAGCCAACGCAAUCAAGAAAGGUCGUCCAUCUUGAGGAAGCCAAGAUCAUCAUCAUCUAGCUCAAGAGGACGAGGUGCAAGGUAUAGGUUUACCCUUGAUAGGUUUUCUGUUUAGGAUAGAUUGCUGUACUAUCAAGGGGGGCUCUCAACUGAGUAGCUUGAUCGUAUCGUUCGUUGAGAGCUCAAACCAUUUGCAUCCUUGCAUCAUACUUCUUGGUUCUUGUUUGGUGUUUCUCUUUGUGAUUUUUAGAGCUUAUGGUCAUCUUCGUGACAAGCUCGAGUUCAUCGAAAACGGAGUCCAUAUGCAUCUACUAUGAUGUUUUCGACGUUGGAGUUUUUGCCGGUUCUUCAUUCAUAGAUGACUCACAUCUCUAUAUCGCUGUUUGGAUAGCCCUUGUCGUCCUGAAUCCAAUAAGCUUGGGUUUGCUCGAUUCGGAGCUCGUAUGCGAAAGUUAUGGUUGUUUCAGUGGCGAGCGGUAGUACCGCUGGACCUAGCGGUAGUACCGCUGGACCUAGCGGUAGUACCGCUAGAGUUGGCGGUAGUACCGCUGGCCCUAGCGGUAGUACCGCCCCUGGUCAGCGGUAGUACCGCUCCAGGAGCUUAGUACCGCCUGCCUAGCGGUUGUUCGUGGACGGACCUUUUUGCGAAGACUUUCUUGGCGGUGGUAGUGCCUUUGCACUACCAGGGGCCCAGCGGUAGUACCGCUGGGGCCCAGCGGUAGUACCGCUGGAGUGCCAGCGGUAGUACCGCUGCAGCCAGCGGUAGUACCGCUAGCUGGCGGUAGUACCGCUGCAGUCAGCGGUAGUACCGCUCGAGUGCCAGCGGUAGUACCGCUGGAGCUCGGGCAGAGAGUGGGGGUAACAGUCUGAUUUGUUCCCCCACUAUAUAAAGGGGGUCUUCUUCCCCCUUGGCCUUAUCCAUCCGUUGAGCUCUUGUUCUACCUCCAUUGUUGACAUUCUUAGAGCUUGCUAACUCUCAAUCCCUCCGAUGAUUCUUGCUUGUUGUUGAGGGAAAAGAGAGAGGAGAUCUAGAUCCACAUCUCCACCAAUCACUUUCUCCUCUAUGUGAGGGGAACCCCUUGGAUCUACCUCUUGGAGUUCUUUGUGAGCUCCUUGUUCUUCCUCUCAUAUUUCUCCAUAGCUUUUGUUGUUGUGGAGGAAUUUGAGUGUGAGGGACUUGACCACUUCGUGUGUUCUUGCCAUUGCAUUGGUUGCAUCGGUUUGAGUUCUCCACGGUGAUACGUGGAAGUGAAGUUUGAGAAGCUUAUUACCUUUGGUACUUAGUACCCUAGAUAUUGUUCUUCGUGGAUGCUUUGGCAUCCUAGAAGCUUGGUGGUGUCUCGGAGCUCAAUCAUUGUGGUGUGAAGCUUCGGGCAACCGUCGGGGCCUCCAAUUAGGUUGUGGAGAUAGCCCCGAGCAAUUUGUACGGGUGCCGGUAACCGCCCCCAAGGGUUGCCACGUGUACGGGUUCGGUGACCGCCCCCAAGGUUUGCCAUUUGUACGGGUUCGGUGACUGCCCUCAAGGGUCCCUUAGUGGAAUCACGGCAUCUUGCAUUGUGCGAGGGCGUGAGGAGAUUACGGUGGCCUUAGUGGCAUCUUGGGGAGCAUUGUGCCUCCACACCGCUCUAACGGAGAUUAGCAUCCGCAAGGGUGUGAACUUCGGGAUACAUCAUCGUCUCCCCGUGCCUCGGUUAUCUCUUACCCGAACCCUUUACUUAUGCACUUUACUUUGUGAUAGACAUAUUGUUUAUUGUAAUAUAUCUUGCUAUCACUUAGUUGUUUAUCUUGCUUAGCAUAAGUUGUUGGUGCACAUAGGUGAGCCUAGUUGUUUGUAGGUUUUGUGCUUGACAUAUUAAACGUUAGUUUUAUUCCGCAUUUGUUCAAGCCUAAACCUUAAUUAUUUUAAAGCGCCUAUUCACCCCCCCCCCUCUAGGCGACAUCCACGUCCUUUCAGACUCCAACUAUAAACUGUUCAAAACUCAAUCUGGUGAAGUAUUUGCUCGAUAUGUUAGAACUAAGUGCAGGAAUGGUCCUCCCUUGAGGAAAAUCUGGGUUCCCAAAAGUUGUAUUGAAAAUCUUCAAGUGAAUGUCCUCAUGACACCACCGAUGAAGAAUCUGAACCCAGAUGAAAUUCCUCAGGAGGACCAAAGUCUUCAAGAGGAUCAAAAUCCUCAACUGGUCAAAAUUAUGCUCGUACCCAUGCUAAUGCUUCUAACAUGCAGAGAAACUAUAAGGAAUAUGAAUAUGAGCGUUACUCUUCAAAUCAUUAUGUUCAUAAAUCCUCAAACCAGUUCUCUGCAUAUUCAUAUGAGUACUUUAACCCCCCUACUGUUAAGAGAAGUGCAUUAGCUUCAAUGCCACCUUUCUCAUAUGGUGCUCGCAGGAUGAUGAAUGCUUUACCACCCCUUCAGAUGUGGGUGGUGAGGAAAUCGAACUAAUCACUUAUGCAGGACAGGUCUCCAGAUGAAAAUCAUCAUCUGAAGAAUUUGCUGGAGACAUGAGGAAAUGCUUGAUAGGACGCAAGCCAAAUUGAUGAAAUAGAAAUAUUUCACACGUCCUUAUAAUUCUGUUGUGAUGAAAUUCUUAUAUGGUGAAAUUGAUAUCAUAUUCUUCAAAUCUGAAGCAUAUGAGAUGGUAACUGUACUAAUUCAUCUACAGGAUGACAAACCCAAGAAUACUGAGUGGGUUCUUGAUAGUGGUUGCACACAUCACAUGACUGGUGAUAAAAGCUUGCUGAUGAAUAUGCCACUAACUCCAUCACCUCUGAAGCAAAUCACAUAUGCUGACAAAGGUAAAAGCAAGGUAUUGGGACUUGGCAAAGCGGCUAUUUCCAAGGAUAGGCAUAUGGACAAAGUGAUGCUUGUUGAAUCCCUUGGUUUUAACCUCAUGUCAGUCUCGAUGCUUUGAGAUCUUGAUAUGAUUGUUAUCUUUGGUAGAUAUAGAUGUGUAGUCAUCAUGGAAUCUCACACAUCCAAAGUCUUCGAAGGUGUAAGGAGAGGGGAUUUGUACAUUGUUGAUUUCUCUACAGGUCCUCAACCAGCCACUUGCUUACUAGCAAAGACCUCAGAAGGAUGGAUGUGGCACCGAAGACUAGGUCAUGCAGGCAUGAGGAAUUUGCACACGCUCGCGAAGAAGAAGUAUGUCAUCGGCAUCGAAUCAGUCAAAUUCCUCAAGGAUCAUCUCUGCGGUGCAUGUGAAUCUGGGAAAAUGACCAGAUCCAAGCAUCCCUCGAAGACUAUCAUGACCACUACACGUCCCUUUGAAUUGCUUCAUAUGGAUAUAUUUGGACCUACUCACUAUGCCACACUAACCAAUGCAGCAUCUUUAUAUGGCUUCGUCAUAGUUGAUGAUUAUUCCAGAUAUACAUGGGUGCAUAUCAUCGUAUAUAAAACUGAAGUGCAGGAAAUCUUCAAACGAUUUUCUUCAAGGGCCUCGACAAACUUUGGCAUCAAGAUCAAACAUAUCAGGAGUGAUAAUGGAAUAGAGUUCAAAAACACUGGUCUUGAUGAUUAUCUUGAUGAACUUGGUAUUACUCACAAAUUAUCUGCUCCUUAUACUCCUCAGCAGAACGGUGUCGUCGAAAAGAAGAACAGGACUCUGGUUGAGAUGGCAAGAACUAUGCUUGAAGAAUAUCAGACUCCUUGUCGCUUUUGGCCUGAAGCAAUCAACAGUGCAUGCCAUAUCAUCAACAGGGUAUAUCUUCACAAAUUCCUCAAGAAAACCUCAUAUGAACUCCUCACUGAUAAGAAACCCAAUGUAAGUUAUUUCAAAGUCUUCGGUGCAAAAUGUUGGAUUAGAGAUCCUCACCAUAGCUCAAAAUUUGCACCUAAGGCACAUGAGGGUUUUAUGCUUGGUUAUGGAAAGGACUCGCACACCUACAGAGUUUUCAACAACUAUCACAACAAAGUUGUUGAGACUGUAGAUGUGCGGUUCGAUGAAACUAAUGGCUCGCAAAGAGAGCAAUUGCCUUCUGAUCCAGAUAAGUUGUCUCCUGAGGAAGCAAUAAAGCUCAAACCUACUGAAGACAUUGUUCCCACUUAGGAAAUUGAUGAAGAAACCAUCCCCAUCACUGAUGAAAAUGAAGAAGAUGCUCCUGAGGAAAUUGCUCCAGAACCACUUCCUCAGCCCAGACGAAAUCCUCAACCAGCACAUCUGAGGAUUGCAAAUGAAGUAGAACUUGACAAAAUCAUCAACGACAUCAACGCGCCAGGUCCUCUCACUCACUCAAAAGCUUCACACUUAGUUAACUUUUGUGGGCAUUUUUCCUUUGUAUCUAUCACAGAACCCUCAAAAGUUGCUGAGGCUUUCUUGGAACCGGAGUGGAUCCAAGCUAUGCAAGACGAACAUCUUCAAUUCAAGCUGAAUGACGUAUGGGAGCUAGUCAAACGACCAGAUCCUCGCAAGCACAACAUCAUCAGAACCAAGUGGAUUUUCCGAAACAAGCAAGAUGAGGAUGGUCAAGUGGUGAGGAAUAAGGCACGACUCGUAGCCCAAGGCUACACCCAGGUUGAAGGAAUAGAUUUCGAUGAAACUUUUGCACCUGUUGCUAGACUUGAAGCUAUUCGAAUACUACUUGCUUAUGCUAAUCAUCAUAACAUCAUCUUAUAUCAAAUGGAUGUGAAAAGUGCAUUCCUCAAUGGUAAGCUUGAGGAAGAAGUAUAUGUUGCUCAGCCCCCAGAUUUUGAGGAUCCAAAGAAUCCAGACAAAGUCUUCAGACUCAAAAAGGUGCUCUAUGGUCUCAAGCAAGCCCCUCGGGCAUGGUAUGACACAUUGAAGGAAUUCCUCAUGAAGAAAGGCUUCAAACCUGGUUCACUCGAUCCAACUCUUUUCACUAAAUCCUAUGAUAAUGAGCUACUUGUGUGCCAAAUAUAUGUCGAUACAGUGAUGAAUUUGCUUACAUGAUGAGUGAAGAAUAUCAGAUGUCUAUGAUGGGGGAGCUGAAAUUCUUCUUAGGUCUUCAAAUUCGUCAACAACGCAAUGGAAUGUUCAUACCACAGGAGAAAUACCUCAAGGAUGUUCUGAGGAAAUUCGACAUGCAUGAAUGCAAAGGUGCCAAGACUCCAAUGCCUACCAACGGCCACCUCGGCACUGAUGAAAAUGGUAAAGAAUUCGAUCAGCAGGUAUAUCGCUCUAUGAUUGGCUCUUUAUUGUAUCUAUGUGCAUCUAGGCCAGAUAUAAUGCUUAGUGUUUGCAUGUGCACGUUUUCAAGCAAAACCGAAGGAAUCACACCAUAAGGCUGUGAAGCAUAUUCUUCGAUACUUAGGUCACACACCAACACUAGGAUUAUGGUAUCCCAAGGGCUCAAAUCUUCAUCUGGUAGGGUAUUCUGAUUCUGACUGUGCUGGUGAUCGUGUAGAUCGCAAGUCAACUUUCGGUACAUGCCAUUUCCUCGGAAUAUCACUAGUUUGCUGGUCCUCAAAGAAGCAGAACUGCGUAUCACUCUCCACUGCCGAAGCUGAGUACAUUUCUAUUGGUUCAUGUUGUGCUCAAUUACUAUGGAGGAAGCAAACCCUCAAGGACUACGGCAUUAACAUGAAGAAUGUGCCUCUCUACUGCGACAAUGAGAGUGCAAUCAAGAUUGCAUACAACCCAGUACAGCACUCGAAGACUAAGCACAUCCAGAUUCGUCAUCAUUUUCUUCGGGACCAUGUCCUCAAGGGAAAUAUCCUCAUCGACCAUGUGAAGACUGAUGAUCAACUCGCAGAUAUCUUCACUAAGCCCUUGGAUGAGAAAAGGUUUUGCAAGUUGCGGUGUGAGCUAAAUAUCUUAGAAUCUUCAAAUGUUUUGUAAAAACAUGCACACAUCCUAACACUUAUGCAAAAUUGAUGACUUGGAUGUGCAACACAAGAUGAAUCAAUUUUCUUCAAAUGAUGAAGAAUAUCACUCUGAAUGUGAAGAAAUCAACGAAGAAAUUGAUUCUCAGGGCCCUACGACAAUUGUACGCGGCGUCUGUAAUCAACAUUCUUAUAUGGUGGGUCACGCCACCGCCCAACGUGAAAUUCCUCAAGUUGAUUUUCUUCAAAGUUCCAUUUCCUCAAAACUUGUUUUUCUUCAAAACAAUUUUUCUUCAUUGUGACGAUUUAUCACAAAAUCCUCAAGUUAGUCAAAUCUUCAAAAACACUUGAUGACUUUCGUUUCACUAGAUAGACUGUGAUUUCAAGUCCUCAACAGCAUUCACUUAUAGCUAUUUCUUCAAGUUGAUAUUUCAUCUAAGUGCAUGUGAUCGGACCCUACUUUCCCUCUAUGCUAUUCUCAUCCAGUCUAUUCAAUUCUUAAUAUGCGUUCUACUUGAAACUUUGUUCAAAAUCCUCAUUGCGUCCUUGUCAGUUGAUGAUUUUGUAACAAAAUCGUCAAAUCUUCAAAAAUGUCUCUUUAAUGCACAGUAACUGAACCCCACUUCCCUCAUCCGGAUAACCACGAUCUCCACCGCCUUGCUCGGGAGUUACACGUGUCCUGCGGAGACGUAGAGGCAGGGGCUAUUUGGUCCGAUUUCUUCGCGCCAAAAGUAACUGCAUGGCUAUAAAUAUGUCCUUAUCUCCCUCGGCAAACACUUCUUCGCUCCAUCGCUCUCCUGCUACAGCAAAAGCCCCGAACCCUAGCGCCACCGCUGGAAGUCUCGUCGCCGGCGAAGAAGAGCUUCACUGCCUCGACUUUUCCGUUGCCGAAACCACGCCGGAGUCAGACCAUCUUUGUCCGCCGCCGUCGUAGACGUCCUCUGUUGUCGGGUUAGGGCACAUUGGACACGCACCGAAGAGCUUCUCCUGACAACUCUCCUCUGUUCUUCGUGUGCGCCAUCUAGGGUAAAUAGAAACCCUAUUUUUGCAGCAAGUUAGAUCUACUAUUUUACAUCUGAGAUGUGAAAUCUGUUUUUCCUCAAGAAUCAAUACGCAUCUGAUUCCUCAAACACUGCCUAUCACCACACUAUUGAUGAACUUCACUAAGCAUCUAAGACUUUCACGAGAUUUCUCAAUUGUGCGAAUUUUCGGAUAUGUACAACUCUGGAACCCAAGAACAGUAUGCUUAGCCAAAUUCCUCAACCACUGGUCAAAUUCCUAUAGUGUCAAACUUUUUCAUUUUCUUCAAAUCUGAGAACGCAUAUGACCUUUCCAAAUUCCUCGCAACUAUACUUUGUUCACAGGUACACACAUGUCAGCUGAUGAAUCUCUCGGUUCUCAUCACAUUAACUCAUUUGCUGCGUUUCUUGAAGAAAAUCUUCAAGUCUCAUCAGAAUCUGCAAGAGUUCAAUCUCAUCAGCAAAAUCCUCAGCUGAAGAAAAUGGAGGAUGACAGGAAACAGAAGGGAGGCAAGAAACUUGAGCAGAAUACAGCUUUGGAUAUCCCUGAGGAUAUUUACUUGGACUAUUGCACACCUGAUGAAAAUGAAACAAUGGCCAAGAGAAAGAUUCGGCUUCAGAAGAUAGAACGCCGAUGGGCUAAGGAGUGGAAGGAAUACAGAUUUGUCACUCCCAAGUAUGCAAAGAAAUUCGCUCUGAAGCCUCCUGGCAAACGGGCUCCACUUGAGGCUCAUCAAGUAGCACAUCCCUCAAGCCUCGAGACCCUUGAUGACUAUCCUGAUGAAAAGGACAAGCACUUGGCUAAGCUUAAAAAGCAGGCAGAUGCUGCGGUGAGGAAAUUCAAUGAAUCAUCUGCUGCAGCUUCAACUGCAGCUACUUCCUCUGCCACUGAGACCUCUGGUUCAGCAAUUCCUCAACAAAAGUCUAUGCCGUCAAAACCAAAGGCUCCAAAGCCUCAAGAGAAACUAGCUCUGGCAUCAGUUACAAAACCAUCAGUGCCAAAAUCCUCAGCACCACCACUGGUUUCAAAACCAGAACAGAAGCCAGUCAUGAAGCCACUGCCCGCUACCUCCAGCUCCUCACUCCCAGCUGCAACCAGCUCAGAGACAAAGUCUUCACCACCUCCUAUGAAGACUCAGGUGUCUGCUGGAAGAGGAACAAAACCAAGCCCUAGCAAAAUCAUAACAGUCCCUUCUGCAUCAGAGGGUAGUGAUGAAUAUGAUGAUGAAACCCUGCAAGCUAUGAUCAGAAACAAGCAGGAGAGGGUAGCUCAAGCUUCUGGUAGCGCCAUUCCUCUGGCCAUAGACCCCAAAGUCCUCCUAGACUACAUAAACAUCUGGUAUGAGGACCCCAACACUCCGCUUGAUGACUUGAAACUUCCCCUGGCAUCAGCCACAUGGUGGCCACAUUCAUCAACGAGGCCAAGUGGAAGGAGCAGCAAGCCAAACAGGCCAAAGUUGCUAAGCUCAAGAAGGAGAAAUUCCUCAAGCAGAAUCUCCUCAACCUGACGCCUGAUGCACUGGUGUCAACACAGGCUGAGUUGAAGACUUUGACAGAUAAGUACUCCAAGCUAUCUGAUCGUGAGAGUCUCAAAAGCAGUUUCAUCAAAUUUGCCACUAAAGUUGUUGACGACUACAACAAGAAGGCUGCCCCUCCAGUACCAACUCCUCAGCCUCUGAUUGAAGAGCCAGCCGACAAAUCUCCUCAAGCUGAUGAAACUCCUCAAGCUGAGGAAAUACCACAAGAAAGCCGUGUGGAUGUACCGGCAAUUGAAGAAAUCAACACAGAAAAUCCAGCUGAUGAAUCCGCUACAGCUGGUGAGACUGCCCCUGAACCAGCUGCUGCUUCAAAGCAAGCUGAUGACUCUGAUCCAGCUGGUUCCUCAAAGCCAGCUGAUGAAUCUCCUAAGAAAACACCUUCACCAAAAGCUUCAAAGGUGAAGAACAUGACUCCGUCUGCAUCAGACGUGAAGAAGACAAGGGCUGCUGAGAACGAAGCCAAAAAGAGAAAGGCCUCCUCAGCAGAAGAAAACACUAAGGCCAAGCGCCUCAAAGCGCUUGAAGAAAAUGCUCCACUGGACCCUGUGCCCCUCAACGUCGCUCCAUCUUAUGAAAUGGUCACCUUUGAAGACCAGGAGAAAGGGCCAUAUGAGGAAAUGAAGGAUGAUGCAUCUGAGGAACACACUGACGAAGAAAUUCGCAUUGGCGACAGUCCUCAGCCCUCCAUUCCUCAGGUAACAACUGCACAAGGAUCAGCUGCACCAGCAGAUGAAUCUGGCUCGGUCACCAAGCAAGCUGAGGAAGAGCAAAGUGAAAAUCCUCAAGCUGAUGAAAUUCAGAGUCGUGAGAAAAAUCCUCAAGUUGAGGAUCAGGUUGACCCAACUCCUCCUCGUGAGCAAGAUCUUCACACUGAGGCUCAAAAUGAACCUAUUCCUCCUCCUGAGCAGAACCCUCAACAGGAUGCUCCAGUUGAUGACAUUCCUCAGCCUGAGGCACAGCCAGAUCCCAUUCCUCAACCUGAAGCACAACACGAGCAUGCUCCUCAGCCUGACGCCCAAGCUGAUGAAAUUCCUCAACCUGAGGACAAUGCUGAGGAAAAUGCACCAGACCAAGACAAUGCUUUCGUCAUGCUCAAUCCAGAGACUGCAAUUGUUGUCUCCCCUCCAGUUCCUCAGCAAAAUCUUCAGCCAAUGCAGCGUCAGCCAUUCUCCAAGCGACCACAGUUUCAAAAGGAGAACUUCUUUGAAGAACGCAUGUACUUCAUUGGAGAAAAUCCCUAUGACAAGCCUCAAAUCAGGCAUCUGAAGUUUUGGACGAGGACACAGCUGAAUUACUAUGCCUCUGUGCUGUGUGGAAGAAAUAAGAUAUUCCAGCACAAGCAUAUUCCUCAUGUUGAACUUGAAGCAAUACCAUGCGUGGCUCCAGUCCUCAAUGUCCUUCAUGAAGAUGGACUGCUACCAAUGUGCUCAGAUAUCUCUGAUUGGAACGGCGAGCUCAUUCUUCAAUUUUAUGCCACUCUUCACAUCUCUGGCGAUCCUGAAGAUAUUAACACCUGGGUGUUUGACUGGAUGAUGCAAAACACUCACUACAAGGCUCCUGCUACUGAGCUACUGCGUGAAUUGCCAGUAUCAAUUCCCUCAGAGGAGGCCGUGAAGCUUUAUGGUGAGAAUGAGCUGCCCAACAGGAUGAUGGAAGUCCUCAUGAAGCCUUUUGCUAAAGGGCAACCACCGAGAAAAACCUUCCUCAUCCACGAGCUCAAAUAUACACCAAGGUCUGUUUACAGAAUCCUGUGCAGUGUUCUUGCGCCGAUCAAAGGCCAUUGAUGAUGAAGAAGAUGUCGUAGGCAUCAUGAAGAAUAUCCUCUUCAACAUCAUCCAUGGUAUUCCUAUCAACAUACAUGAUUUCUUCUUGAGGACUUUGGCCGACAAUGCCAUGUGUCCAUUUGAUCACAAGAUAUAUGCCCCAUGGAUCAUGAGAUUCAUCAGGACAAGGACAGGCAUCAACUUCCACGCUGAUUUCAACAAGAAGACUUUCGAGCCAGUUGAAGGAAAAGGGAAGUCAGUUAUUGAUGAAGGCUGUAGGCCCCUUGAUGGCCAGUUCAGAGAGCCGGAAGCAUAUUCUUCAUGGGAUGAUACUGAGACUCACCCUCCAAGCCAUUUUGCUCCUCGCGUGAUGAAUACAAGAGAGCUUCUCCUCAGUCUUCACCAGAAGGUGGAUCGCAAUCACAAGUGGGUCAAACGCCAGUUUGGCGCCAUUGUGAAAACACUCACUGAAACACAGAACUCUGUGAAGCUUAACCAUCACUAUCUGCAUGAGGUUUUUGAUCGCACCUGGGCCACACUUGCUCAUCUGAAGACUCAGACAAAACUUGAAGAAUUGGAGUUUGAGCGAGACUUUUACUGGUCGUGGCCUCCCAAGAAGAAGUUCAGGCCAAUUCCAGUUCCAGACCUUGAAGACAGUUCCUUUUCUUCAUUCCGCACUGCUGAAUCUGAUGAAGAACAGCAUGACACUGCCACCGGUCCAAGGAAGAAGACUACUCCCAAGAAGCACCACGCAUCUUCAUCAACCGCCAAGGAGUGAAGUCUUCAUAGGCGUUAGUCCUCAGUUCGUCCCUUUUGUCACUUGAUGACAAAGGGGGAGAAACUUGAGAUUUAGUCUUCAAGCGGGAUAUUUUGGGGAUUAUGAACUAUAUUUAAGUUACAAACUCUUGGCUCUUCUGAAGUUUUUAUGUAAUGAGUUGUAACUUAAACCCGAUGGUACUCUGACGCUUUUGAACGUUUUUCUUCGCAUGCUUACUCCUCAAGUUUUAAUGCACGCAUGCUGAAAUUCGUCAGAUACCAUUUGUCAUCAUGCAUCUUCACUUUCUUCAUACUAUAUGUUAUAUGUAUGCAUGAUUUACAAGACUCAGGGGGAGUCCCCAUGAUAUAAAUCAUCAAUGUGCAUUUGCUGUGAAAAGCAAAAUCCUCAAGAUAUGCACAUCUUCAGGGGGAGUCUCUCUGAAUCUUGAUUUCAAAUUCCUCAAAUGAGUAUUUACACUUCAUAUUUUUAUCCCUGUUGAAGACUUAACCUAAUUGUCAUCAACCACCAAAAAGGGGGAGAUUGUAAGUGCAUCUAGUGCCUCUUAGUGAUUUUGGUGGUUUGAAGACUUAUAGGUUAAGUAUCUAAUGUGUUCAUGAGUGUACACGGGAUCUAUAAGUCACUGAGGAGUUUGAAAUAUUUGAUGAAUAUCGACCCCUAAAAAUGUAUAUCUUCGGUUGAAGAAAUUGGUCUGAAGCUGAAGAAUUGAAUCGCGAAGAAUCUACGAUGAAAUUGAUAUUCCUCGUGAAGAUAUUGAAAUUGAGGAAUUCGGUGUGUCCUGAAGAAAAUCAUUCUGAAGACUUUGAAGCAUGAAGAUUUACUCUUUCUGUUUUGUUUUAUUCACACUUGAGUAAUAGGAACAGCGUACUGUUAAAGGGGGUCGAAGUUACACUUUGGAAUGAAUUUCCUCAUGAUGCUCAACCCAAGCCUAAUCCUACCAAAAGCCUCAAGUGAGGAAUAUGAGUGACAUGAGAACUCUCACAGUUGAGGGUUCCGACCGUUUCGAUAGCCACGCCACAUCAUUGAUCUUAUCCACACCAACGGUCAUAUUAUUUAAGGGCAUUAGUGUCAAAUCAUGUCGGGAUGCUCCCAGGCUAUAAAUAGCCGCCCCCACAACCAUUAGCUGGUUGGCUGCUCCGUUAGAAACUGACACUUGUCAUAAGAGCAACCCAAUUCCUCAGAAUCUUCGAGAGUAAUUCAUCAGUGAGGAAAUACCCCAAACACUAAACCACAAACCUAGAACCAAGUGAUUGAGCAUCACUGAAGAAGUUGUUCAUGUGUGGGACUGAAGCCUUUUACCUUUGAGGAUUGUGCAUCCUCCAGACGGUUAGGCGUCAUGGUCUAGAGCAAUCCAGCAGUCAAUUGUGGAUCGCCGGGUGACCAAGUUUGUGAGGGUUUGGAAGUCUGCCCUGAAGACUUACCACGAGUGUUGGGCGAGGACUGUGUGUUAUUAGCCCAAGGAGAAUACGGUAGGGACUCUGUGUCCCGGGACUGUGUGUCUUUUGGUUUCAAUACCAAGCCGCUCCAAACCAGAUGUACAACUGUCACAGCAGUUGGAACUGGGUCAUCAACUACUGUCUUCGCUGAGAAACGGGUUCUAAUUCCUCAACUCUUUACAUUCCUCAGAUUAUGUGUUGAUGACUUUCACUGUUACUGUUUGAAGAAUUUGCUGAAGACUUUCUCUAAAAUUCCUCAACCCCAAAUUCUUCACGCUAGUUAAUCCUCAUCUGUUUUCUGCGUGCCUGCUCACUGUGCAAUAUGUUUUCACAUUCCUCACACUGAAAAACUGUUGUUGUGAAACUUUGCACUUCUGAUCCAUUACUGUUUCCGCUGUAAGUUAGUCAUCAGUGAGGAAUUUCCUCAAAAGGAAUUUCCUCAGUGAUGAAAUUCUAAAAAUCUCCUAUUCACCCCCCCCCCCCUCUAGUCGAUAUAACGCACUUUCAUAGUACCAUCGUAUUCAGAGAACACAUGAUAGAUGGCAUCAUCCUCUUCUUCUCAUUCUCUUCCAUUAGAACCCCUCUUUCUCCAUGCUUGGUCCAACAGUUAUAGCCGGACAUGAAACCAGACGUAAACAGGUGGACAUGAAUUAUUCUUGACUUAGAGUAAGUGUUAUCUGCUGGUUUGCCUCAACCGCACGUAGAAACCUCUACGCGCCAUUAUUGAACUGGGGAGAGCGGUAGUCAUCGUACAUGCAUCCAUUGUCAGCUCAUCUUCAUUACACAAGACCGAAAAGACCAAAUCAAUACAAGUUCAUACAUAAAGUUCAUACACACUUAUUCUCAUAAAACAACAUACAAGAGUAUCUAGCUAAAGCUUUCAAAUGCAAUCAAGAUUGCAACUAAGGUAACAAUUGAUCCAACAACACAGUAAUACCAAGCCUCUUUAUUAACGACAUAUUUUCUAAUCUUUCUAAUAUUCAAGCGCAUUGCAUCCAUCUUGAUCUUGUGAUCAUCGAUGACAUCGACAACAUACAACUCCAAUUUCAUCUUCUCUUCUUUAAUUCUUUUCAAAUUUUCUUUCAAAUAAUCGUUUUCUUUUUCAACUAAAUUUAACUUCUCGACAAGAGGGUCAGUUGCAAUUUCCGGUUCACAUACCUCCUAGAUAAAAAAUAUCUAUGUCAACUUGAUGGGCAUAAUUGUCAUAAACGCGAAAUGCAACAAAUAGUUAUAAAAGAGAAUAUACCACAUCCGGAUCAUAAAGCAGACGAGGGCCGAUAGGCACGGAUUUCAAGACCAUGAAACUAUGUAUAACAAACAACCAUACAAGUAAGAAAACUAUCUAAAUCAUACAAAUAAGAUUUUUUUUAUAAAAAGGAUAAGAACAAGAGGCUCACCAAGGUGGUGCCGGCGACGGGACGCUCCGGGCGAUCGACUGUGGUUAGGACGGGGACAGGAAGGCACUAAGUUAAGCACACCUACACAUAUGGAAACUAAGAAGUUAAUUUGAGCUCAAAUUGCAUAUAAAUCAAAUAAACUCCCACAAAAUUACUCCGAAACUAAAACCCACAAAUCACUAUACUUAUAGAGCAUUGCACGAGCUAAUCUAGCAAUGAUAGAUGAAAGAACAAAGUUGCUAACCUUCGUGAACACUUGGAGAGAUGGGGUGCCUCAAAUCUUGACAAAUCUUGGCAAAAACGGAGGAUGAGCUCAAGCUAAGGGGAAGAAUAGAUGGGAAUGGAGAAAACAGAGAAAUGGGUUUGGUUUGGACGAAGGGUUUAUAUAGAGACAUCUUUAGUCCCGGUUGGUUAUACCAACCGGGCCUAGAGGUCCACCUCUUGUCCCGAUUUAUGAUACAAACCGGGACUUAAUGUGCUUGUGGGGCCCCCAACCUGACGAGAGCCUGCCAUCACCCCUUUAGUACCGGUUUGUAUCACAAACUGGGACUAGAUGUGGCAACUGAACCGGGACUAAUGACGCCCCCACGAAAUCGGGAUGAAUGGUCAUGUUAGUCCCAAGCUGUAAUCAAACCGGGACUAAAGGUUCAGACGAAAGGUCGGUUUUCUACUAGUGUACGGUAAAAAACAAUGCCAAGGAAGGAGAGGGUAAUUUGCUAAGGGCGUUAAGGAAACAACAAACCAAAAGAGAAAUAUCUUUUUCUUACAACUUCACUGAGUGCUACUAUCUUGUACGCAUUCUGUUUCGCUUACUCGAUGUUAAGUGUAAUUGAUGAGUUAUGUGUGCGCAGGUUCCAUUUUAUUAUCCUAGUCAUUCAGGUUGACUAAGAAGUAGUACUUGUCAUGGACUCGGAACGUAAAGACCCUAAGAUGUGGGCGGACCUGAGUGAAAUGCUCGAGAGGUAAUUUCAAUUGUUAUCGCACUAUAUCAACAACUUUUGUUCAUUUCUUGAUAUCAAAUAAUUAAUAACUCUUUUAUUCAUUUUCUUUCUUGAGCAUGGUUUGGAAACUGUUCAUCAAGAAGGUUAGGGGUGAAUGAAAAGAGGAGCUCCAAUUUUGACAACUUAAUGUAAGUUGUAAUAGAUACGUCUGUGCAUCUUUAUGGUUCUAGUUUCAAUAUCAAUAUCUUGCUUGAUUAUUAUUUUGAUUGAACAAUAUUCUCAUAAAGUGCUUGAGGCAGGGAGACGGGUAUAAUUUAUGUGGAUACUACGUUUGCGAGUUCAUUCGCCACACGAACUAUGAGAAGGGCAGAAUUUUAGAACAACUUUGAGUACAUAAACAAUAUUCACAAUUUUAUUUUAUUACCAUCAAUUGUUGAGUUUAAUUCAUAUAUAUUGACCAUCUUCUUUAAAUUAGAUCGAACGGAUGCGGGACGAUCUCCUACCAAAGGAUCACGUAUGAGCAAUUCAAGAGGAAAUGGUGGGAUUCUUACUUGAAGAGGUCAUAUAUAAAACCGGAGAAUACCAUCGGGAAUUGGUAAUUAGAUAUUAGGGAUCAUAAGAGAUAUUAUAUUGUAUAUAUGCAUGAACGUGUACUAUAUGUAGUAACGUCGAAUAUAUAUAAAAAACUCGUUGUUCGACCAAGCACAGAGAAAGAUAUCACUUCUCUACAUUCAUGAUGAUGUUGUGUAAUGAUUCCUUCAUUGCUAUAUGUAGUAGCGUCAAGUUGAAUGAAAAACAUAAAAUAAAAACCAUAAAUGAAAAAGAAUUGAAUGGUAAACUCAAAAAGCAAAGAGAAACACAAAAUGAAACGCGACCCCUCAAAAACCCUAAACCCCGGCGUUUGGCAAUGCAUGACGCAUGACGGCCUUUAGUCCCGGUUGAUGUUAUCAAUCGGAACUAAAGAUCCUUCUGUCUGAACGCUCCACAACGGAUACGUGAAGCCCCUUUAAUCUCGGUUCGUAACACAACUGAGAUUAAAAAGGGGUCUUUAGUCUCAAUUCUUUAGUUCCGAUUAUCUAACCGAGACUAAAGGCCCUUAUGAAACGGAACUAAUGUCCCGUUUUCCACGAUUGCACUGUGUAUCUCAGCAGCUUGUCCAUGACGUGCAAGUCUGCUCAUUUGAUUUAAAAAUAAUAAUAACCCGCGGAUCUGCACUCACUAUCCAACUAAUAUACACGGAGGUCGUUUUCUGCUCAACUUGCAACCGAGGAAGGCCUUGCCGACAGACACAUCCCACACGAUAGAUUAAUUACGAAGCUCGGUGAUGUGGAGCUAGCCCUAACCAAGCACAGCCACCACGAAUGCAAGGUAAUAAAGCUCGAAAGCGCACUGCGACAACAGUAAACAACUUCCAUUUCCACCAUAUCAAAAUCAAAAUAAGCGCACGGCCGGGUCUAUUUUUCCUGACCACAGCCCCUGAACUUAGAGCAUCUCCAACAGCCCCGCUACGCGUCGCGUUCAAAAAAUGCAUUUGCCGCGCGCUUCGGCUGGUUUAGCGCGGGGACAGGCGCUGGCUCCAACAGCCGCGCUAUAAUGCAGCGCGCGCGCGCCGCUCCAGUAAUGCCCAAAAAUGCAGCGCGCAUAAUAUUUUUUUUAAUACAUAGAUUGCAUUCAAAUAAAAAGGAUACAAAGUUUUUGCAACUAGAUAGGUAGUUGGAAAAACAUAGAUAGAUAUUCGGCGCUAUAUAGUUCGAAAACAUAUAAAAAAAACUAAUCCCAGUCGCUCCAGUCAUCUGCACCAUCGUCGUCGUCGUUGGUGUCGUCAGAGGUCGACAGCCAGCAAUCGAACCAACGCUCAUCUUCUUCAGUGAAGAAGGACCUCCCGCCUGCAUUGACGAGGUCGGCCUGCGCACACGCCAACGCCUUCCGACGACGCCUAUCCAAACGCUUCUCGCGGCGCCGGCGCGUGUCCUCCUCGUGGCGACUUGCCCAAUAUUGCUGCUCGUAGGCGACGUCCUCCGGGUGGCGCCGGCGCCACUCCGCCAUGAUCCGCUCGUCCUCCUGGGCGACGAGGAGGCGGCGCUGCAGCGCAUUGUGCUCCGCACGAUCUUGUGCGGAGUUCAGACGAGGCGGCGGGGCGAGGUCUAACGCCUGCUGUAGCGUCUGGACGUCCUCGAAAUUCAUUUGACGGGCCGGCCUACCUACUGUCUCUUAUACACAUCUCCGAGCCCACGGGACUUGAAGGAUAUCUCGUAUGCCGUCUUCUGCUUGNNNNNNNNNNNNNNNNNNNNNNNNNNNNNNNNNNNNNNNNNNNNNNNNNNNNNNNNNNNNNNNNNNNNNNNNNNNNNNNNNNNNNNNNNNNNNNNNNNNNNNNNNNNNNNNNNNNNNNNNNNNNNNNNNNNNNNNNNNNNNNNNNNNNNNNNCGCGCAAGCGGUUCCCGCGCGCGCGGUUUUCCCGCCGUCGCUGGAGCGCGCCUUUCUGCACCGCGCGCGGUAAAACUGAUAUUUAGCGCGCGCGCCUUUUUGCGCGGUUGUUGAAGAUGCUCUUAACAUGCCUCAGCUAGCCGUUCGCUGGCGAGUGGUGACCUAACACGACGACCGUGCGCCCGCGACCUCACACCGCGGUACGGCGACGGACGCUCCUACGCGACCGCGUGCGCGCGCAGUCCAUCAAUUCUGCACGAUGUAUGGCGUCUUCAGCAGUUCAGCCGGAUCGACUAGACAGGUGCAGCUGACCUGCCGAGCCGACCGACCAAAAUUACAGGGUGUGAUGCUUGCAUUCAUCCUUGAAUGUAUGUCAGCGAUUUUGAUUGUACCGUGUUAAAAAAAAGUGUAUCACCAUCCAAGAAACACUUGCUUUCAGGUUCGCUGUAGCACAGGAUAUUCGGUGCGUAGGCGAGGUAGCAUGUAUUGAUAUGAAUACAUCUGGACAGUAGGUUCUGGUACAAUCUUAGAGCAAAGUAAUAAACAAACAAUUAGAGCUUGAAAUGUAUGACCGACACCGACACUGACCAUAUCACGCCAUCACUUAAUACUCCAAACUAACUUAACUAAACAUAACUAUAGAUGGAUAGUCAGAGGAAGUGAGCAAAUAACAACCGAGAUGCAGGUAACCUACCACGACACCAAGGCACCAAAGUUCAGUCAGAUCACUACUGGUGUCUACCGCAAACAUGCAUACAUGAUACAUGUAUACCCGUUUCAUGUAGGGUGUAGCAUUUUUUUGGCUAUAAAUACCAGCCUUCUUCUAUCUCUCGGCCACCACACCAAGAACCAGAAGCACACAGCAUAUCGACCAUGCUGUGCAAGAACACCAUGGCCUCCCUUGUCUUCAUUGUAGCACUACUGCUCUCAUGCAGCUCCAUGAGCAGUGCAGCGCGGCACCUAGAAGAGGUUGUGCCGAAGAAGGAGUAUCCACCACAUCCGAUCAUCCCGGAGCUGCCAAAGCCCGAAAUCCCGCCGCACCCUGCCAUGCCCGAGCUGCCGAAGCCUGAACUACCGCACCCUCUCGUGCCCGAAGUGCCACAUCCCGUGGUGCCGGAGACGCCAAAGGAGCCUGAAGUGCCACACCCCGUGGUGCCGGAGACGCCAAAGGAGCCUGAAGUGUCACACCCCGUUGUGCCGGAGGUACCAAAGCAUGAGCUGCCGCCACACCCUGCUAUGCCCGAGCUCCCGAAGCCUGAAUUACCUCAUCCAGCUGUGCCCGAGGUGCCACACCCCAUUGUGCCGGAGACGCCAAAGGAGCCUGAAGUGCCACACCCCAUGGUGCCGGAGGUGCCAAAGCAUGAGCUGCCGCCGCACCCUGCUAUGCCCGAGCUCCCGAAGCCUGAAUUGCCUCAUCCAGCUGUGCCCGAGGUGCCAAAGGAGCACGAACUGCCGCACCCUAUCGCGCCAGAGGUGCCAAAGGAGCCUGAAGUGCCACACCCCGUUGUGCCGGAGGUACCAAAGGAGCACGAGCUGCCGCACCCUGCCAUGCCAGAGUUGCCGAAGCCUGAAAUGCCACACCAUGUCGUGCCAGAGAUACAAAAGGAGCCCCCUGUGUCGCACCCUGAGGUGCCGAAAGAACCCCAGGUACCACACCCUGCCGUGCCAGAGGUCCCAAAGCACGAAAUGCCGCCGUUCCCUAUAUCCGAGCUGCCCCCAAAGCCAGAGGCCAAGCCAUGAUCGGACUAGGUACAUCCGCGUUGUGUGUGUGGGUGUAUGGGUGUCUGUGAUUGUUGUAGUAUACACUGUGGUGUUGCAUGGUGCACCUGCUCAAUCUUUUCCCUUCUUCCCUUUACGUGUAUACACGAUGAAUAUGAUAUAUAUGUACAUGUGAAUGUGUAUGUUCUCGUGUUUGGAGUUUAUUUAUAUUGGAUCAGAUUUGUGUUUGGAUUUACCUAAUACAUAUGCGCAUCAAUAAAGGAGUUUAUUUUAUAUUCGUUUGGAUUUGUGUUUGGAUUUUACAUAUGUACAGUCUUAUAUUUUGGCUAUAUUAUGCACCCAGUAAAAGUCUCAUUUUUUUGCUGACAAAAUUUUCUUUUUUUGGGGGGGGGGGUUGUACAGAGAAGGCAUGAAAGACCAGGUUUCAUGUGAAGCAUAAUAAGAUAACAGUGAAUUUCAGUUUUACCCCCUAUUUUAACAGUUUUGACACUAAUUAUCUCACUUAAUGAGAUUUCAUUCUUUUACCCCAUUUAGCAAAAGUUCUGUCACGAUUUACCCUGUUUAAAACUUUGGGUUUGUUUAUUUGUGCUUCCUUAGGCAUGACUUUGAUUUUUAUGACUUUUUAAAAUAGGCUUUCGUGUCGUUUUAUAAAUAAAGCAACCAGUGCACGGCGAGAAGUACCACAUCAAACGUCAAAGUAUGUUGGGGCCACAACACAAGCACGUCCAAAUAUAACAAAAAAAGAUAUCAUAAAAAGGGCCACCAAGUGGUCAAAGCAUCCUGGAGGUGCCGGAGCAGCAAGUCGACGUGUCGUACCCUGAAGUGCAACCAACAUCCGGCCUAGCCGUGCCUGAUUCCUCUGCAUAGUCAAUGGGUGUGAGUGCUCCAAGAACGCAAAAUUUUUGAAGAAAACCUAAAAAGCGCGUCAUAGGAAAAGAUCCUCUCAAUCACCACCUUAUUUCGCAUGUUCCAAAAAGUCCAUGCCGGAUCAACAAAAAUCAGCCAGAAGAGGCGUUUAUGGCUGCCAGGCUACAUCGCUCUGGCCUGAAGGAAGUCGGCUAAAAUAUGUCGCCCACUGUGGCCCUAGGGCCUCGCGAAGAAAACCCCAUAGUGACUUAGCCCUCGUGCAGAAGAAGAGGGUGUGAAUCCCGUUUUCCAAGACAUCAUACAAGUGGCAUAGCCCAUUACCCGGGUCAUGUCUCUUGAGCACCUUUGUUCCUGACGGGAGGCGAUCCCGCAAAAGUUGCCAAACGAAAAAAUUCAUUUUCAAAGGUAGAGGCACCUUUCAGAGAGGCGUCAUCCAUCGGAUACGAGGCUCCGACAUAGUGCAUGAUAAGCCGUGACCAUGAAGAAACCUCCCGAUGGAGAGAGUAGCCACCGUGUCUGAUCUAGGCCACUGCACAUCGGAGGAGGAAGAACGGCCAAUAGAUUAGACCACUCAAGAACCUCAGCAUGGCCUAGUGAGCAUCAGAACAGGAUGUUCCAUUGUCCAUCUUGGACUGAUUCUAAAACCCGGAGCAAAGAGUCCACACACAUAGCAAAUAACUGAAGGAACCCAUGCACAAUGGGGUUCCAUCAACCCAUAGAACAGGGGUCAAGUGUAUGCUCAUUUAAUUGAUUGAUCCAUCAACCCAUGGUUUUUUUAACUUUGCUAUUUGCCGGCAAAAAAAGGAUUACGUCCGUUGAUGUUAGUUGUGUGCAUUCUAACUAUAUUAAAGCCAGAUGUAUGCUCAUUUAAUUGUAUUCGCUUCAUGUUUCAUUUUAAAUAAUAAAAUCCACAUUUUGCUGAGAAAAAAAAACUAAGUCAAUAAUAACUUCGUCAUAGGUGAUGUGUCUUUGACAUGCAAGUCUUCACUACAUCGUACCCCCAAGAAAAGGACACGACACGGCGUUGCGUACGGCACCAACCAGCUUAAUCUGCUGAUUGUGAUAUACUAAAGGAAAAUGGUUUGUUGAUCUGUUGUCAGUAUCUUUCCCACCUAACAUGCAGCAAGUCGUUUUCUGCUCAACUUGCAACCGAGCAACCGCCUUACAGAUAGACACGUCGUCCCACACUUCUCUCACUGUGUCUGCGCUGGUGUUGCUGGCAAGUGACAAGAGACCCCUGAAUCGAACUUCCUCCACCGUGCUGGCGAUCGACCUAACACCGGUACGACGCCUACGGAAACCGCGUGCCGGCCUGCGGCCGGUGACCAGCUGCAUGACACCACGCAUCGGCCGGACGAUCGACGUUCCUACGCGACCGCGUGGGCGCGCGCGCGAUUCAUCCACCAGCCUUUACGGGUGCCCGACCUGCUUCCAUCAGGGGAUGAACUGCUAGCAGGCUCUCGCCGAAUCUCACGCAACCGAUCAUUAAAGGAUAGCGAAAACGACCGGGGCUAGCUAGCUGCAGUUGAACUGCCGAUCAUUAGCAAUUGACACCCAGAAGCAACAGGUGUAACAUUUUUGGUGCGCCAGUGACCUGUCACCGCGGUACGGCGACGGACGCUCAUACGCGAACGCGUGCGCGCGCAAUUCGUCAACUCUGACUCAUGUAUGGCAUCUUCAGCAGAUCAGCCGGAUCGACGAGAUAGGUGCACCUGAGCUGCCGAAACCACCGACCUAUACCUAUUACCAUUUGUACUAUUAAAAGAACGAGAGGACAAAUUCAACUACAGAUCUGGACCGUCUGAUUACACCAUCAAAGACCUAAAAACGUCAUUAACAAAACUAGAUAGCUUUCGUUAAUGCUAAUUGCUCACCCCACGUCGUCUCCCGGUCAAUCGCCCCGCUCGCCCGCCUCGCCCAGGUUGCCCGCCCCCGCCCGCAUUGCUCGCUCGUCCAGCCUCUCCGAUUGCGCUCAUCCGCGCUCCAUCAAACCCAGUCAACCAAAUGGCGGCGGCCGGGCUCGCGCUCUCCCNNNNNNNNNNNNNNNNNNNNNNNNNNNNNNNNNNNNNNNNNNNNNNNNNNNNNNNNNNNNNNNNNNNNNNNNNNNNNNNNNNNNNNNNNNNNNNNNNNNNNNNNNNNNNNNNNNNNNNNNNNNNNNNNNNNNNNNNNNNNNNNNNNNNNNNNNNNNNNNNNNNNNNNNNNNNNNNNNNNNNNNNNNNNNNNNNNNNNNNNNNNNNNNNNNNNNNNNNNNNNNNNNNNNNNNNNNNNNNNNNNNNNNNNNNNNNNNNNNNNNNNNNNNNNNNNNNNNNNNNNNNNNNNCCACCUCACGCCGAUGCUGGCCUACCGCUGCCUCGUCCGGGAGGACGACCGCGAGGCGCCCAGCUUCCUCUUCGAGUCCGUCGAGCAGGCAUCCGAGGGCACCAACGUGGUUCGUCCCUGCCUUUGCCCGUACAGCCUCACGAUUCGCUGAUUCGUUAUCCGUUCAUAUCCUCCCCAAGACGAAAUCAGAAUCAUUUGAAUUUGUCCCGUGCCGGGUUGUUGGUUGGUCUGCAAUCUACAGGGGAGGUACAGCGUGUUGGUGGCGCAGCCGGCAAUGGAGAUCGUGGCCAAGGCCAACCGCGUGACGGUCAUGGACCACGAGACGAGGACCAAGAAGGAGCAAAACCGCGAUUUGUUGAUUCUUCACUGUCAAUGAAUAUCAUAUGUCAUCCUUGCAUUCAAUUGGUAAGUUUUGUUGUCAGUUUUUUUUUGCAGAUCAAUAUGGCAUUUCCUUUUGUCAGUCUUCAUAGUUUCUCAAGAUAGUUACCAUUGAAGUUUGACAAUCGCAUCUUCUCAUUUUUUUUGGAUGAUACUUGAUUUUUUUAAUAGUUCUUCGCUUAAUUUUGUUGAUACGGAAACAAUUCUUAUCUGAAUGCUACUUUGUUUAUAUGUGUACGCAGAAUUAACAUGUACCUUUUAAAUGGUCCAUUAUCCCACUAGGGGAAUCUAAUUUCUGACUGGAUUAUAUUGUAAUACUAAUAUAAUUAAAAAAUCAAAUGGUUGUAUAUUUGACCCGACUUUCAUUGUUCGAAGCUAGCCUGGAGAAUUUGCUCACAUACUGAAAUUUAUUUACAAUGCUUUAUAAUUGUUUGGGCACUACGCAUUGGGGAAGUGUGCAUUUCGAUAAGAGAUUAUAUAAUUGAUGCAAAGAUGUGUGAUAUUUGUUUUAAAAGGAAUGUUUAUUUAUGAAGAGUGAUGUUUCAAAUUAUUUGCACGAGGAAAAAAUUAGGUACUAUGCACUUCGUGUGAAAGUUCAAGAAAUGAAUGAUAUAGUUGGCUAGAAUUUGUUAGGUUUUAUAUAAGAUGUGUUAACAAGACGUGCGUUGUACGUACACUUUACUAGUCAUCCAAAAAGCACUUGCCUUCAGGUUCGCUGUAGGUUGUGUAGCAUGCAUUCAUACGAGUACAUUUUGCACGACAGGUUUUGGUACAAUCUUGGAGCCUUCUUGUAUAGCACAGUCAACAAACAAUUAGAACCUGAAAUGUUGAUUGGUUCCAGUCCGUCAGAUAGUCUGAUCUAGCAGUAUCAUAUGUUGUUCUUGUACACUAUAUUUCUUAUUCCUUUGUUCUUUUUGGGCCCUAAUUUUCUCCUCUCUUUCAUGUACAUAUUGCAACGAUUGUUACACAACUUAUGAAAAAUACUCCGUGAGAAGAAAUUCCUACAGGUUUGGGUAAAAAAUUAGAGAAAUGUAUCACCGACCAUAUCAUGUCAUGACACUUGUCUCCUCAACAUUCCAAACAAAUUUAACCACACAUAACUAGAGAUGGAUAGGCAGAGAUCGAGCACACACAAAUCCAAAGUGAGUAAACAACCACCGAGAUGCAGGUGACCUACCACGCCACCAAGACAACAAAGUUCAGCCACAUCACUACUAUAGUUUCUACCGCAAACAUAUGCAUGCAUGUUUUCCCGCUGCAUGUAGGUGUAGCGUUUUGGACUAUAUAUACCAGCCUUCUCGUAUCUCCAAGACAUCACAGCAAGAAGUUGCCUCUCUCUGAUCGAUGCACAUAAACAAGAACAUCAUGCUGCGCAACAACGCCAUGGCCUCCUUUGUCUUCCUCGUGGCUCUGCUGCUCUCAUGCAGCUCCAUGAGCAGUGCAGCACGACACCUAGAGGAGGCUGUGCCCGAGAAGGAGUAUCCACCACAUCCGAUCGUCCCGGAGCUGCCAAAGCCCGAACUCCCGCCGCACCCCGUCAUGCCCGAG